rnacentral:lncRNA from 1 species
GGACUUCAAGAAGUGCCUAUGGACAAAUCCUAUAAAUAUAACUUAAGGCAACCAUUAGUCCAUAGGAAUUGUCAUCAAUUACCUAAACCAUAUAUGGAGAAAUAUGCUCUAACAGCAUCACCCUUUCCUCUUCAAGGGAAAAAACCAGCGCAAGCUCAAGAGAUAGCAAAGGGCGAUAAGGUUUUUCGGGAGCACUCAGCGCGACUACUGGUUCCAUCACGGACAACGACAAUCUCUUCCCGGACGACGACUACUUCCCCGACGUCGACCACCUCUUCGGUAACAUGGCCAACGACAACGCCAACACCAACCCUACUGCUGCUGCAACUCAGUACGUACUCAUGUUCUUUUCCUUUGAGUUCCUCCCGCAACUUCUUGCUAUAGUUUCACUUCUAGAUAUGUUCCGUUUCUGCUCAUCACUCCAUAUGAUGCCUUGUGUAUAUAGAACGGUUACACAUAUGUUCUUUUCUAGAUCAUAUGUGCACAUGUAUUUUGUCGUCUCAUCUCUAUAUUGCUUGUCUUCUUUCAUCUUUAUUAUGAUAGUCAAGUUUUCCCUAUCUUUUCUGUUAGUAAAAUCCUAUGGUAAAUUGCUCAUAUUUCCAACAGAUAUAAACCGGCUUAAGGCUGCCACACAGCCUGCCAACUUUUGGACGUGUUGUAGCUCUGUUGGAAUGGCGAGUUGCGACAAUGCUCGAAUUUUCUCCGGAUUGGACUCGAUUCCUCUUUGCGACACUAUGAAUCUGAGGAAUUUACCGGCUAGGACUCCGAAGAUACACUUGUCCGGAUUAAGCCGUAUAUCGUAUGCCCGUAGUUUGGCGAAGGUUUCUCUAAGGCCAUCUACGAGUUGGCUAACGUGUCUGGUCUUAACAAUCACAUUGUCCAUGUAUGCCUCCACAGUUUUGCCGAUCUGUUUCCCCAGGCAUGUCUGGAUCAUGCAUUGGUAAGUGGCGCCCGCGUUUUGUAACCCGAACGACAUUGUGUUGAAGCAGAAUGGUCUGUAGGGUGUUAUAAACGCGAUUGCAGAUUGAUCGGAUUCCUUCAUUUUGAUCUGAUGGUAUCCGGAGUAGGCGUCGAGGAAACACAAGGAAUCAUGUUCGGCUGUCGCGUCGAUAUUUGGUCUAUCCGAGGUCACAGAAAAUGAUAAUUGGGUUGAUAAUGAUCACACUUAUGUACCAUGAAGUUGCUUAAGCUUGUGUUCACCACAAACUGCUCGAACUCAUAUCGGAACCCGGCUUCGCUCAUGAACAUGUUCCAUGGCUACUCACAUGGUCGUAGCUCCGUCCUUCGAGGGAGGUUGAUCCGAGGUGCUCCCCUCGAAGUCCUCUCUAAACUCCGGCUAGAAGAACCCCUAAUGAAUAUCCCUUGUAACAUUUUUUCUGAAAUAUUGGACCACGAAUAAAAAAUGAAUAUAACUUAACAAAAUUGGUAGUAACAACUCAUAUGAACGCCUAGAGGCUAUAUCAAGCAUUCAAACUACUUAUAACUAAAUCUUACAUUCUUAAGAAGUUGGUUCCAAUUCUCUCAACAUGCAAGGUGUCCACCUCAUCAUUCCACUAAGCAAUGCAUUUAAAUCUUUUCUUCCACUAAGCCUUGCAAAGUGCUUCACAUAAGCAUUCUUAACAAGCAAAGUGUCCACCUCAACGUCCCACUAAGCAAUGCAUUUAAGUAUUUUUCUCCCACUAAAUCAUGUAAAAUAUUCCACAUAAUCAAGUCAUAAAUUUAACUUAUAAAUUACAACUAUUUUUUGCAUUAGUCUAUCCAUGUAACGAUGCCACGUCAUAUAUUCAUGUUAGUCAUCCUUCACAUUUUCGUUCGAAAUGACAUUUUUAAGUAUAAUUCAAAAGUUUUGUAGACACUUUAAUUUAUUGAUUUUUAAGUUCAUACAUUCUUUCGUUAGGAUUUAACAACUACUUACACAUGUUGUUAACAAAGUUAUGAUAACAACACGCGGGAAGAGAGUCAUCCUCACUACACAUGUCCAAAUUUUCCUCAAUGAAAAAGACACCCAUGUGGACAACUCCAAGAAAUUUUAAACUCACAUUAUGCUACAUAUAUUCCCAAAAUAUUUUACUAAUAUAAACUAAUCAUGUGUAAUAAAUCUCGUACAUUUGUAUUUUCAUGCUCAUAUUGUUAGUUGUAAUAUUCACAUUCCACAUAAGCAAGUAUCAUCUAAACAUAUUGCCAACAAUUUCCGCAGCAACGCGCGGGGAAUUGUCUAGUAAAAUUCAACAUGCAAGCUCAUUUUCUUGGUCAUCAAUAGAAGCAAAAUAUGCAAAAUAUAAAUCACUACAACAAAAAUAAUUGUACCAUCGGAGGAGUUACAUACCAAGAAACAAUUUAUUUUUUGUUUGUGAACCGCCUCAAAUGUAUUUAGUAUAGAAGAUAUUGGUUAAUCCACCGUAACUGAUGACAUGAAAAACACAUCUCUCAAAAUACAAUUAUCUUGGUUUUUAAGCCAUGAGCUCUAGCACAUAGAGCAAAUCCUUGUUUCCCUCUACGAAGGGCCUAUCAUGUUAAUUUUUGUUGAGACAUCGCCUUCUCACUUCAAGCACGAACUUUGAGAGGGCUAUUGCAUUCUUAGUGUAACAUACAUUUAGUCUAAUUAAUAUUGGAUGAUAUUAUGACUGGUUGUAUUCUAUGCUGAAUUACAAUAUCUAGUUGUUGGUUGAGCUUUAGAGGUGCUCUGCAUUUAUGUUUUACGAUCACAAAAAUGACUAGCGAGAUACAAUUUCAUCAUAUUAUAUCAUGGUUAUUUUGACGAAGUGUUGAUAUUCGAGAUAUAUGUAGUAUAAUUGCUCGUUAGUGUUGUGUCAUUGAUAUGAGUAAAUAAGGAUUUUAAGUUUUAUAAUAUACAUGUUUAGUUCAUGAUCUGUGUUUAAAACCUGAUUACUUGUUAAGCCUAUAUAGAACAACAAAACCUAAUGAGUUUGUAAAAGUCUUCUUUAUCAUUUUCAAUUUAUUAAAUGAAUUGCUUGAGGACAAGUAGUGAGUUAAGCUUGGGGAGUUGAUACAUCUCCAUCGUAUCUACUUUUCCAAACACUUCUCCUCUUGUUUUGGACUCUAAUUUGCAUGAUUUGAAUGAAAUUAACCCGUACUGGCUCACUGUUUUUGGCAGAACUUCCAUGGUGUUAUUUUUGUGCAGAAAUAAAACUUUUCGGAAUUGGACAAAACUUAACGGAGAUUUUUUAUGGAAUAUAUAAAAAAUAUCGGGACCAAGAUCUACCGGAGAGGAGCCAUACAGGGGCCACAAGCCCAAAGGCGCACCCCCUCCCUAGGGGCAUGCCAUAAGGGCUUGUGGCCUCCCUGGAGAUCGUCCUAACCUAAUUCGAACUCCAUAUAUACCAUCUUGCCGAGCAAAAAAUAGAGAGGAAUUUUUAUCAUGGUUUACGAUAUAUAGUCGCCCGUCGCCUCCCAUUUUUCGUCAGGAUCCCUAAUCGGGAGUCCGUUCGUGGCCCCGGAGAGAGGGAUUCACGUCGUCGUCAUCAACAACCCCUCUCCAUCAAUAAUUUCAUGAUGCUCACAACCAUGUGUUAGUAAUUCCAUUGUAGGCAUACUAGAGGUAGAUAGGUUGGAUGAGAUUUCUUAUCUAAUCGAGUCAAUUUUGUUAGGGCUUGAUCCCUAUUAUCCACUAUGUUCUGAGAUUGAUGUUGCUAUGACUUUGCUAUGCUUAAUGCUUGUCACAAGGAACCGAGUGUCGUGAUUUCAAAUCUUCCUAUUAUGUUUUCAUGAAUAUAUUUGAGUUCUUGAUCUUACUUUUAAGUUGUAUGCACCCGUUAUCGUUCUGAGCCUUAGACCCCCAGGGUGACCAUGAAUUGGGAUAUUGAUGGGAGGGCAGUAAUGUGAGGAGGUCAUGUAUUCACUGUGUGUUAAUGCUAUCUUUUGAUUCUUUAUUAAGAAGAGAACCUUAAUUACCUUUAGUUUCCAUGAGGACCCCACUAUCACGGGAAGGUACGAUAAAAGAUGUCAUGCGAGUUCUUAUUGUAAGCACGUAUGAGUAUAUACAGAAUACAUGCCUACAUAUGACCGAUGAAUUGGAGCUAGUUCUGAUACUACUUUGUCUGCUAUAAAACCGCUAUCACUUUUACUCCUACCAUUACUCUGUUAGUGUUGCUAUUGCUAUCAAUACUAUCAUAUUAGCGUGCUACUAAUAAAUUGAUGCAAGGAGGUGAUUCUUAGGUGUGAUUGAAUUGACAAAUCAACUGCUAAGGCUUAUAAAUAUUCCUUGGCUAUCCUUGUGUCGAAUAAAUAAAUUUGAGUGUAAUACUAUCCUCAAAGACUGUUGCAAUCCACUGUACUUGUCGGUCAUUAAUCAUCUAUCUCGUGGUAGAUCAAUCUGUAUGUUGUACAUCAUCCUAGAUCAAUACAACACAAGCAAGACAUAGGGGUUUAUCUCUUCAGAGAGCUCAAACCCGGGUAAAACCCCGUGCCCCUGUUUCAUCGUGUCAAGUAUACUAGCUCGGGACCCCCUAUGAGAGAUCCGUCGGAAUUGACUCCUUCAUUGGUGGCCCAUACAUGUCCCUCAUCGUAAUCGCAAUGAUUCAAUGGGAUCUAGAUCAAUGAGCAAAUCGAGGCCAACACAAUCUUUGUGCCCUGUCAGAUGUUCCUCUUUGACGUUAUCUUGUUCAUCGCCAACUCAACCGGUCACCUUGACCAGGUCAAGAACUACGCCCCAUGUCGGGUGCCAGAGAUCGACGAGCAUCUUAAUCAACAUCAACUUCGAUCUCUACCUAGAUCAUGGAGAAUUUCAUCCAUGGAGCUCGGGGGCUCAAUGUCAACUUUGCCCUCGUGCGACCAUGCAGAAUUUUCCUGAAAACGCAUUCGCUCCCACAGUCCUUGUCUCAUUGAACAUCGUUUUGGUGAUUGCUUUAGUGGGAUUGUACGGAAUUUAUCCUACACCAACCAUGUAGAAUUUCAUCGUGGUCCGAUAGGUGAAUCUUCGACAGUUGCUGAUAUACCGAGACUCUAUCGGGUUUGGAUGCAAAUCCACGCAAGUUCGAUAGAACAUGUCCAUCGGUCAACUCCGACAUCCUUUGAAAGAUCCAACUAUCCAUAUCAUGUGUAACUUUCAUAUAGACAUCCCAUCAAUAUUUGAGGACGCUUCGACAAUGCAAACUUCGGAGCGUAGGUGGCAACAUGAUACGGCCUCCUAGGCCGUUGGAUCUCUGAUCCGAUGGAAUCUGAGUAGUUGUUGUACCUGCGCACAAUUUUUGAGACUCUUGGAUGAUAUUUUUGCAAAAUGUUCAAGAGCUUUUGGGAGCUGUUGGAUCUAACAUCCAGCGACUCCUAAGAGUCCGUAUUAGGCCUUCCCUAAUGCUUGUAUCUUGACACGGUAUCAUAGGCAUAUUGCUGAUGUGGCACCAUAUUAAUUGAAGAAAGAGAGUGGUGCCGUAUCUUAUUUAGUAUACGGCUCUUGCACGAGAUCGUAGGCAAAAAAUAUGAUUAGACCAAUCAAAUACAUGCAUGAGGCCAAAUUCAUUAAAUACUAGCCCACUAAGAUACAACACUUAAGAAACCAUGCAUUAGGAUGGUUGUAUCUUAUAAUGCAACGGUACCUAGGAUACCACGCUAAGAGACGAUGCAUUACGGAAGGCCUUACAGAGCAGCUGAUAUUUCCUCGAACGGGAAACCACAUCCGAAAGCAUCGGUUGUCGUUAGUUAAUGUUGUUUGAAAACAGGUGAUUGUAGACCUCGGGGAGUCAGGGGGCUAGGUGUUGCCAGAAACGUCCAACUUGAUGGUGAAAGUGAAACCAAACAUUUGUGGUACAUAUUUUCUGUCCAAAUGGAGGUAAAUUGGUCUCACAUGUUUAACAACAUUUAGGCAGAAUACCGACCUUUUUUUUGCAUGGGCACAAUACUCAGCCUGUUGCCAUGUUUUGUACUGUUCGAUUUCAGACUGAGUACUAGUGCAGAGUACGAGUUUUUUUUUUCAGACACCUAGCACUAGUUCGAUUUCGGACUGUUCCAACAAGAGCAGUACAUGAUCUCCCUCACUUGUCGUCUCCGUUCCAACAAGAGCUGCAUUAUACGUCUAUACCCCCCCCCCCCCCCCACCCCACCCCACCCCCCUGGCUCUGUUUAAUUAGAGUUUCCUGUGUUCAUUGUAGUUUCCUGUCUGUCCUGUAAUGCCGGCUGCCUUUCCAUUGCCACCAUGCCUCCCUGCACAGAAUCAUAGCAGCCAUGAGCCCCUCAAGCCUUUCUCAUCUCCUUUGUGCCAGCAUGAUUACACAAGGAAUCAAGCAAGCAAGCCACAAGACUUAUAAAAUACUAAGGAGCCAGCCUCCCCUUUUUCAAUGUGUGUAGUGUGUACUUGGUGUUGGACAAAGUCGCAGACGCAGAGACAUCGGGUCGGGAUACCUUUGUCUUGCCUUUACUUUGCAUCCUCAUGGCUCUGACCGUCUCGCACUUAUCAUAUUCUCCUCGUGCCGUAUCAACGUCAUUCCCACCAUAAUUCUAUUCAAUUCUUCGCCAUCAUUCGCAAGCAGGCCGUCCACAAGUUCUUGUUUUCCGAGAGAGCUUGAUAGAUGGAUGUCAAAUGGCAAUUCUCAGCAGCGUGGCCUACCAAAGAUGCGUAUAAAUCUCUGUAACAUCAUAUGAUGCAGCAAUCAAAUCAAGAGAGCAACCCUUUUGUUUUUUGGGUUUUGGUGCACUCUUUGGGUUCUCUGAAUUGGAAGUACCUCUCAGCGUGUUGCCGGUGUGAUAAUUCGACACGACACAGCACGGCACAGCGCAGCUCUGUAUCGAUAUUUUUUAGGUUGUGCCUACGCUUAGCUUCCUCAGACCAAUCAUUAUUCAGAGUGCUUGAUGAUAGGACAUGCUUUCAUCAGUCGCCCCCUUAACCCAUUUGGUCUUCCUGCUAGUCGCUUUCUUCGGCCAAGAACGAAAGGGUCAGGACGCACGCAAUGGGUGUUCAGAAGAGGUUGUUUUUCCUUGCCGUGACAGUGAUUAUCCCAAACUGCACUGUUGUUUCUUCAGGCCAUCUGUUUGUCUUCAACACAAGGAUACGGGUAUCCACUGAUCUGAGGUCACACUUUUAGUAUAUUUUGGAGCCAUCUUGCCUGAAUUGCAUCGUCUUUUCGAAUGUCAACGGGUAAAAACCACUUCUGCCAAACCCAUGUUUAGCCAUGGCUGAAUAGAAAACAGAUGCUGUUGCCAAACAAUACAGGUAUAACCUGCAAGACGAUGCUCGUAGUAUUAGAAUGGCACCAUUAAAAAGGAGACGUCGAUGGAUAAUGCUGUGGUCGCCUCCCUGCAAGGGAACUAACGGCCCAUAACGUGUCGCUUCCCUUGUUGGGUUCGCUCGGUUUUCUGUUAAGUGUCAACUUCUGCCAUGAAAGAAACCCUCCAAGUUGCGCCUGUCGUGCUCCUCCAUUACUCUCCCCCCACAAAGUUGCCUUAAACAUAUUUUUUGUUGCUAAUUGGUCUCCUUCAUUUCGCAUAGCAGAUAACACAAGAAAGCAAGCAAGGCAAAUACCAAAAAUUCAGUCGACUUAACAACACUGUUCACUUGCAUAUGUUGAUAUGUAUGACAGAGAAACCGAAUAUAUAUAUUUAUAUAUGGUUGAAAAGUAAACCCCUCUUGCUCCAUCGUCUCACCGAGUUUUGCGAGAAUUCAGCGCAAUCCACAUGCAACAUGUACAGAAAACAUUCAGGCUUUCAGAUCAGAGGCUUGCGGCGCGCUCUGCAACUGAAAAAUCCUCGAUCUUUUUCCCGGAGAGUCGACGGGCAGGGGGAUGGGGGGUGACUGAUCGAUACCUGGCAUCAGGCAUUGAGUUGCCAGACUGACUAAUCAACUAUUACCACAGGGUACUUACUUACUUACUAAAUCGGCCCUCCUCCUCAUCUUGUUAUUAUGGACCGGUGCCACCAAACCGAGCUGCAUUCCAUGUCAGCGUCGGGGGUCUCUAUUGCGCGGCCGCGAUCGAGGACGACGACCGGCUGGGCCACGCCGAGGGCGGCCUCCAGGAGGCCGCCGUCUGUUGCUUGCGCCUCUUGGGGUCCUCCAGCUCCGACGUCAGCAUCUCGAACAUCACCUGCACGUCCUUGUAUCCACAGGUCUGCACGUCCUCAUGAAGCUUCAGCAGGCUGCCUCCACCGCCUGCACGCACGAACCAACACAAGGAUAAGGGUUUUGUCAUUGUCAUGGAUUUCGCACCACUUUGUCAGUGGAGAGGAAAGCAGCAACUAUGCUAUUGCUUAUGCUGGCUUCUUCUACACCUCAGGAAUUCGUGGGGAGGAGAUGAAAGACAUGUGACACUCGUCGCCACUCGUGCGAAUGGAAUGACACGUCAGCUUCUUUUUAACCAAGGAAAGAGAUUAUGUUUGGUUGAAAGAAUUAUUAAAACAAACAACAGCACACCUCAAAUUCUUUUGAUGUCAUCAUCUCCUACUGGCUACUCCCCACCCCCGGUUUUUUUUUUAUGAGAACAUUUCCUACUUGGCGUUUUCCUUGCACAAAUGGCGAACUAGCAAGCUGAUUGGGCUCUAGGUUCCUUCCUUUCUUGGGCAGGUCGAACAACUUGGCAAUUUGCGUCAUGGGCCUAGCACAAAUGGGAAAGCCACCCAGGCCCGUGCACAACUAAAGCUCUAUCUAUCCACUAUUAUUAGACAGACCUUGGGACCAGAAACAAUAAUGGGCUUCCGCCACUGGCGAUAUAAUCGAAGCUGCCGAGUCAAUGGUGUCUUUUAUUCUUCUGGAUAAAAAGGACGGAACAAACAAGACAGCACCAUAGCACAUCAUUGGCAGGCCACAGAAACCCCAGAAACUAUCCUCACAAGGAAAAAACUCCCAGAAGAGGAAGUAAAAGAGAUGAGGCAGCAUCUCAUUCCCAUCACACACCCAGUGAAAAAAGGGAUAAAAAGUGAAACAAACGGGGUAAAGAGGGACCUUCAAAUUCGAUAUUCUUCUACUGCAAGAUCGAUGGCUAGAGACACUCCGUCAUGCGUCCUUAUCCAGAAACCGCACGCCCCUUUUUCCUCAGCUAGCCAAGAACAUUCCCCACCUCGGAUUCUCACCACGAAGCUUCUUCUUUCGCCCCUUUUCCACCACCUAAAACUUUACCACAAAGGCGCACGACACGCAUGAAUAUAUGCGCCCUUUAUUCCCAGCCCCAAACGAGGGCGAGCGAUCGAGCGCCGCAAGUUCACUGGCACGGCGACGUGUGGCUUUUUCUUUAUGGGACGGCAAUGCAUGCCAUGGCGACUGACGUGACUCCAUGUUGCUGCAACGGACGGCUGGGGACAAAAAGCAAAGGAGAUAGCUCCACAAAGACACAAAACAAAAAUGUAAAGCUUGUCAUCACCUAUUGGCCGGCUGCCAUCGCCCCGAUCUCCGAAAAAACUGCUAUCAUCGCACUAUUUCAACAGAAAAAAGAUGUACUGUAGGAUCCAUGGGCUGGCGGCUCCGGUGGCCUGCGACGUUCUUCCCGGGGGCCCCGGUUUGGUUUGUCCAUGCGAUCAUUGCGCCUACUAGUAGCAGUACUAUGAUACGGCGUCCUACGACGAUCCUGCCAUAGGUCCAUGACCAUAAGCUCGAGUUCUAGACAAGUUGGUGGUUAUGGGCCACACUAUCUUCCAAUGAUUGUGUAGUUGAGUCACAUUUUUCCAUGGAAAACCUCCGGAUGACCGCAAGAGAACCAUUGGCAGUGGCAGACCGCUCCCCUUGCGCACCGCCGCAGCCGCAAAAGCUCAGUUCAGACUACACUGGCUGAAUUAUUGGAGGGCAAUGGCAAUGCACACUUGCUAAGACAAGGAUCUCAAGACCAGACAAUGGAAGCUGCGAGAGAAGAGGACACCACGAGCAUACUGCCGCUACUUUUUCUCUCUAAAGAUUUGCACGGUGUCAAGGAAGAUCUUGUGCAGGCGUGAGGUAAAGAUAGUUAUCAGUAGCAAUUGACAGUACGACGAAAAUCGGAUGGCGCAUAGCAGUAGACGACGAGCAGGCCCACGACACUGGGUAUGGACGGUACUGGCUGGCGGCACAGUGCGGCCAGUGCAUGCCAAGUACUGGUGACGAGAUCUCACACUGUGCGGCGCUGCUAAUUCAUUCCUUGCAGUUGCAGUUGCAGGUUUGCUGCCAAGUUCCUUGUAUGUGCACUUGUGUACCGACAGCGAGGUUGACUUGCUCGGCAGAGCAUUUAGUCUGGUGCAAGUGCAAGAUGGAUUUUGAAGAGAAAUAUACCUAACUGAACCCGUUGAAACUCGGAAGAAAUUUUCGGCAUGGGUGGUCGGCAGCAAGAAUUGAGAAAGAGGCCACCAGACUUUUCUUUCGCCUCAGGGCCCCGCACGUGUUAGAAUAUGUGAGGGGAGGAGCUAGAUUUGGGGGGAUGCCAGUGCGAGGUGACGGGGCGCGGAGGUGUGGUUUCUAGACUGAAACUGCAAAGUCCAAUCCGAUCUACUUACAUCAUGGCUGUAUUUUAGUGGGGAGGAACCGCAUUCCAAAAUGGAUUAGUCUUUGACCCGUGUUAAAUUGAAUUGAUGGGUGUGGUCAAUGCCGUAAGGAUGAAGAAAUUGCCGAUCAAAGUAAGUUCAAUUCCAAUUAUAAUACUGCAGACUAAACUAAGGGCCAAUUAUACUAGCUGUUGAUAAAACAGCUUGAGGGUUCACUGGUUUCUUGCGGAGGCUGUGUAUAUAAACAAACCAAUCAUGAAGACUGAACCAUCACCUAACCGCUACCCAACUCUGAUAAGUUUUCUGAAAUUCUGGAUUGGGAGGGGAGAGAUGGAGAAGACAGUAACAAGCAUGGCUAGGCUAGGCUAGGAUAUCUAUCACUGUCCUGCUGAGUAUGAAACUCUCUGUUCAUCUAGGCGGUUAUUAUUGCAGUUUAACCUGAAAAAACCUCAGCCACGCGCGCGUGUCACCUGUCUGGAAUUCUAGUGGAUGCUACAGUGCUGUUUUAUCUCACGGAGUGGAGUGGUAAACACAAACCACGAGCGAAUUCCGCGGUGAUCGCCACGGGAACUCAUCAACUGACUAAACUGAAGCAGGGGGUGUCGCUCUGCGUGUGGCAACCAUAAACCUCAGAAUUCGGCGCAACUGACUCAACUGAUCAGGCGGCCAGGCGCCGGAGCACGCGUCUGACCGGCGUGCCCAGGGCCACGGAUCGACCAAUGGACGACGGCGAAGGCGAAGGCUCGGCCGUGCGUGCGUGGACGGGGAGUAGAGGGUGCGUUGCGUACCUGUCUUGCGGGAGCGGACGCGGGCGGAGACGGCGGCGAGCGCGCGGCGCGCGGGGAAGACGACCUUCUUCCGCCACCAGGCCAUCAUCGCGCGCACGGGCGCCGGUAUCCUCGCGGCGGCGGCCAGCCUCGACGCCCGCCCUCCGUCGGUCGCUCGCUCUUGCUGGGUGUUUUGGGAUUGAUUUUUGAUUUUGAUCUCGAAUCGGAUCGAACCGAACCGAACGCGGCCCUCGAUCGAUCGCCUGCUGAGUCCUGACUGACGCCGCGCGGUUGGGGCUGAUGGGCACUGUUGGGCUGCAGUUUAUAGGCGAGGGCGAGGCCGAGGGCAGCACUGGUCGCGGUUGUUGGUUGGUUGCACUCUCUGCGUUUUGGAUUCGUGUGCUCUGCCUUUUUAUCUCGCUCGCGUGCCUUUAGCGUGGCUAGCGCUUUGCUGCUAUCCGCACCCCAGCCCCGCCCCCCGCAAAAAUGCUUUUCUUUUCUUGUCCUACUAAAAACUCGGGGUUAACUCAAAUCUUACCAAAACCAUGCCAUAUAUUAACUUAAUUAAAUCAAAUACAACCAUAGUAAAACCUAAACUAAAUCAACAAUUUGUUGUCUUCUCCUAUCUAUACUCAAAUCAAAUCUUAUCAAAAUGUAGAGUAUGGUUGGCCUAACGAAUAUGCAACAUGAUUGGUAUUGAACCACUAGAAUAUGUAAGCCCGGUUUGCAACGCAUAGAUAAUUAGCUAGUUAGUUUUAUGGCAAAAAAAAAUACUAAUAUCUAGUUAAAUUCAUGGUUAAAGUCUGAUCCAAAAUAUGAAUUGACUAAUAAACCUAGACAAAUGAAAUUCCCUAGACUAUUUUUUAAUUAUUGUAAGUACCCCCUUCGUCUGGAAUUACUGGUUGAAGAAAUAAAUGUAUCUAGAUGUAUUUUAGUUCUGGAUAUUUUUUUAUUCAUUUCUGCAACAAGUAAAUCCAGACGAAUGGAGUACACAUAGGCCCGCACUCAUCUACAAAAUAUUAGACUCGCAAAGCUUCAAGUUUAAGAAAGUCACGAUAAAGAUCAUGCUAUUGACUACAGUAUCAUCUUGAUGGAAAUUUAAGGCGCUUUAAUGUAACGCGAGUGCAUUAGACGUGCAGUUUUCCAUGAUGAACUAGACAUUCAACCAAUGGUUCGGUCUUGAGCCACUCUAAACUACAGAGAUUUCAACUUCUGAUGUGAUUAGGUCUGUGCCAAUGCAUCGUCUCUUAGCAUGUAAUUAUAUAUGUAAUAAAAACAUAAGAAAUAACUAGUACAAUGCAUUGUAUCUUAUGUGUUCUGUUCAAAUUUAAUGUUUAUGGCUCAUGCAUGCAAGUGAUUGGGUUAACACCUCUUUUUUGCCUAUGGCCAAGUGCCAAGGUUGUAUAUUAAUUAAGAUACAACCUCACUACCUCUCUUCCUUAAAUACAGUGUCACAUAUGCAAAAUGCCUAUGAAACCGUGCUAAGAGACUUGCAUUCGCACAUGCUUUAUACAUCAAUCGAUCUCUUGUGGCCACACCAUCCUCCACAUGACCUCGUCCAUCAAAGUAUGCUAAGGGUGUGUCCGUGACGUUUUCUUAUUAACAUAGUCUUGUGAUGUUUCUUUAGUAAAAUGCUGGUUUUGUGCAAGAUGUAUAAUUUCUGGCUCCUUGCAUAUUAGAGAUGCGCUGCUAGGUUAUUAUUUGCCAAAAGGCGCACACCAAUACACAAUCAUCUCGCGCAUUCAUCUAUGGAAAAUUCUAGAAUGUGACAUGUUGAGUUUCAUAUAAAAUACAAUUAGGAUUGUUUAUUCGACAUGUCCACGAAGUUUGAAGAGGGUGAAUGCACACCGAAUAAAGUGGAUUCAAGUACAAUGCAAGUUCUGCAAAAAUGUAUAUUUUGUGGCUCAUUGCAGACUAUUGACGGCUAUGUACUUGGCUGGUAUUGGCAAAAGGCACACGCCAACACACAAGCAUCUCCUGCAUUCGGUUAUGGAAAUUUCUACAAAGUGACAUGUUGAGUGCCGUAGAGAACACAUUCCAAGAUUGUUUUCUCAUAUGUGUCCGUAAAUUUGAAGAUGGUGAAGGCACGCAAAAACAAAGUGAACUUUAGUAGAAUGCAAGUUCGGUAGAAGAUGUCGUGACCUAUUGAAUUUCGUAUAAAACACAUUUUCGGGUUUGUUUUUUUGGACGAUCCAUAAGAUUCGAAGAGGGUGGAAGCAAGCAAAAAUAAAGUGGAUUUUAGUAGAAUCCAGGUUUUGCACAAGAUGUCAUGACGUAGUGAAUUUCAUAGACAUCAUGUUCUGGAGUUUGGUUUCUUCGAUGACCCAUAUGAUUUGAAGAUGAUGAAGGCAAGCAAAAUAAAGUGAAUUUUAGUAGAAUGCAAGUUCAGUAGAAGAUGUCGUGAAUUAUUGAAUUUCGUAGACAACAUGUUGUGGAGUUUGGUUUCUUCGAUAAUCCAUAAGAUUUGAAAUUGAUAAAGACAUGCAAAAUAAACUAUUUUUUACUACGAUGCAAGUUUUGCAGGAGAUGUACAUUUUAUGGCUUGUCACUUACUAUUGACAGGCUAGCUACUUGGAUGGUAUUGCCAAAAGGCACAGACCAACACACAAGCAUAUCAUACAUUUCAGUUAUGGAAAAUUUUAGAGCAAAACUUGUUGAAUUUCAUAAAAAAAUAUGUUAUAUUGAUUUUUUAUGUGUCCAUUAAAUUUGAAGUGGGCAAAGGCAUGUAAAAAUAAAAAACUAUUUUAGUAGGAUGUAAGUUAUGUAGAAAAUUUCGUGAACUAUUGAAAUCUGUAGAAACGUCUUACGGAGUUUAGUUUGUUCGUUGAUCCAUAAGAUUUGCAGAUGGUACGAUGCAAGUUUUGCAUGAGAUGUACUCCCGUUGAGACACUUAUUUUGAAACGGAGGGAGUAUAUUUUAUGGCUUGUCAUAGAUUAUUGACGGGCUAGCUACUAGGAUGGUAUUGCCAAAAGGCACAAUAAACCCACGGAUGAGCAUCUUGUGCGUUCAGUUAUGGAAAAUUCUAGAGCAAUAAUAUCGUGUAACCAUGCUCAUGGUUUUGCACCAUAAAAUGUGCAAGGGCCUAUUAUAAAUUCAGGAACAAUAAAGAGGUAGUAAAUGAGAUAUCAUGACACCCUGAGUUCUGAAGAAAAUACGUUAUUAUUAUUUUUUGCGGUAAAAUGGAGUUUUAUUCCAAAAUUACAGGAUUAUAAUCUACUAGCAAGAGAUCCUCAAUACACGGAGGGCCUCUCUGAAGCCAAACAACAGUACAAGAUCACAUUAUGUUUCUUUUUUUAUGUUCCAUAAAAUGUGACAUGGGUGAAGGCACGCAAGAUAAUGUGCAUUUUUCGUGAGUUUAUACAUUUGUAAGGGUAACUCCAACGGGCCGACCUAAACGGACGACGAUUUUGUCCUUUUUUAUCCGUUUUAGUCGGCUAGGCGGACACGAACGUCCGCUUCUGCAGAUGGAUCAGCGCAUGUGCCCAACGCUGACCGGACCAAUUUUUGUCGGCGUGCGAAAAAAAAAUACAUAAGUGCAUAAUUAAACAUAAAAAGCUGGGCACGAAGGCCGGCGAGAGUUCACCACAUUACAUUAAUUAAACAUAAAAAAACCUAAAACUACGAGGGCAGCCCUAGGCGUCGUCGUCGUCGUCAUCGUGGCCGGUGAGGUCAACCAGCGUAGGCACAUGGCCGACCCAGGGGAACACCGUGUUCCAAAGCGCAGCUGCCUGCGUCUUCGUCGUCUGUCCCGCCGGCGCGGGCUGUGCUAGUGGCGGUGGCAGCGCAGCAGCAAGGGCACGCUCCUCCGCCUCCGCCCCCCGUCGUUCCUCCUCCGCCUCCUUAUCCAGCUCCAUCAGCCAAAGGCCGGCUGCGGUCGCUGACGCGUGGGCUCGAGGAUGACGACCGUCAUAAAUAAUGUUGACCGCGGUGGUUGGGGGCGGACACCGAGAGGGCGCGCGCGCCCGCGCCGACGCAUUUUAGUCCUAAAUUUGGGUCGGAAAUGUGUCGGCGCAGACGCGUUUUGGUAAUGGAUAGGCACGUUGGGUCAUCAUUUUUGUCCAUGCCGAUCCAAACAAAAGGCGACGGACGAAAUGGGUCGCGUCCAUUGGAGUUGCUCGAAGUGUUGUAGUCCAUAGACACCUACAUAGUGCAUUUUCGGUUUUUACUACAUGUACCACCCCAUGGGCCCGCGUGUCGAUUCUAGGACGAUGACGAGCAGAUCACCGACUCCUCACCCUCGCGCGUGGCCGCAGCAUUUUCAGCGUACCGUCCUCAGCCCCACCACGCAUCCCCGUCGCACGAGGCUUCAACCUCCGCCUCACAAGGUGGCGCGUGGGGAGCUCCUAUUCGUCGAGGUGCCUCACAAGGUGGCAGGGCACGUUUCCGUUGGACUCGAAUGCCCCUCUUCAAAAACUCUGAAACCUCUGCGCUGAAUUUUUUUCCGCGCCUUCAGUCCGGUCUCCCGUGGCUGGCCUGGCUAGAAGAGACGUACGUGUACCGGUAUUUGCAAAAUCUCUCCUCGAAGAGCGAGCAUGUCAUGUGUGCCGGCAUAUCUUUGGGACAUGUGAUGGGUUUUGUACACGCCGACGCCGGUGAGGUCCUCUGGCCGUAACGAGCAGGACAUGUAUCUCCGGACGGAGAUCUGCCGACGCAGGCGGGCGUGCGGGACGGGACAGCCGACCGGCCACGCCUCCGCGGCCGCGCAUGCACGCGUGCGUUGCGACGGGGUCGGGGCGGCACGGCGAGACGGACGCUUGUGCGCCGCGGACGCUUGCCGGGCCCCGGUGGGUGGGAACUGAGCGCGACCUGCAUCGUCGUGUCAUUGCCGUGCGAAUGUGAUAUGACAUCGUCGACGUUGUUGCGCCGCUGCGUGUAUAUCGGCACGAGGGCGGGCUCGCUCGGCGACGGCGACCUUGCGUGGGCUCUGGCGGUGCGGCCGUACGCUGACGAGCAGCACGUAGUGAUCGCCGUCCGUUGUGGCAUCAGAAGGUUUGGUGAGGGUUGACGCACACAAGAGAGCUAGGUUCACACUUCAAAAGAUAAGAUCAACUCCAACGGAUUGAGCUGAACGGACGCAGAUGAUUGUCUUUGGUUUUCUGAACGCGGCAUAGGCUGUCAGACGCGGUCCUCUGCCUCCCUCUCCCGGCGCUUCUCCUCCUCCUCCUGCGCCUAGCGUCGCUGGAGCUCCAUCUGCUGCCCGACCUCUGCGCGUGCUUCAUGGAAUGCUGGAGGUAAGCUGUUUCCUGCUCUGGCGUGGCGUCGAGCCACACGAACGACGCGCAGAACCAUUCACGGAGAACGUCGAUCCACUGGUACCGCUCCGGCUCAGGCUCGUACGGCGCCUCGACCGCCUCAGGCGGCGGCGAAGGCUAAGGGACGGCGUAGUCGCCGGUCGCGGACAAAGCCAAGGCCAUCUCCAGGGCUACGACAGAUCUUCGUCGGGAUGAUACUUUAGUCACCGUCAUGAUCUCCUGCGCGUGGUGAAGCCACCUUGCUCACGGGUCCUCCGUAGCACGACUGUCACAUUUGUCAAUAAUAAAUAAUGAUUUUGACAUAAGUCAUUUAAAGUGGCAAUCUUUUUGGCUUCAGCCAUCAUGUCAUACUGUCACGCGCAGGCCACUUAAUGUUACAUUUAUCUCAUACAUAAUCGAAUUAUCAUGACGAAGGCUAUACUACAUCACAUACAAUCAUGUAAAACCAAGUUGGACAUCUUCUAAUCGGUUUGGCAAAUUUUAAUUACGUGGUUUCCAGGGUUUCAGCAUAACAAUAGCUACCUACGUCCAUCAUUAAGGCGAUAAUCCUUAUUGCUAGAUUAAGUUUCAGGAUGUGUGAGGAGGGAGACUUAGUUAUAAAUCUCUAGCCCCACACUAAACUUCAUCAAUACGUGUGACCCCUACAAGAUUGACCAUCUUCGUCGCCCUAUUGCGUAUGCGACGGUUUACUAUUCUUGACUAUGCCGAGGCCCAAAGAACUGUUAGCAUAUUGUCGACACCCAGAGCAGAUUGAUUGUCAAAACUUUGUACAAAGCCACAUCGUGCCGUCAAUGAACUGAACCGAAGCAACACUAGGGAAGCAUAGCAAAAACAUCAAAUCCUCACAUCCACAUGUGAUCUAGAUCGCAACCUGGAUGUACUCAUGCAACCGCUCAUGACGCCACUAUUGGGAAACGUAAUAAAAAAAUCACCCUACGAUUAACCAGGAACACUAUGAAGAUACAAUAACGAUUGGGAUCACGAUCGUUAUUACAACCGAGUUACGACAAAAGAAGAGCGCCACGAUGAAGAUCGAUCUUGGAGUGCCUCAACUCGUAGAUGGACGAUCCCGCGAACCGCCCACGAACAAUCCCUCGAAAGUAAGAACGAAAGCACGACCUUUCUACACAUUGCAAGUGUACAGUCUUCACGAUCCGGCAGCGCUUUGCCGUCCAGAGCUAAUCGUCACCGAAGAAUUAGAGGGGGAGAGGUAUUAGAACCACACUGGACUUCUAAUUAUGAGGAUUAGAGGAACUAGACCUAGCUCUAAUUAGUCAACUAGGACCAUCUACACCUAGAACUAGAGAACUAGAGAUGGCUCCAAAACUUGUGUCUUAAAAAGGUGCCAAUAACUCAAGUGUAUAUAGGUUGGAGGGGAGAGAGAGGGCACCACAAGGGGAGGGAAAGUCCCUCCCCUUUGGCCGGCCAAUUCGGCCUUCUUCCUUAAAGGACGGGGCGCCUCCCCACUUGGGCCCUUUGUUGGAGAAUGUUGCAUGGGAAACAAAAAUUUGCCUACGCACACGAAGACCUAUCAUGGUGAUGUUCAUUUACGAGAGGAGAUUAGAUCCACAUACCCUUGUAGAUCGCUAAGCGGGAAGCGUUGAGAAACGCGGUUGAUGUAGUGGUACAACUUCGUGAUUCAAAACACUGUCGUCCCACGAUCCGUUCCGAUCUAGCACCGAACGGACGACACCUCCGCGUUCAGCACACGUACAGCUCGAUGACGAUCUCGGCCUUCUUGAUCCAGCAAGAGAGACGGAGAAGUAGAUGAGUUCUCCGGCAGGGUGAUGGUGCGCUGGUGGUGGUGAUGAUCUACUCCUGCAGGGCUCCGCCCGAGCUCCGCAGAAAUUCAAUCUAGAGGAAGAACUACGUGGUAUAGGUUUGAGUUGCACGUGGCAAAGUUGUGUCUCAAAAUCCCUAAAACCAUCAAUAUAUAUAGGAGGAGGGGAGGGGCUAGCCUUGGGGCUCAAGGGAGCCCCAAGGGCGCCAGCCGAAGGGAAAAGGUGGACUCCCACCCCAAUUCGGUUUGGGGGAAGAAGUCCACUCCUUCCUUCCCACCUCCCUCUUUCCUUUUUUUUCCUUUGGUAUUUUUCCCUUGUGGCGCCAUAGCCCUCUUGGGCUGGCCUCACCAGCCCACUAAGUGUUGGUGCACCACCCUAGGGUCACUGGCCUCACUCCCGUGUGGGUGGGCCCCUCCCGGUGAAUAUCCGGAACCCAUUCUUCACUCCCGGUACACCGUCGGUAAUGCCCCAAAACUUUCCGGUAACCAAAUAAAACCAUCCUAUAUAUCAAUCUUCGUUUCCGGACCAUUCCAGAAACCAUCGUGACGUCCGUGAUCUCAUCCGGGACUCCGAACAACCUUCGGUCACCAACACAUAUAACUCAACUAUACUAAAACGUCACCGAACCUUAAGUGUGCAGACCCUGCGGGUUCGAGAACUAUGUAGACAUGACCCGAGAUACUCCUCGGUUAAUAUCCAAUAGCGGGACCUGGAUGUCCAUAUUGGAUCCUACAUAUUCUACGAAGAUCUUAUCGGUCGAACCUCUGUGCCAAGGAUUCAUAUAAUCCCGUAUAACAUUUCCUUUGUCCUUCGGUAUGUUACUUGCCCGAGUUUUGAUCGUCGGUAUCCGUAUAUCUAUUUUAGUCUCGUUAACGGCAAGUUUCUUUACUCGUUCCGUAAUACAAGAUCCCGUGACUCACACUUGAGUCACAUUGCUUGCAAGGCUUGUAUGUGAUGUUGUAUUACCGAGUGGGCCCCGAGAUACCUCUCCGUCACACGGAGUGACAAAUCCCAGUCUUGAUCCAUGCUAACUCAACGGUCACCUUCAGAGAUACCUGUAGAGCACAUUUAUAGUCACCCAUUUACGUUGUGACGUUUGAUACACACAAGAUAUUCCUUCGGUGUCAGUGAGUUACAUGACCUCAUGGUCAUAGGAAUGAAUACUUGACACGCAGAAAACAAUAGCAACAAAAUGACACGAUCACAUGCUACGUUCAUAGUUUGGGUCUAGUCCAUCACAUGAUUCUCCUAAUGAUGUGAUCCAGUUAUCAAGUGACAACACUUGCUAUUGUCAGAAAACCUUAACCAUCCUUGAUCAACUGGCUAGCCAACUAGAGGCUUGCUAGGGACAUUGUUUUGUCUAUAUAUCCACUCAUGUAUCUAUACUUUCAUUCAAUACAAUUAUAGCAUGGAUAAUAGACGAUUAUCUUGAAACGGGAAAUAUAAUAAUAACUAUAUUAUCAUUGCCUCUAGGGCAUAUUUCCAACUCCCUUGUGGCCCAAGUUGUUCCCGUCCACUUGGCCUUAUUAGGGUUGUUGAUAUAUUACUGCUUAUUUUAAAUUGAAGCUUUGUUUGUAUGUUGUCAUCAAUUAACAAAAAGGGGCAGAUUGGAAGCACAUAUGCUCCCUUAAAGGUUUUAAUAAUUCAUAACAACAUACAUUAUUUCUUGGACUAACAGUUCUACCUAGUUGGUUUUAGAUUGAGUCCAAAGAUUGCUAUGGCUGGAAGUUGUGAGGAGAAUCCCCAAGGAGGAAAGGAGUAGGAUUGGAAAAAGCUUCAAGCUUCAAGAUUCUACAUUUUAAUUUUUUGUGAAAAAUUACAUUUGAGUCCAUAGAAAAGCCAAUACUAUUAAAAGGGGAUGAGGUAUCUAAAAUAAUCUGGUUGCUCAAAGUGCUUAGAGAUUUGCCACCAAAAACCUUAACAUUUCCCCCACAAAAUAUUAUGUCCUAAACCCUAAAGAUCAAAUUCGGGGCCACCAACAUUUCCCAUAUCGCCCGCAUCGAGUCUUCAUUAGACAGAACCGAAGGCAAACCCUAGCAAAUUGGUACAACCAAGAUUCGCUUUGGUACACCCGAAAAGCAGUGACCAACCUUUUGGUAUCCAUUUGUUAAAAAUCAGAAUUCCUGAGUUUUAUAUAUCGGUGCCACCGAAGUGAAGAACUGCCCAGGCCAGCCGAAUCAGCCUCACCGAGAUGCUUCUUAUUGGUCUCACCCAGAACCCAAAAGUUAGGACGGUGCAACCGAGUAUUUACUCCGGUUUCAUCGAGUUGGGCAAUAAUAUUGUAAUGGUUAGAUUUUCUCAAUGGGGAGUACUAUAGUCAAUGGAAAGACAAAAUGCUUGAUCUAUUUGAUGAAUUUCAUUUGAGAAAGCAUCACUCGUGCAGUGAUGUGCUAUACAAACGGUUUUUAAAUCCUUUCCGCAACGUAGUUUUAAACCAUCGCCUUGCCUGUGUCGGUGAUAGGGGGGUCCAUCCCACACGACACGGAAAAUCAUCGACGAUGGUGACCUACGAACGCAAACUUUUCACAAAACUAAACGUAUGGGAUGUCCGCACCUAUCAGAAACGAGAGUUAUCGGACAACCGUUUGAGAUAUGUCAUAUUUCCCAUACGGCCCAUCUUUGCUGCUCGUGUGAGAUCGCAUUACCAACGCACACGCUACUCUGUGGUGCACCGUUUACGAUAUGCGUCGCAUCACGAAACCCUUCUCCCAUCUAGCGAGAAGGCCAAUGAAGAAGAAGGAGGAGGAGGGCGCCUCUCCCCCUCUCUUCCGAUGGAGCGAGAGUGCUGCGAGGGGAAUCAUCGUGGCGACGAUCUACACCAACAACUCCGUCGUCUUCCUCAGACCAUCAUCACCUUCCCUCAUAUAUUAUCAGCGAUACACUCUCCCGCAACCCGCUGUACCACAUACUUAAACAUGACGUUUUAUGUUAUAUAUUAUUUUCUAAAUGAUGCGUAGUCACCCCGUGAUGUUUGAGUAGAUCAUUUUUGUCUUAUGGCUUGAUUGAUGACCAUGACUAGUUUGAGUUGUAUAUUUUAUUGGUGCUAUCCUAUAAUGACUUCUCUGUCUCACAUACGUGAGGGAAUUAUCGUUGUAGGGUGUUGCAAUAUGUUUAUAAUUUGCUUAUAAAGUUGUGAAAGUGACAUAAACUUAAGCUCGAGUAAGAGAAAUGUUGCAUAUGGGAUAAAGGGGACUAUACACUUAAACCUAUGAUUGAGUUUUACCUUAAUAAUCUUUAGUAGUUGCAGAUGCUUGCUAGAGUUUCAAUCAUAAGUGCAUCUGAUCUAAGUACACAAAGUAUAUUAGCUCAUGCCUCUCAUUCAUAUAAAACUGCAACAACGACGACCGAUCUAGUUAUCAAUUGCAUAUGACAAUCUCACAUACCCUACCAUCACUUUUCCACACUCGCUAUAAUUGUUAUUUAUCCAAACAUUCCUUAACUUUUAUUUACAUGUUCUUUAUUAUCUUGCAAACAUAUUCAAUUGCACCUACGAAAUAGUUUUGUUUCUUGUACUGGUAAAGUAAAUUUUAUUGUGCGUAGACUUGUAUCGGUGGUCGAUAGAACUUAAAAGAAUAUUAAUUCUACGUUUAGCUCCUCGUUGAAUUCGACACUCUUAUUUGUUAAAAAGACUACAAAUGACCCUCUACACUUGUGGGUUAUUUUCGUAAAAAAAAGUCAUAGUAUGAAAAGUGAAUUAUGAAAGUAAACCUGAAUAUGAAUACGCUCAAUGCAAGAUAACAAUUAUGUGUGAAUACGCUCAAUACGAAUACGCAAUCCUCAAAAAAAAAUCAGCAUGUGGCUCAUUCUGAUUGGUUAAUCAUGUGUGAAGUUUGUUGAUCGAGAGGUAGGCGCUGCAAUGCAGAUAAGGGUUUUACAGCUGGCUCGCUCCACAGAAUACCAAAGCAACCUACAAUCCCCAGUGCACAAGCCAAACUAUGAGAAGCAAAGACAUAACAAGCAGUCCAACGAAGGACCCGACUGAAGCUGUCACAGUCCAAAAGUUUCAGAGUAUCGGAAACAGAAGAUAUAGCAGGAAUUAAUACGUGCCCCGGAGCACAGCCACCAGAGUCGCACUCAACAUGAGCAGCACGAGCUAGCAGUGUGGAAGCGUUUCAUCAACAAGACAACAAGGAAAAUAAACCUUAAUUCUUGCGAGUGCACCCUGCUUUGCUCGUCGUUUAUUAUUAGUCUUCGGUCCCAACGCCGUCAAAGUAAGCCUCCCCAAUCUUCAAGAUCCCAGUCAUAGGCUUCAGGCCCAGCGCCGCCAAAAUAAGGAUCCCCAUGGUACUCCAGCUCAACCUUGAGAUUCUUGAUCGCGGCACAUUUCACUCGCAGGGCGGCCUCGCUGCCGAUGUUGAACGAAUAGUGCACGAGAAGAGUCUCCAGGCGAGGGCAGGCGUCAACGGCGGUGAUCAGCUCCUCGGUGGUGAGGUUAACCAUGUCUACCAGCUGAAGCGACCGCAGGUGCGGCGGCGGCGCUCUUAUCAUCGCACCGGUGAAGCCGUCUUUUGAGACGCCGCGGCAUGAGACCAGGCGCAGGCUUUUCAAAGAGGGCGACCUGCAACCGCAAGAAUCAGUAGACAGCAACUGUCGGAACACGGAUCUAUCUAGAACUAGAACUAGAACUAGAAUAUGUGUCAAUGUGUGUACGUACGUACCUCUUCCUAAGGUACAUGAGGAGCUCGUCAUUAACGAACCCCUUGGCCGCGAACGCCUCAAGACGACCAUCGGACCGGUCGACGGCCACCUUAGCCAUGGCGCGCAGAACACCCUUGUCCUGCUUGUUGACAACGGCGCCGUGACGCUCCAUGUCAAUGGUCCGCCACAUAUCCGCCGCUUUGGCCGCGUCGAGCCAUGGAUGGCACACGAGGCCGGCACCCAUGAGAACCUCGAUGGCGCCGGUCUUGGCGAAGAUCAGCGAAAGCACGUCCGGAGGUAGCCCCGACCAGUCCCUGUCCGGCACUGGCACGGCAUCCAUUAUUUCCUAGUUCCUACCAAGGCAUGAAGCCCCUACUCUAAGGCGGGUUUUGUAGAGGCGAGGGAUGUGAAACGUAGUUGAGCCGAGAAGACAGAGGGUUUGCGCGCAACGAGGAUUAAUCUCCCUGGAACUGGAAGAGAUGCACAUGUACAUACUUUUUUUGAACGCGUGAUUGUUUGUGUACACAGAACCGACCGAUGGCUCCCCCUGGCCGACAAACAAGAUGCACACACAAAUCCUUCCACAGAGAUCACCAAUGUACGUAGGCAUACUGCAGUGAUCCAACCAACUGUCUCGGUGUUUCAUAGAAAGCUAGAACGUUCUAGAAGCUAACUUGGGGGGGGGGGGGGGGGGGGGGGGGGGGGGGGGGGGGGGGGGGGGGGGGGGGGGGGGGGGGGGGGGGGGGGGGGGGGGGGGGGGGGGGGGGGGGGGGGGGGGGGGGGGGGGGGGGGGGGGGGGGGGGGGGGGGGGGGGGGGGGGGGGGGGGGGGGGGGGGGGGGGGGGGGGGGGGGGGGGGGGGGGGGGGGGGGGGGGGGGGGGGGGGGGGGGGGGGGGGGGGGGGGGGGGGGGGGGGGGGGGGGGGGGGGGGGGGGGGGGGGGGGGGGGGGGGGGGGGGGGGGGGGGGGGGGGGGGGGGGGGGGGGGGGGGGGGGGGGGGGGGGGGGGGGGGGGGGGGGGGGGGGGGGGGGGGGGGGGGGGGGGGGGGGGGGGGGGGGGGGGGGGGGGGGGGGGGGGGGGGGGGGGGGGGGGGGGGGGGGGGGGGGGGGGGGGGGGGGGGGGGGGGGGGGGGGGGGGGGGGGGGGGGGGGGGGGGGGGGGGGGGGGGGGGGGGGGGGGGGGGGGGGGGGGGGGGGGGGGGGGGGGGGGGGGGGGGGGGGGGGGGGGGGGGGGGUGUCAAACUUGGCGACCAAAUGGAGCAGAUGAAAUAGGCUUUGCCCAUAAUUUGACUUCAAGCCCUAAAUUAUUUGUGGAGACACGUGGACUUGCUAAUGUGAUUCGGUGACAACUUUUGGAGCAACAGAAAAGGUAAUGGCUCUGUCAGUGCAUGCAUGAUUGGUGAAUGAAGAAUAUCAUAACAAGAUUGGGAGUGUAUCACAGUAAUGGUGGGGGUCUUGGCAUUCUUCAAACAUAAUGCCUAGGCAGAAAAAAAAAUCCUAGCUAAAAACAUAAAAUCAUGCAAUCAGAAAUUCAUGCUCUUGUGCAAGAUAUGGCACUGGCCAUUCAACGCUCGGAUUGAUUGUAUACCUUUCUAGGUCAGCCUAUGGCCAUCUAGCUUAUGGGAUUAAGGAUUAUAUGGUCGCUAGGGAGUUUGUUCCUCUAAAAAUUAGCAGAGAUCAGAAUAGGGUAGCACAUUAAUUAGCAAACUAUAGCCGUAUCAAAGCUUGUACUGUAGUAUGGCUAGUGUCCUCCGUGUCCGUGUUGUGAGGAGCGGCUCUCUCGCAAUUGUGGUCUUAUCAUAAUUGAAUAAAAUUCCCUUUCUUCCUGCAAAAAAAAACGUAGAAUCUUGGGAAGUGCUCUUUUUUUGAACUGAGGCAAAGGAUUUGCCUCAUCGAUUAAUUAACCAGAAGCAAACUAUCCGGUUAAUUAACAAAAAACCAAACGAAAACCGAUAAACCCACCACAUGUGGACUACUCAUAAAGCAUGCAACUCCAUAUUGCAUAUUCCCAUGACCAGCCCGACUACAAAACCUAAAACGCAACAACCACCGGUGUAUCACAGUAAUGAUUCGAGAAAUAUCUUAUUACAUUAUACGUUUCCCAAUAACAAUGAACUCGAAAUCUGCAUGGUGGUGAAUAAGCGCAAAUGCAUGAUUUCAUCAAUCUAAGUGUUGUCCUGGUAUAUAUACAUAUACAACAAUUUAUACAGCAAUAAGCUCAGGCAAUUUGGACACAGCCGAUCGUCCAAUUGGGUAUUUAUGUUUUAUUUACAAUGCGUAAAUGAACAAGCUUGUACUGGUUGAGGCUAGAUAUUCUUAUCUUAUUGUCAAUGUACCUGAAAGGAAAGUCAUAGAUGUUAGGACAAGAAUUCACUAUCAAUGUUGAGUCACCAAUGACCAAACAAAUUGGUCAGUCCAUAACUCUUAUCUUUAAUUCAAUGGGAAAUGGGAAUCAAGUCUUACAAGAUCUCCAUGACAAAUUCUCCUCCAGUUUCCAAGGGAAACUGUAUGCCACCAACUUGAAUAACGCCUUCAUUCAUGGACACGCUGAAGGUAUUAUUGUUGUUCCCUGUUUUGCUGCAAGUUCAACACAACAUACUUAGCACAAAAUAUAAGUGUACCUUUUGUAGUGGUAUUGAAAUGGAGGUGCAUAAAUCAAGAUCACAAGGGAGUUCCAAGAGAGGAACAGAAUAAACAUGUGUGACCUGAAUUUUGAUACAUGUACAGAGUGAAUAGUAACAAACUGAUGUAUGAAGCUUGUGCGCCAACUGCGCAUUGAUGUAUGAAAGUAGUAAUGAAACGAUCCAAUGUCCUGAUGGUUUAAACAUCUACGAAGUAUGUACCAUUCUUACGGUCUUCCUGCAACACGUGUGACAUCACCUCUCCUGCAUGUGACCAUGUGUACAGAAUAUUGUACUGUACAGUCAUACAUGUUCGCAUCUCCUUAUGGCAUUAGUGAAAUAUAUGAUGUUUUCUUUGAUUCUGUGACAUAUUAGUUUUAAGGGUUAUAUAUCACACAAUAUAUGCUUCACUGCUAUGGUCUUUGACGACUGAAACGAUCCCAAAAAGGAAAUAUACAUGAACAUAUAUGCAGCUCUUCAACUUACCAUAUGUUGCCUCUUGCACUGAGGCUGACACCUGGAAAGGGGUUCACCAAAUUCUUCAGUUGCCCAUCUUCAUUUAUGGUCUGAAUGAAUAGUUGAUUCAUGUCAAGUACCAAGAAACACACGAGAGUAUCAUAUCAUCUUUUCCUCAGCUUUUCUGAAGUUCUGCAACUUACCUGGAAAUCCUUGAGACCGGCAGAUGCAACAGAUGACCAGCUUCCACCUCCACUCUCACUCUGUACACACAAGUAAAUAUAUGAAAGGGAAAACACAUCAUACAAGCAGUGGCAGUUACCCCUACGCCUCAUAUGCCAUCUCUGAAGUAUAGUAUAUAUUCUCCUGUAUCAUUUUGAAUAUACGUAAUUACUUAUGCGAUUACAUGGAAAAUUGCACGGGAGUCAGAUAGUUUUGAGCCUUCAUAUUUUUACACAGAAGAGAGUUUGUCUCUGAACCAUUAGAUUGCACAGGAGUCAGAUAGUUUUGAGCCCAUUUUCGUAAAGCCUUCACAUUUUUACGCAGAAGAGAGUUUGUCUAUGAACCAUUAGCUAUAGAUUGCAUUCACGACCGCCAAAGUUUUCGUGAAUAACAUGAGUCAGGGCUACCGUCCUUUGCAAUCAUCAAACUUAAAUAUGCAUCAGCUCUCACGCCCUUCAAAAAAUUCAGAAAAGCAUCAACCUUCUUUGACUCUAGCAAGAAUCAUAACUUCAAUCUCGGUCUGAUACCCGUACAAUUUUGUAUGCUCUUUUAUAAGAGUGGCUGGGAAGAACCCUAGCGUAAACAGAUUUAUACAUAAAUCAUAGCAAACUGUACAAGAUAAAUUACUGGAUAAAAAGAUAGAGCAAAUGAUGUUACUCGUAAAUGACUGGGGAUGCCUUGUUAUAUUUUGAUUUCCAUAGUCAUAUACUUAAUUAUAAUAAAAUCAUGACCAACAAGAAAUCAAGCUCCACAGACAAGAGAUGACAUGCAUAGAAAUCUCAAAUUGCUUUUGUAAUGCUUAUGUAAAGGUUGACCUGUGAAGCCCACAACAGUUGCCAUUCUCCCGCUAGGGUAUUCAUAUCAACCACAACCCCUUUUUUGCUUAAAGUAAGAUCAUCUAUAGCCUGUCCAAUAAGCAUAUUGUACAAAUGAGUACCUCAUGUUACUGCUAUAAUGGACAUCGAAGAUAUAAUAACAUACCUCUUUUACUCCGGUUCCCGCAGAUAUAGCUGACAACAACAUUUGCCUUGGGUCUGCACUUUUCUGGAGAACAAAUGUGGUUCCCUGCACUACAUGUUGUUUUGGAAAGCUAAUAAAAUACAAGGAGGUCUGGAAAAAACCACAUCUUUUGUAAAGAAGUGCUUUACAUAUACUCCACCAUGGGUUCAACAAAAUUGAGAGAAUAAUUACACAACUCAAUACGCUAAAUCCAUGGCUGCAAUGUUACAUGCAGACAAUGUAUUACGUACCUUGUUUCCCCUUGAAAUACGUAUGUUCCCACUACGAGAUAAGUAUGUAGUGUCAAGCCAACCCUUGGCCUCAUCCCCAAGAAGCCUGAAUGGCACCGGAUAUGGAACCUUAAAUGGCAAGAACUUGAAGGCGAAUGCUGCUCGGUCAAAACGGAAGAGAAUGCGCUUCCCAUCUUUGAUAGUUGCUUCUGCCUGAUAUUUUGUUUAACAACCCUCAUUGCAAAAUCAUGUAGAACAUCCUAAAAGCACUAUAGAUGUACCACUUAGCAGUAGCAUAAGUAAAAGCAUACAUAUCUUCUAUCCGCCAAGUCUCACGAAAGAACCACACUAAGAAAAAUCAACGAUGUUUAUGCGUUUGGCUCUACUACCAGCUUUGUAAUGUACUCCCUCCGUAAAGAAAUAUAAGAGCAUUUAGAUCACUAAAGUAGUGAUCUAAACGCUCUUAUAUUUCUUUACGGAGGGAGUACUAAUGAGGACAUGACCAGCGUAGAUACAAACCACUACUGCCUCUACUUCCACUUGCUGGUCAAAAGAAGGUACAAGCACAAGUUAAGGCCAAGAAUCUAAGUCCAAAAGAGGAACCAAUGUCAAGACUAAGAAGAAAAUAAUGGUCAUGUCACUUCAAGAUGGAGACAGUGCAUGAAGAUGAUGUGUUGCUUGCCGCCUUAAAUUAUAAAAUGAAGCCUCUCCAUGAAGCUAAAAAAUAAUUCUUGGGCGCAGAGUAAUCCAAUCAUCAAAGUCUACUCCAUCGAAUCAGUAUCAUGGUUUUCAUCGAAAGAUCGGGACAACCAUAAUCAUCAUGUAUUAUACAAUGUGUCUCAAUAUAGUGCUACUGUAUCCCCUCCAGUCUAUCCUAAAACACUGUUAGCAAAAAUCGCAUGAUAUAGUGCUACCAUAUUAACUUGAGUGUUGUAUUUACUCUGCGCAAGAAAGACCCAUGCACUUCCCUCUAGCAUGACACUGAAGCUUACUAUAUAUACAUAUACUAUUAUAUAACUCUUCUACAACCCGAUUAGUUUCUAUAUAGAACCAGGCUCUGGAAGACACAAUUAGACACCGAGGACAGCAAUAAAUGAAGCAGCAGAAUUUGGGGCAAGACUAUCACAAGCGGCAUUUAUGGUUGAAUAGGAAACAUCAUUACAUCAAAAUACACAAAGCUUCCCUGUACACUUGAAGCUAAGGCGACACUGAGUUAUGGACAGAGCAGUUACCUGUACUGCCAGUUCACCCACUGUUUCUGAAAACUUGACAACAUUGACCACUCUUGGAUCAUCUGUUCUAAGGUAAACUUCCUGAAAGACCCUGAAAGAGUCAACUCCAACGAAUGUCCUCUGCAUCCAAUGUGAAUUGAGAACAAAUUUAGUCACUUUUACAGGUAUGAACAAUCCAACAGCUGAACUCAUUAUGUAAUGCAUAGAUAAAUACAAAAUGGAACAUAUAGUUGCUCACAUGAGCAUGCUAGUUCUAUUCUACCUGAAUGGGGGAUGCCGUCCCUGGUCUUGUAGUGAAUAUGAGCUUCCAGCUACCUUCAAUUAAAUCUGAACUGGUCUGCAUAUAAACCAUAAAUGCUAAGCAGCAACCUUUGUUUUCCAAUAUUUUUUUCUAGAAAAUUUACAGCAGUCAAGUUAGUACAUGCAUCAUUAUUUCGUAUUUUCUCUAAUAGUCACCUCCAUAUAUGCUAAGAGCAAUGCAAUACUUCACCAUACUCCAUCUUCCGUUAUAUAUGCACUUGAGUUCUCGAGUCUUGACACACUGGGUGAACGAAUUGGUUUUGUUGGUAGCCAUGCCACAGUCAAAAGUGUCAAGUAAAACUUGAACGGAGGGAGAAUUUGUUUUCAAUUGGUACAAUCAAUUAAUUGAACAUGACUGGAUCAUUUAGAAAAAAAAGUAGAAUGCUAAAAAUUGUUGGUGGCAAUUCAUUUCAUGGCACAAUAUGCCUAUCUUCGUUUGUGCCCAUUUGAAGAUCAAAGUAUUGCACUUUCAUAAGGCACUUUUUUUUGUAAGAGCUCAUUAGAAAAAAAUUAAGGAUUUUUUUGUAAGACACAUACAUAAGGCACUUCCAUGAGCUCAUUAGGCAACCCAAUAACGACCUUCAAGCGCAAACCAUACAGAAAAAAAGCACAAGGGCCUACCGGAUCGGGCACACCUUCGAGUGCCUCCAGAGUCUGCACCGCGCUUUCCACCUCCUGCACGCAUGCGGAUCGGCACGCCGCAUCAGUAACAUUCCAACAAGCACAUGGCGCGCGUACUCAAGCCUCAACUCUCAAGCCAAGCAGAAGCAGGCUGGUUCCUUGCCUGGAGCUGGCGCGGCGCUACCGCACGGCCACGGCCCUGCACGCCGACCAGGGCCUCUAGCAGCGCCUCCUCUGGCUCAGUGUACGACACCUCCCCAGCCGCCACCGCGAGCAGCGGGGCUCCGCGGCGGCAAAGGCCAGGCCGUCUCCGCGAGCGCCGCCCGUAUGAGGUGCCGGGGAGAUGGGGGGAGGGGGAAGGAGGUGGCGCGUAAGAAGGAGGGAGCUUGAGGAGGCCUGUAGGCGUUGCUACUGCGGCGGCCAUGGCGCCCGGUGGAAUGGGGGGGGGGGGGGGGGGGGGGGGGGGGGGGGGGGGGGGGGGGGGGGGGGGGGGGGGGGGGGGGGGGGGGGGGGGGGGGGGGGGGGGGGGGGGGGGGGGGGGGGGGGGGGGGGGGGGGGGGGGGGGGGGGGGGGGGGGGGGGGGGGGGGGGGGGGGGGGGGGGGGGGGGGGGGGGGGGGGGGGGGGGGGGGGGGGGGGGGGGGGGGGGGGGGGGGGGGGGGGGGGGGGGGGGGGGGGGGGGGGGGGGGGGGGGGGGGGGGGGGGGGGGGGGGGGGGGGGGGGGGGGGGGGGGGGGGGGGGGGGGGGGGGGGGGGGGGGGGGGGGGGGGGGGGGGGGGGGGGGGGGGGGGGGGGGGGGGGGGGGGGGGGGGGGGGGGGGGGGGGGGGGGGGGGGGGGGGGGGGGGGGGGGGGGGGGGGGGGGGGGGGGGGGGGGGGGGGGGGGGGGGGGGGGGGGGGGGGGGGGGGGGGGGGGGGGGGGGGGGGGGGGGGGGGGGGGCGUCGUUCGUUUGUGGCUUGCGUUGGCGCCUCCCGGGUGUAGGGGGUCGGUGCUGGAUGUGAAAUCGACCAGCGGUUGGGCGCCACGUGGACGGGAUGGCUGCCACGGCCGUUAUUACUCAGAUCACGCUACUCGCCGCCCCUUCUCCCUCUGCACGCCACCGUCCGUUCUCUCCCCCACUCCAUUUUAUUUUCAUCCAACGGUUGUGCGAGUCUUUCGCGCAUCACAUUUUUCACCUUGAAGGAAAGAUAACUCUUGAUGUUUUAUUAAGAAGACUUACAAAAGUCUUUUCCUCUGAUUUUUAAUGGGGGUGGGGUCCUCAUCCUUCUAUUACCAAUCACAAUCCUCUACGUCGAUUUGUAUGUAAAAUAUUUAUGUAAAUCUUUGCAGGUGUAGCAUUACUCAAAAGGAAAAGCUCGGCUUCACCCGGCUGCAGCGUGACCACGUCGUUUAAGCUCCCACGACUAGAAGGAGACUCUAAUGUGACCAUGUAUCCUUACACAACCCCGGUUCAUAAUCAGAAAUGAUAACCCGUCAAACAUAUGCACGCCGCGUGACAAAAUUUCAUGUUUUGACCUUUUCUUGAAAGUUAAUCCAGAUGUAACCAUAGUUUGUAAAAGUUUCGAAAUCUGCCCCUAUUCCUAUCGCCGGGGUCCAUAAUGAUAGGAUAUAACAGCUUACUGUUAAGAACCAUGACGGUAGGAAACUUAACCACGUCAGCGCGACGCACCCCUACUGUCAAAUAUGCUGGCGGUAACCUAUAUAAUCUUACCGUCAAGAUGUCCAGUGGUAGGUGCGAACAUGCACUGUGUCUGAUAUUUAGGAAAAAAUUACGAUAAGGUGUGCAACCCUAUCGUCAGGGUCCGGUCAAAUCUCAAAAAUUUACAAACUAGGUUCAGAUCUGAAUCAACUUCCACGAAAGGGCCAAAACAUGAAAUUUAGCCAUGCCUCGUAUGUCGGCAUGCAAUUCGUGGUUGGAUCUGACAUAUGGACCCGCUCGUCCAUCUACGCCUCACGACAAAAGAGUGGGAGAUGAUCAGCCUUGGCGAUAUUGUGAGAAAGACCAUCAAAGAGGCUAAGGCCGUGUUUGGAAUGUUGUUUCGCUUAGCAAUACACUUGUAAACAACAUAUGUCUCCCUCCAUCGUUUUGCUUCGAGUUGAAAAUCAUUAUUGGUUUCGUAAGUUAUCCUGUAAAUUAAAUGCGUGCAUAUUUAAAUACACCCAAUCCCAGCACUCCCUAAGUGUCGGCGGUUGCAUUUUCAUAAAGAACUUUAGCUUCAACAUGAAAGUGGAUCGUUGUCAUAUAAUCAAUCUGUUGGCACUAGGCAGCGCUACGUUUGUCAUGCAACAGGAAAUUUCUUGAUGAAUCGGGUGCGGUCAUCUAGAAUUGCUCAAUCACAUUUGGAAGACAUGCGGGCGGGUGUUGCCCACCCGAAAUGCAGAGACUAUUCCUACGGAAAAUGUGUUUUUGAUUGGUUUCAAAACGGUGCUCAGACGUGUCCCAUAUAUAUGUCUCCAGUGUGAUCAAGCGAGCAUCGUUUUGAGGGCGUUGACAUGUUGAUGCAAAUAUGUUACACUAAAAUCACACUAAUAUGUAUGAUUGGUGUGUUUACGGCAUGGGACAUGUGAUUAGUAACUUCAAAAUUAACAUGUACUUCCUCCAUAUCGAAAUAUUUGUAGUUGGAAGAACUUGUAUUAGCUUUCCUCAGCUACAAGUAUUACGAUAUAGAUGGAGUAUAUGGUGUGUUCGUGCUUAAUAUCCGGAAUGCAUGCAUGCACGUGCACAUUGCUUGGAAAUUUUGGUGUUGGUCGAUCUUUUCAGCCAUCCAAUUCAAAUCCAAGGACUCCUAUGCAUCUUCUACAUCGAGCCGUUUCCUUCAACCUCAGGCGUCCCGGCCUUGGCUACGGCGCUUCAUACGCGACUCGCAUCUCUUCUUCUUCUGUAGUUCUGUGUCCCAAAAUCGACUUGCACCGGCAAAAACUUCAAGCAACUUAACUAUGGUCCACGCUUGAGAGUUUUGCGCCGUUGAAGCCUCCGGUCAGGCAGAAUGUUAAUAUUUAUAUAUCGUGUCAUUGAUGUGCGGCAGUCAGGCACAGGGCGCACCGAAUGCCGGCCGCCCUGCCGGUACAAACGUAAUGAACUCCGAAGCUACUGUAAAAAGAUAAAUAUGCGCUACAAACGCAGCCGACGCGCAGCGUGCGCGCGCACCGGGAUGAGCGAGACGUCGUCGACGACGGGGCCGCACAGCGUGGCGUCGGACUUCAUGAGGUGGUUGGAGCUCUGGAACACCACGCGCGUCUCGUUGGCGACCGCCGUGAACUCGAGCGCCGCGCGCGCGGACCCGCCCGUGCCGAGGGACUCGUACGGCACCCUCAGGGUCGCCCGCCCCGCGUACGCCUCCACCACCAGGGACCCGCUGCACCCGUUGCCCGCGUCGCCCACGGAGAAGGAGAGCCUGUACGUCCGCCCGGGCACGGUGCGCACCUCCUGCACCAGCGCGCUCUCCCGGCCGGCCACCAGCUCCACGGCGCGCGCGCCCCGCGGCACCGCGUGGUGCGGCGCGUCCACGUACUUGACCACCUUGGUGUCCGACAUGACCAUCCAGCCCGACAGCGGCGAGUGCACGUCCUCCAUGAUCGGCGGCACCAUCACGCCCCACGGCGCGCCGGGGAAGAUGUACGGCCCCUGCUCGAAGUCCCCGUUCCUCAGCAUGUUACCUGUCGAUCGACAGUUCGUUAGAUUUCCAAACUGAUCAUGGCGUGCUGAAUUCAUGCAUGAUCUUUGAUGUGGUGCGACGAAGACGAACCCUUGGUGUGGUGGGGCGCGUAGAGGGUCUUGAUGGCGACGGCGAUGACGAGGGGGCCGCACGCGGGGUCCUCCUCGACGCCGGUGUUGUGGAUGCUCAGCCACCCGGUGCUGUGCCUGGCCUUGAAGGCCCAGGAGUAGGUGUCCCAGCCGGUGCUGGUGUACACGGUCUGGAUCGGGAGCACGCCGAACUCCGGGUCGACCGACAGGUUCAGCUUCUCGGCCUGGGCGCACGACCGCGCGGCCAUGAAGGAGACGGAGUAGAACAUGUGGCGCGUGACGUUGAGCUGCUGCCGGAUGGUGGCGUCGUUGCCGAGCCGCACGGCCGACGCGCCGGGCGGCAGCGGCAGGAUCAUGUCCUCCUCCUUGCGCCCGGGCUCGAUGUACUCCACGAACCCGGAGAUCUCCCAGCACGGUAUGGCGUGGCGCGCGGUCACCACCGUGCCGUUCAUCUCCGACCUGCGCGGCCCCCGGGCGAAGUCCCCGUUGGGCAACAGCCCUGCGCGCGACAAGACGGUCGGAAACUGGAAUUCGUGGGAGGGAUGAAGUUGCCGAGGUCUUUACCUUCGGGGACGGCGGAGAUGGGUCGGACGGCCAGGGCAAGGGACACGAAGAAUGCCAUCGAGAGCGUGCUCCUCGCCAUGAUCUCCCCCCCGCUCCCUGCGUACGGUCUCUCGAGCUCUGCUGGGGUGGAAGAGGGAGGAAAUGGAGGAGGGCGAAGCUGGCGCGGCGGCUUUAUAAGCGGCACGUCCCGCGCGCCGCUGACCGGGGAGGCGUGGCCGUUGGGCAAGGCCACCGCCCACCGGCCGGGCGCGGCGCCGCGAGGUGCGCCGGGAGGGCACGAGCCGGGAGGGACAACUGGCAUCUCUCGGUUUUCCAGUUGGCCGGCCGUGCGUCUUGGCCGCCAGAUCGAGUCUGGGGCACCCUUGCGGGUGUCCUUCACGUGGCGCUCCGUUUGGUUCGAUGCGUAAGAAGAUUCCGGCCUCGAGUUCGUGUGUUCGAGUGUCCCACGCUGCGCGGCUCCGUCUCGUGCCUCGUGCUGCGCGGCUUCCGCACACCUGCGCCGUGGCUAGUGGCUACCGACGCAGCCAGUGGNNNNNNNNNNNNNNNNNNNNNNNNNNNNNNNNNNNNNNNNNNNNNNNNNNNNNNNNNNNNNNNNNNNNNNNNNNNNNNNNNNNNNNNNNNNNNNNNNNNNCUUCCUAAUCUGGCCCUAUCCCCUCGCCACCUCGAUUCCCGUGCGAAUCAGUGGGCAACCGCCACCCCCAACGCCCCUGUCUCCCUCCUCGCGCCAGGCCCUCCUGGCCCAGAUCGGGGCCCGCUCGAGCCCAUCUGGGCCCGGACGAGCCCGUUGCUGGUUGCAGCUCUCCUCCUCCCGAGCUCCCUGCCGCCUUCUCCACCCACGCCUUCCCCGUCGCCGCGCCGCCACCGAGCCGCAGCCCCGCCUCGCCCCCUGUCUCUUAUACACAUCUCUGAUGGCGCGAGGGAGGNCCCCGAGCUCACCGGCCCUUCCUCGCCGAGGUCGUCGCCGUGACGCGCCGCCAGCAGCCCCUGGUCGGGAGCGUCGCCCUGCUCCCGCAACCGCCCCACUCCCGCACCGCGCGUGGCGCUCAGCUGGGCCCCGAGCCGGCCCAGCUAUGCACCUCCAGCAGGCUUUGGCCUCACCCGCGGCCCACCUCCAGCUUCGGCAGCCAGGCCGGCUGCCUUCCUCGGCGCCCUCCAGCCCAAGAGCCCGCCCCCCCCCCGAGGUGAGAUCCAUCCCGCGUCCUUGGCGCUAUUUACUAAAUUGCGCCUCCAUAUUCGGCCCGUUUGCAUUUAGGAUAUUUCUGUGAUUAAAUAAUUUCAGGAAUUAAUAGAUAUUUAAAACGUUUGUAUCUUUUAAUUCGUAAGUCGGAACGAAGCGAGUAAUAUAUGUAUUUCGCGUAGUUUCUCGUGUAGAACACGUUGGCGCUACUUGCAUAAUUAUUUGAGGUCAUUUAGCGUGUCGUAUGCCUAGUUUAGCGUGCUGUCCUAUUAUGUUUGCACCUCGUAAUAUUUUUUCGCGCGUGUCCGGACUGCCCGUCUACCGUAGAUUAAUGUCCAUGUUUUAGGAAUCAUUUUGCAUGUAUUUUAGAGCGGCCAUUUGUAUUUUUACGUGUAUGGUUUGCCGGUAGUUUAUUUUCCCGUAUAUAGGUGUUUAUCUCGCAUUAAUGUGUGGCAUUAUUUUAUGUUGCAACCCCACAUAUUUUAUAUGUUUUCGGGAUAGAAAAUCCGUGUGAUUUUUAUGUGCAAUUAGUUUUAGCUUUUGAGUAAGUUAGUUCGCGAGAUAUUUUGCCAUGUUGCCCUUUUGUUUGAUUCGUAGGAUUUAAUCCGUUCUUCGUUUGACGGAGUUGUCAACUAGGGAGUUGUUCUUGGGUGUUUAGUCUAGCCCCUCGUAUUUUUGGUUGCAAUAGAAAUGCAUGUUUAGGUGUGAUUUUCUUGCUCUCAAGUUGCUAGAAGUAGUGCUGUUUUAGAGGAGCUGAAAUAUUUCUAAGUCUGGAAUCUGUUCUAUUUUGUUGCUGUCUUGUCCUGCUUGUAUCUUGUGAUCUGUAGCUCUUUUGAGGUUGGUCCAAUGGAGUUAGUUGUAGCCCUUAUGUUUCUCUAGCAUGCUAUAAACUUUCAUGCCAUUUGGAGUCCUGUAGCUAUAGGUUUUGCUGCUGUCAAUAUUGCUUCAGAUCGAAAACUGCACUCUCAUGAGGUGUAAUUUUCACUAAGUCUGAAAUAGUGCGUGAGAUGCCAUUUUGUGUCUUAUUUUCCUAGUGCUCCUUGCUGCCAUGCUAGUUGUUGUUAGUUGUUUGUAGUAGUGCUUCUUGACCUCUUUCGUGCCAUGCCUUUCUUGAGUUUAUCAGAGUUGUGUAGCUCGUAGUUGUGGGGCGUAGAAAAUGCUAUGUGGCUGAUUUUGGCAGAUUGUAGUCAUUUCUUGUUUUGCUCGUAGUUUUUGAACCGUAGCUCCGAUUUGAUCGUGUCCUACAUGAAACUUGCUUAGAGUCUUGUGUAGUUUCAUUUUCUUUUGUUGUUUGUAUGUUUUGAAGUGCUCGUAGCCGUCGUUGCACACAUAUUGCAUUCAUGCCAUCAUAUCUUGCGGUGAUUGUAACUCUUGAUCCAUAGCUCCGUUGGAGAUGAUCUCUAUGUGUAGAUUGCUUGAAAUGACACGUAGAACCACGAGAAACUAUUUGUUUUGCUGUUUAACAACUAAUUAAAUGUGUUAGUUCAGAUCUGGACAGAAUUGUAAAUUAACAUGUGAGGUCGUCUCGGAGGUGCUAUAUGUCAGUUCCGACCUCAUUUAAAAUGCCUAGAUAGGUAGUUUAAUUGCGCUUCACCUCUUGCCACGUUUAAUCACAUUUAAUAUUGCCGAGUAUCUAAUCGGGAUAGAACUAAAUAAAUAAACGUGAAGUUUUGUCAAUAUGCAACUCGUGGCAUAUUGAACUUCACUUAAUGUGUAGUGUUUGAUUGUGUGAAUUGUCAUGACGUGACUUGCAUGUAUCCAGCUGCUCAUGCAUCAUUUGUGUUGUGCAUCGUGUGCUGAAUUCCGUGUGAUGAUUUGUGUUUCCGGUUUGCUUCUUCUCGAUAGAGCUCCGCACGCGUGCCGGAUUGUGAGGACCCGUUCAACUACGUCGGUUCGUCUGCUUCAGGGAGGCAUUCUUCUUCCAAGCGGGAUCUCAGGCAAGAUGAUCAUUUCCCCAGAUACCAUUAAUAUCAUUGCCAUGCUAGUUUUAUCGUUUCUGUCGUUAUGUCUCGUUGCCUACCACAUGUUAAAUUCAGCCUCUCGACAAUGCCAUGAUAACCUUCAACCUGUUCGACCUAGCAAACCACUGAUUGGCUAUGUUACUGCUUGCUUAACCCUGUUGAUAGCGUUGCUAGUUGCAGGUGCAGAUGCCUCCAUGUGAAAACAUGGGUUCCUUGUUAUAUCACCAUAUUAAAUGGUAUUUAAUGUAAUGCACCUAUAUACUUGGUAAAAGGUGGAAGGCUCGGCCUUUCUAGCCUGGUGUUUUGUUCCACCUUUGCCCCCUUAGUUUCCGACUACCGGUGUUAUGUUCCAUAAAUGAGCGCUCCUAACACGAUCGGGGUUGUUAUCGGGACCCCCUUGAUAAUUCGUUUUAGAUUAAAGCUGGUCUGGCAAGGCCCAACUUUGGUACUACAUUUGCCUAAACACCUAAUAAAAUUGCAUAGGGACUUUCCGGACCCCGAGGAUAAUUUAAUCAACCCCCGGGCCAGUGCUCCUCAUGAGUGUUGGUCCCACCUGAGCGAUGUCUGGCGCCCCUCUGGUCACCCGGAGGUUUAGCGAUCCCGACGUCUAGCUCAUCCGCCGUGUCCUGAGAAAGAGGUACGCGACUCCUAUCGGGAUCGUCGACACGUCGGGCGGCCUUGCUGGAUUAGUUUUACCUUUGACGGAAUAUCUUGUGCAUCGGGAUUCCGGUGAUGCUUUGGGUAAUCUCAGAGUUGAGGUUUUCCACUAGGGAAUCCGACGAGAUCGCGAGCUUCGUGAUUGAGGAUUUCUAUGCGGCUUGUGGUAAUUUGUGAUGGACUAGUUGGAGCACCCCUGCAGGGUUAAAUCUUUCGGAAAGCCGUGCCCGCGGUUAUGUGGCAACAUGGAAACUUUGUUUAACACUGGUUCUAGAUAACUUGAAGUUAACUUAAUUAAAAUAUGCCAACUGUGUGCGUAACCGUGAAUGUCUCUUUCGUGAGUUCCUUCUCCGAUUGAGGACACGGUGGGGUUAUGUCUGACGUAGGUAGGUGUUCAGGAUCAUUCAUUUGAUCAUCAGUAGUUCACGUCCGUUAUGCGUAGAUCUUCCCCCUCUUAUUUCUUGUACUCGUAAGUUAGUCACCAAAUAUAUGCUUAGCCGCUGCUGCAACCUCACCACUUAACCAUACCUCACCCAUUAAGCUUUGCUAGUCUUGAUACCUUUGGAAAUGAGAUUGCUGAGUCCCCUAUGGCUCACAGAUUACUACAACACCAGUUGCAGGUACAGGUAAAGGUUACUUGACGCGAGCGCGUUGAUUGUUCAUUUGGAGUUGCUUCUUCUUCUUCAUCGAUCUAGGAUGGGUUCCAGGCCGGCAACCUGGGAUAGCAAGGAUGGACGUCGUUCUUAUUUUUCUCGUUUGUUUUCGUCCGUAGUCGGACCCUGCUCUUACUCUUGAUGAUUAUGUAAUGUACUGAUGUGACUCUGAUGUAGCUUGUGGCGAGUGUAAGCCAACUCUGUAUAUAUAACUCUUCUUUUCAGUACAUGUACUUGUAACGAUAUCCAUUCUUGCGACACGACGAGAUGCGCUUCUAUCCCUGACGAGGCCUUCGUGCCAAAUUGAGGAUAGGGUCGCAUCUUCGGCCUGACAAGUGUCCACACCAGCAAGGCCAUUUUUGCCACGCCAUAGCUAGGAUUUUCUACACUAGUGGCCAUGGAGCAGAUGAGAUGUUCCAAGAGCCCGUGUUGAGAGGUAUGAGACCUCUAACAAGCUCUUUGCCUACAAGAUGGAAGAGAAUAGAUGAGUCGGUGAGCAUGUGCUCAGAAUGUGUGGGUUCUAUAAUCGCUUAAAUCAAGUAUGAGUUAAUCUUAUAGAUAAGUAAGUGAUUAACAGAAUUCUCUAGUGACUAUCACCAAGCUACUAGGGCUUCAUAAUAAAAUAUAACAUUCAAGGGAUGGGGAAGAUGAUCCAUGAUCUAUUCGCGAUGUUUUACAUUGUGGAGGUAGAAAUCAAGAAGGACAUCAAAUGUUGAUGGUUGAUAAGACAACUAGUUUCAAGAAGGGCAAAGGCAAUAAGGGAAACUUCAAGAAUGGCAAGCCACUUGCUGAUCCAGUGAAGAAACCCAAGGUUGGACCCAAACCUAAGACUAAGUGCUUCUAUUACAAGGGGAACUGUAACUAGUAGCGGAACUGCCCCAAAUACUUGGUAGAUAAGAAUGCUUGCAACGUCAACAAAAGUACAUUUGAUAUACAUGUUAUGAAUGUGUACCUUACUAGUGCUCAUAGUAUCACCUCGGUAUUUGAUACUGGUUCAGUUGCCAAUAUUAGUAACUCGAAACAGGAGGUGUGGAAUAAACGAGACUCGCUAAGAAUGAGGUGACGAUGCACAUUGGAAGUGUCUCCAAGGUUGAUGUGAUCGUCAUCGGCACGCUCAUUCUACCUUCAGGAUAUGUUCGAACCUAAAUAAAUGUUAUUUGGUGCCUCCUUUGAGCAUGACCAUUAUAUUGAUCUUGUUUAUUGCGAGGCAAUUGUUUGUUUAAGUCACUGAAUAAUGGUUGUUCUUUUUACAUGAAUAAUAUCUUUUAUGAUCAUGCAUCCAAUAUGAAUGGUUUAUUGAAUCUCAUUUGUAGGAACACACAUGUUCAUAAUAUUGAUGCCAAAAGAUGCAAAUUUAAUGAUGAUAAUAUCACAUACUUGUGGCACUACCGCUUAGGUCAUAUUGGUCUAAAGCGCAUGAAGAAACUCCAUGCUGAUGGAUCUUUGGACUCACUCGGUUUUGAAUCACUUGAGACAUGCGCACCAUGCCUCAUGGGAAAGAUGACAAAUACCUCGUUUUCCGGAACGAUGGAGCGGGAAAGUGACUUAUUGGAAAUAACACAUAUUGAUGUAUGCAGUCCAAUGAGUACUAAAGACGUAGUGGAUACCGUUAUUAUCUUAACUUCACAAAUGAUUUGAGUAUAUACAGGUAUAUUUACUAGAUGAAAAACAAGUCUGAAAUUUUGGAAAGUUCAAGCAAUUUCAGAGUGGAGUUGAAGAUCGUCGUGACAAGAAGAUAAAAUGUCUAUGAUAUGAUCCUAGAGGUGAAUGUGUGAGUUACGAGUUUGGUAUGCAUUUAAGACAAUGUGAAAAUUGUUUCACAACUCAUGCCACCUGAAAUGCUAGAGUAUAAUGGCAUGUCCGAACGUCGUAGCCGUACUCUGUUGGAUAUGGUACGUUCUAUGAUGUCUCUUACCGAUUUGCCACUAUCAUUUUGGGGUUAUGCAUUAGAUACAACUACAUUCACUUUAAAUAGGGAACCAUUUAUGUCUGUUGAGACGACACCGUAUGAAUUAUGGUUUGGCAAGAAACCCAAGAUGUCGUUUCUCAAAGUUUGAGGAUGCAGCACUUAUGUUUGAUAAGCUCAAACCCAAAACGGAAAAGUGCAUCUUCAUAAGAUACCCUAAAGCAACAAUUGUCUAUACCUUCUAUCACAGAUCCGAAGGCAAGGUCUUUGUUGCUAAGAAUGGAUCAUUUCCAGAGAAGGAAGUUCUCUCGAAAGAAGUGAUUGAGAGGAAGGUAGAACUUGAUAAGGACCUUCACUUGAAUUGGAAAGUAGCGCAACACAGAAAGGUGUUUGUGUGAUGCGUACACCAAUUGAAGAAGAAGCUACUGAUGAUUACAUAAAACUUCGGAUCAAGUUACUACCGAACCUCAUAGGUCGACAAGGACACGUACUGCCCAAGUGGUUCGACGAUCGUGUCUUGGGAGUCAUGUUGUUAAACAACGAUGAGCCUACGAACCAUGAGGAAGCAAUGAUGGACCCGGAUUCCAAUAAAUGGUUAAGCCCAUGAAAUCCGUGAUAUGAUCAAUGUAUGAAAACCAAGUAUGGACUUUGGUAGACUUGCCCCAUGACCGGCAUGCCAUUAAGUAUAAAUGGAUCUUUAAGAAGAACACACACGAUGGUGGUAAUGUCAUCAUUUAUAAAGCUUGAGUUGUCGUAAAGAGGUUUUCCACAAGUUUAAGGAGUUGACUACGAUGAGGCUUUCUCACUCAUAGCGAUGCUAAAGUCUGUUAGGAUUAUGUUAACAGUUGCUGCAUUUUUUUAUUAAGGAAUCUCACAUAUGGAUGUCAAAACAACUUUUUUCUUUAAUGGUUUCCGUGAGAAAAGGUUGUAUGUGAUACAACUGAAAAAUUUUGUUAAUUCUAAGGAUGUUAAAAGGUAUGCAAACUUCAGCGAUCUUUUUAUGGACUGUUGCAAGCAUCUCAGAGUUGGAAUAUACUUCCUCCGUUCCUAAAUAUAAGUCUUGGAAUAUACUCCCUCCGUUCCUAAAUAUAAGUCUUUCUAGAGGUUUCACUGAUGGACUAUUUACGAAUGUAUAUAGACAUACUAUAGAGUGUAGAUUUACUCAUUUUGUUCUGUAUAUAGACCCCUAAUAUAUUUCUGUAUAUAGACCCCUAAUAUAUUCUCUUAAAAGACUUAUAUUUAGGAACGGAGGUAGUAUGUUUUUGAUGAGGUAAAAGUUCGCCAGCUAUUGGGAAAGAAAGCGGGUUUUGCGAAGACGCUUCUGCCGUCGAUGCGUCUGUGGCUCACCCUCCCCGCCGCUCGACCCGGCACGAGGCACAGCUCGGCUCACAGUCACAGGGGAUGAGGAGAUGAGCGAGAGCUGCUAGCGCUAGGAGGAGCGACACCACCCCAUGGCUCCUCCUCAGUGCGCCAUCUCGCCGCCGCCCGCCCCCACCAAUGCCGCCAACCCCGCCGCCGGCGGAGGCAAGGGCAGGACGCAGCUGGCGGUGGCGCAGGUGAAGAAGCUCUGCAAGCAGGGGCGGCUCGAGCAUGCGCGGCGGCUGCUUCUGGACGCGCUGCCGCGCCCGCCCCCGACGCUGCUCUGCAACGUGCUCCUCAUCGCCUACGUCGCCGGCGCGCUCCCGGACCACGCGCUCCGCCUCUACGCGCUCCUCAACCACGCCGCGCGCCCCGCGCCCCGCUCCGACCACUACACCUACUCGUGCGCGCUCACCGCCUGCGCCCGCUCCCGCCGCCUGCGCCUCGGGAGGUCCGUCCACGCGCACCUCCUCCGCCGCGCCCGCUCGCUCCCGGACACCGCCGUCCUCCGCAACUCGCUGCUCAACCUCUACGCCUCCUGCGCGAGGCACCGCCGCGGCGGCGUCGACGUCGUCCGCAGGCUGUUCGACGCAAUGCCGAAGAAGAACGUCGUUUCCUGGAACACCCUGUNNNNNNNNNNNNNNNNNNNNNNNNNNNNNNNNNNNNNNNNNNNNNNNNNNNNNNNNNNNNNNNNNNNNNNNNNNNNNNNNNNNNNNNNNNNNNNNNNNNNAACACCGCCGCCCGACCCCGACGGGGACGGGUCAGCGGCCCCCGCGCGCGNNNNNNNNNNNNNNNNNNNNNNNNNNNNNNNNNNNNNNNNNNNNNNNNNNNNNNNNNNNNNNNNNNNNNNNNNNNNNNNNNNNNNNNNNNNNNCGUCCACCACCACGCGCCCCCGACGACUCCGUACCCUGCCCGAGUGGCGGCGAUCACAGCAUCCGCGGGAGCAGCCGAGCAGCCGCCGGAGGAGUCCAGCUCCAUCCUAGGCGGCGGCCGCCAUGCCCCCCGAUCCUCCGGCGCGACGUUAUCGGGGGUAAUUCCGUGCUCCGGGCCCUGCGCGGCGGCGGAAUUGGGAGGGACGGGGGCGGGCCGCGGAUUGGGCCCGGCUGGGUAGGGUUUUGAUGGGACGAAACGGGAAUCGCGGGAUAGAGAGCAGUGGGAGGGAGGUGGGGGUGGACUGGCUCCUCCGGAUUUGGGUUGGAGCUCCCCCGAUUCGGCGCCCCGGAUGGAGGGGGGAGGAGGGGGGUGGCGCGACCUAGGUAGGAGGAGGCGAGCUGGCGUCGAGGAUGGAGGGAUGAUUCCCUUGGGAAAUUUCUUCCCCGCUCCGCCCGUGUUCCUCCGCCUCGCCUCGCCUCGGCCUCGGCUAUUUUCCUUGGCUUUUCCCUUUUCUCUUUCUUUUUUCGUUUUCGUUGCGUUCGCCCCUGUUUUCCUUUCCGUGUGGAGAAAGGGUACUGCGGCGGGCGGGCGAUGCUGAUUAGGUGUUUGAUUAUCGUAUAAUACUCCUACUACUGGUUAAUGGGGAGAUAAGCACCAGCCUUCCCGUUCCUCGCCAUGUCUCCUCUCUCGCUUGCUUAUUCUAUUCCGGCCGGCUGACUGCGCUGGCCGUUGUUUCUAGCGGUAACUUGGACCUCAUCGUGGGUGUGUCUGCGGGUGGGCCACAAGUGCCAGUGCUCGGCUCGGGCCUCACGGGAGCGCGUGCGAUGUAUCCAACGGCGGGCGGGCGGGCGCGUGGUUGACAACGAAGGGGUGGAUGCUGGCCCCACGCGUCGCGACGUAGGGGGCGCGUGGAGCCCGCGUGUCGGUGGCGUGCAAGGUAGGCCUGCCUGUCCCGUCGUGGAUUCUUGGUGAUAAAAACUGUCUAGGUGACAUCGUGCGUGCAUUGUCCCGUGAACCCGGUCCAGGUGGGUGGUGGCAUGCACAUGCACCGUUUGUCCUUUUCCUCCCCCGUUGAUUGUUUUUUCCUUUUGGUACAGACGAGGUACGGUACNNNNNNNNNNNNNNNNNNNNNNNNNNNNNNNNNNNNNNNNNNNNNNNNNNNNNNNNNNNNNNNNNNNNNNNNNNNNNNNNNNNNNNNNNNNNNNNNNNNNGUCAUGCAACAGUUAUAACACAGAGAGAUAUGUGGCUAGCUCCCGUUCGUCGAUGUGAUGUAGGCAUGCAUUUCAUGUGUAGUCAUACAUGCUUAGGGAAAAGAACUUGCAUGACAUCUAUUGUCCAUCCCUCCCGUGGCAGAGGGGUCCAAAUGGAUACUACGGGAUAUUAAGGUUCUCCUUUUAAUAAAGAAUCGGAUCAACGCAUUAGCACUUGGUGAACACAUGAACUCCUCAAACUAUGGUCAUCACCGGGAGUGGUUCCGGUUAUUGUCACUCCGGGGUUGCCGGAUCAUAACACAUAGUAGGUAACUACAACUUGCAAGAUCGGAUCUAAAACACACAUAUAUUGGUGACAACAUAAUAAUUUCAGAUCUGAAAUCAUGGCACUCGGGCCCUAGUGACAAGCAUUAAGCAUGGCAAAGUAGUAGCAACAUCAAUCUCAGAACAUAGUGGAUACUAGGGAUCAAUCCCCGUCAAAACUAACUCGAUUACAUGAUAGAUCUCAUCCUACUCAUCACCGCCCAGCGAGCCUACGAAUAGAUUACUCACGAACGAUGAAGAGCUUCAUGGAAUUGGAGAGGGACGAAGGUUGAUGAUGACGAUGGCGACGAUCUCCUUGAUCCGGAGCCCAAAACGGACUCCAGAUCUGCCCUCCAGGGCAAGAACGGGAUGUCGCGGCGCGUGUGGAUCGUAAACGCGAUGAAAUCUUCUCUCUUCGAUUUUUUUCCGUGACGAAAGGGAAUAAAUAGCGCUGGAAUUGGGGGCGGCNNNNNNNNNNNNNNNNNNNNNNNNNNNNNNNNNNNNNNNNNNNNNNNNNNNNNNNNNNNNNNNNNNNNNNNNNNNNNNNNNNNNNNNNNNNNNNNNNNNNGGGUUGGCGGCAUUGGUGGGGGCGGGCGGCGGCGAGAUGGCGCACUGAGGAGGAGCCAUGGGGUGGUGUCGCUCCUCCUAGCGCUAGCAGCUCUCGCUCAUCUCCUCAUCCCCUGUGACUGUGAGCCGAGCUGUGCCUCGUGCCGGGUCGAGCGGCGGGGAGGGUGAGCCACAGACGCAUCGACGGCAGAAGCGUCUUCGCAAAACCCGCUUUCUUUCCCAAUAGCUGGCGAACUUUUACCUCAUCAAAAACAUACUACCUCCGUUCCUAAAUAUAAGUCUUUUAAGAGAAUAUAUUAGGGGUCUAUAUACAGAAAUAUAUUAGGGGUCUAUAUACAGAACAAAAUGAGUAAAUCUACACUCUAUAGUAUGUCUAUAUACAUUCGUAAAUAGUCCAUCAGUGAAACCUCUAGAAAGACUUAUAUUUAGGAACGGAGGGAGUAUAUUCCAAGACUUAUAUUUAGGAACGGAGGAAGUAUAUUCCAACUCUGAGAUGCUUGCAACAGUCCAUAAAAAGAUCGCUGAAGUUUGCAUACCUUUUAACAUCCUUAGAAUUAACAAAAUUUUUCAGUUGUAUCACAUACAACCUUUUCUCACGGAAACCAUUAAAGAAAAAAGUUGUUUUGACAUCCAUAUGUGAGAUUCCUUAAUAAAAAAAUGCAGCAACUGUUAACAUAAUCCUAACAGACUUUAGCAUCGCUAUGAGUGAGAAAGCCUCAUCGUAGUCAACUCCUUAAACUUGUGGAAAACCUCUUUACGACAACUCAAGCUUUAUAAAUGAUGACAUUACCACCAUCGUGUGUGUUCUUCUUAAAGAUCCAUUUAUACUUAAUGGCAUGCCGGUCAUGGGGCAAGUCUACCAAAGUCCAUACUUGGUUUUCAUACAUUGAUCAUAUCACGGAUUUCAUGGGCUUAACCAUUUAUUGGAAUCCGGGUCCAUCAUUGCUUCCUCAUGGUUCGUAGGCUCAUCGUUGUUUAACAACAUGACUCCCAAGACACGAUCGUCGAACCACUUGGGCAGUACGUGUCCUUGUCGACCUAUGAGGUUCGGUAGUAACUUGAUCCGAAGUUUUAUGUAAUCAUCAGUAGCUUCUUCUUCAAUUGGUGUACGCAUCACACAAACACCUUUCUGUGUUGCGCUACUUUCCAAUUCAAGUGAAGGUCCUUAUCAAGUUCUACCUUCCUCUCAAUCACUUCUUUCGAGAGAACUUCCUUCUCUGGAAAUGAUCCAUUCUUAGCAACAAAGACCUUGCCUUCGGAUCUGUGAUAGAAGGUAUAGACAAUUGUUGCUUUAGGGUAUCUUAUGAAGAUGCACUUUUCCGUUUUGGGUUUGAGCUUAUCAAACAUAAGUGCUGCAUCCUCAAACUUUGAGAAACGACAUCUUGGGUUUCUUGCCAAACCAUAAUUCAUACGGUGUCGUCUCAACAGACAUAAAUGGUUCCCUAUUUAAAGUGAAUGUAGUUGUAUCUAAUGCAUAACCCCAAAAUGAUAGUGGCAAAUCGGUAAGAGACAUCAUAGAACGUACCAUAUCCAACAGAGUACGGCUACGACGUUCGGACAUGCCAUUAUACUCUAGCAUUUCAGGUGGCAUGAGUUGUGAAACAAUUUUCACAUUGUCUUAAAUGCAUACCAAACUCGUAACUCACACAUUCACCUCUAGGAUCAUAUCAUAGACAUUUUAUCUUCUUGUCACGACGAUCUUCAACUCCACUCUGAAAUUGCUUGAACUUUCCAAAAUUUCAGACUUGUUUUUCAUCUAGUAAAUAUACCUGUAUAUACUCAAAUCAUUUGUGAAGUUAAGAUAAUAACGGUAUCCACUACGUCUUUAGUACUCAUUGGACUGCAUACAUCAAUAUGUGUUAUUUCCAAUAAGUCACUUUCCCGCUCCAUCGUUCCGGAAAACGAGGUAUUUGUCAUCUUUCCCAUGAGGCAUGGUGCGCAUGUCUCAAGUGAUUCAAAACCGAGUGAGUCCAAAGAUCCAUCAGCAUGGAGUUUCUUCAUGCGCUUUAGACCAAUAUGACCUAAGCGGUAGUGCCACAAGUAUGUGAUAUUAUCAUCAUUAAAUUUGCAUCUUUUGGCAUCAAUAUUAUGAACAUGUGUGUUCCUACAAAUGAGAUUCAAUAAACCAUUCAUAUUGGAUGCAUGAUCAUAAAAGAUAUUAUUCAUGUAAAAAGAACAACCAUUAUUCAGUGACUUAAACAAACAAUUGCCUCGCAAUAAACAAGAUCAAUAUAAUGGUCAUGCUCAAAGGAGGCACCAAAUAACAUUUAUUUAGGUUCGAACAUAUCCUGAAGGUAGAAUGAGCGUGCCGAUGACGAUCACAUCAACCUUGGAGACACUUCCAAUGUGCAUCGUCACCUCAUUCUUAGCGAGUCUCGUUUAUUCCACACCUCCUGUUUCGAGUUACUAAUAUUGGCAACUGAACCAGUAUCAAAUACCGAGGUGAUACUAUGAGCACUAGUAAGGUACACAUUCAUAACAUGUAUAUCAAAUGUACUUUUGUUGACGUUGCAAGCAUUCUUAUCUACCAAGUAUUUGGGGCAGUUCCGCUACUAGUUACAGUUCCCCUUGUAAUAGAAGCACUUAGUCUUAGGUUUGGGUCCAACCUUGGGUUUCUUCACUGGAUCAGCAAGUGGCUUGCCAUUCUUGAAGUUUCCCUUAUUGCCUUUGCCCUUCUUGAAACUAGUUGUCUUAUCAACCAUCAACAUUUGAUGUCCUUCUUGAUUUCUACCUCCACAAUGUAAAACAUCGCGAAUAGAUCAUGGAUCAUCUUCCCCAUCCCUUGAAUGUUAUAUUUUAUUAUGAAGCCCUAGUAGCUUGGUGAUAGUCACUAGAGAAUUCUGUUAAUCACUUACUUAUCUAUAAGAUUAACUCAUACUUGAUUUAAGCGAUUAUAGAACCCACACAUUCUGAGCACAUGCUCACCGACUCAUCUAUUCUCUUCCAUCUUGUAGGCAAAGAGCUUGUUAGAGGUCUCAUACCUCUCAACACGGGCUCUUGGAACAUCUCAUCUGCUCCAUGGCCACUAGUGUAGAAAAUCCUAGCUAUGGCGUGGCAAAAAUGGCCUUGCUGGUGUGGACACUUGUCAGGCCGAAGAUGCGACCCUAUCCUCAAUUUGGCACGAAGGCCUCGUCAGGGAUAGAAGCGCAUCUCGUCGUGUCGCAAGAAUGGAUAUCGUUACAAGUACAUGUACUGAAAAGAAGAGUUAUAUAUACAGAGUUGGCUUACACUCGCCACAAGCUACAUCAGAGUCACAUCAGUACAUUACAUAAUCAUCAAGAGUAAGAGCAGGGUCCGACUACGGACGAAAACAAACGAGAAAAAUAAGAACGACGUCCAUCCUUGCUAUCCCAGGUUGCCGGCCUGGAACCCAUCCUAGAUCGAUGAAGAAGAAGAAGAAGAAGCAACUCCAAAUGAACAAUCAACGCGCUCGCGUCAAGUAACCUUUACCUGUACCUGCAACUGGUGUUGUAGUAAUCUGUGAGCCACAGGGGACUCAGCAAUCUCAUUUCCAAAGGUAUCAAGACUAGCAAAGCUUAAUGGGUGAGGUAUGGUUAAGUGGUGAGGUUGCAGCAGCGGCUAAGCAUAUAUUUGGUGACUAACUUACGAGUACAAGAAAUAAAAGGGGGAAGAUCUACGCAUAAUGGACGUGAACUACUAAUGAUCAAAUGAAUGAUCCUGAUCACCUACCUACGUCACACAUAACCCCACCGUGUCCUCGAUCGGAGAAAGAACUCACAAAAGAGACAGUCACGGUUACGCACACAGUUGGCAUAUUUUAAUCAAGUUAACUUCAAGUUAUCUAGAACCAAUGUUAAACAAAGUUUCCACGUUGCCACAUAACCGCGGGCACGACUUUCCAAAAGAUUUAACCCUGCAGGGGUGCUCCAACUAGUCCAUCACAAAUUACCACAAGCCGCAUAGAAAUCCUCAAUCACGAAGCUCGCCAUCUCGUCGGAUUCCCAAGUGGAAAACCUCAACUCUGAGAUUACCCAAAGCAUCACCGGAACCCCGAUGCACAAGAUAUCUCAUCAAAGGUAAAACUAAUCCAGCAAGGUCGCCCGACGUGUCGAUGAUCCCGAUAGGAGUCGUGUACCUCUUUCUCAGGACACGGCGGAUGGGCUAGACGUCAGGAUCGCUAAACCUCCGGGUGACCAGAGGGGCGCCGGACAUCGCUCAGGUGGGACCAACACUCAUGGGGAGCACUGGCCCGGGGGUUGAUUAAAUUAGUCCGCGGGUGCCGGCGGGUCCCUAUGCAUUAUUAUAUGGUUAUUAGGCAAAUGUAGUACCAAAGUUGGGCCUUGCCAGACCAGUCUUAAUCUAAAACGAAUUAUCAAGGGUGUCCCCAUAACAACCACGAUCGUGUUAGGAGCGCUCAUUUAUGGAACAUAACACCGGUAGCCGAAAACUAAGGGGGCAAAGGUGGAACAAAACACCAGGCUAGAAAGGCCGAGCCUUCCACCUUUUACCAAGUAUAUAGGUGCAUUAAAUUAAAUAGCAUUUAAUAUGGUGAUAUAACAAGGAACCCAUGCUUUCACAUGGAAGCAAUGCACCUGCAACUAGCAACGCUAACAACAGGGUUAAGCAAGCAGUAACAUAGCCAAUCAGUGGUUUGCUAGGUUGAACAGGUUGAAGGUUUCAUGGCAUUGUUGAGAGGCUAAUAUUUAACAUGUGGUAGGCAACGAGACAUAAUCGAUAGAAACGGUAAACUAGCAUGGCAAUGAUAGUAAUGGUAUCUGAGGAAAUGAUCAUCUUGCCUGAGAUCCCGCUUGGAAUAAGAAUGCCUCCGUGAAGCAGACGAACCGACGUAGUCGAACGGGUCCUCACAAUCCGACACGUUGCGGAACUCUAACGAGACGAAGCAAACCGGAAACAAGAAUCAACACACGAUAUUCACCACACGAUGCACAACAAAAUUGAUGCAUGAGCAGCUGAAUACAUACAAGUCACGACAUGACAAUUCACACAAUCGAACACCACACAUUAAGUGAAGUUCAAUAUGCAACAAGUUGCAUAUUGACGAAACUCCACGUUAAUUAUUUAGUUCUAUCCCGAUUAAGUACACGGCAAUAUUAAAUGUGGUUAAACAUGCGAGAGGUGAAGCGGAAAUGAAACUACCUAUCUAGACAUUUUAAAUGAGGUCGGAAAUGACAUAUAGCAUCUCCGUGACGACCUCACAUGUUAAUUUACAAUUCUGUCCAGAUCUGAACUAAUGCAUUUAAUUGGUUGUUAAACAGGAAAACAAAUAGGUUCACGUGAUUCUACGCGUCAAGGCAAGCAAUCUACACAUAAAGAACAUCUCCAACGGAGCUACGGAUCAAAAGUUACAAGCACCGCAAGAUAUGAUGGCAUGAAUGCAAUAUGUGUGCAACGACGGCUACGAGCACUUCAAAACAUACAACCAGCAAGAUAAAAUGAAACUACACGAGAUUCUAAGCAAGUUUCAUGUAGGACACGAUCAAAUCAGAGCUACGGUUCAACAACUACGAGCGAAACAAGAAAACACUACAAUCUGCCAAAAUCAGCCACAUAGCAUUUUCUACACCCCACAACUACGGGCUACACAACUCCGAUAUGCUCAAGCAAGGCAUGGCACGGAAGAGGGCAAGAAGCACUACUACAAACAACUAACAACAACUAGCAUGGCAUCAUGGAGCACUAGGAAAAGAAGACACAAAAUGGCAUCUCACACACUAUUUCAGACUUAGUGAAAAUUACACCUCAUGAAAGUGCAUUUUUCGAUCUGAAGCAAUAUUGACAGCAGCAAAACCUAUAGCUACAGGNNNNNNNNNNUAAAAUUCACAUCAUGCUAGAGAAACAUAAGGGCUACAACUAACUCCAUUGGACCAACCUCAAAAGAGCUACAGAUCACAAGAUAGAAGCAAGACAAGACAGCAACAAAAUAUAUCAGAUUCCAGACUUAGAAAUAUUUCAGCUCCUCCAAAUCAGCACUAUUUCUAGGAACUUGAGAUCUAUCAAACUACACCUAAACAUGCAUUUCUAUUGCAACUAAAAAUACCAGGGGCUAGUCUAAACACCCAAGAUCAACUCUCUAGUUGACAACUCCGUCAAACGAAGCACGGAAUAAAUCCUACCAAUUAAACAAAAGGGCAACAUAGCAAAAUAUCUCGUGAACUAACUUACUCGAAAGCUAAAACUAAUUGCACAGAAAAAUCCAUGGGAUUUUUCUACCCCAGAAACAUAUAAAAUAUGUGGGGUUGCAAAACAAAAUAAAGCCACACAUAAAUGCGGGAAAAUAACCUAUAUACGGGAAAUUAAACUAGCUGCAAAUCCCUACACGUAAAAAUACAAAUGAACGCUCUAAAAUUCAUGACAAAGGUGUCCCUAGAACAUGGGCAUUUUAUCUAAGGCAUUCGAGCUAUUCGGGUACGCACAGAAAAUAACUACGACAAUAAACCUAUCGAGACAACACCCUAAACUAGACAUACGACACGUCAAACAACGUCAAAUAAAUAUGCAAGUUGUGAAAUCGUGUUCUACUCGCGAAGCUACCCCAAAACCAUAUAAAAUACGCCUCGUUCCGACUUACGGAUAAAAAGUUACGGGCAUUACAAUAUUCGUCUAUUUCCUGAAAUUUAACUAAAUCCGAAAAAAAAAUACCUAGAAUGCUACUGGGCCGAACAGGGAGCGCAAAGUACUAUCUAGCGCAGGGGCGGGGAAUAGUUACCUGAUGGGCUCGGGGAUGUGGGCCAACUCGGAGAAGGAGGUGGUGGGCCUGCGUGGGAGGAGACCGGCCUGGCGGUGGUGGGCCCACUCGGGGGGGNNNNNNNNNNNNNNNNNNNNNNNNNNNNNNNNNNNNNNNNNNNNNNNNNNNNNNNNNNNNNNNNNNNNNNNNNNNNNNNNNNNNNNNNNNNNNNNNNNNNUAGCCUGGCCAUAAGUAUGGCAGGCAGGUUCCAGAGUAAUCCAGGAGUGGAUCACUGGACGGCGGUCAAGAAUAUCCUGAAGUACCUGAAAAGGACUAAGGAGAUGUUUCUCGUAUAUGGAGGUGACAAAGAGCUCGCCGUAAAGGGUUACGUCGAUGCAAGCUUUGACACAGAUCCGGACGACUCUAAGUCGCAGACCGCAUACAUAUUUAUUCUUAAUGGGGGUGCGGUAAGCUGGUGCAGUUCCAAGCAAAGCGUCGUAGCUGAUUCUACAUGUGAAACGGAGUACAUGGCUGCCUCAGAAGCAGCUAAGGAGGGUGUCUGGAUGAAGCAGUUCAUGACGGAUCUAGGAGUGGUGCCGAGCGCACUCAAUACAAUAACCCUGUUUUGUGACAACACGGGUGCCAUUGCCUUAGCAAAGGAACCACGGUUUCACAAGAAGACCAGACACAUCAAACGAUGCUUCAACCUCAUCCGCGCCUACGUCGAGGAGGAGGACGUGAAUAUAUGCAAAGUGCACACGGAUCUGAAUGUGGCAGACCCGCUGACUAAACCUCUUCCACGAGCAAAGCAUGAUGAACACCAGAACUGUAUGGGUGUUAGAUUUAUUACAAUGUAAUUCGCAUGGCGAUGUGAGGACUAGAUUAUUGACUCUAGUGCAAGUGGGAGACUGUUGGAAUUAUGCCCUAGAGGCAAUGAUGAAUAAGUUAUUAUUAUAAUUCCUGUAUCAAGAUAAUCGUUUAUUAUCCAUGCNNNNNNNNNNUAGAUGCAUGUGUGGAUACAUAGACAAAACACUGUCCCUAGCAAGCCUCUAGUUGGGUAGCCAGUUGAUCAAGGAUAGUCAGGGUCUUCUGACUAUGUACAAGGUGUUGUUGCUUAAUAACUGGGUCACAUCAUUGGGUGAAUCAUGUGAUGGACUAGACCCAAACUAAUAGACGUAGCAUGUUGGUCGUGUCAUUUUGUUGCUAUUGUUUUCUGCGUGUCAAGUAUUUNNNNNNNNNNNNNNNNNNNNNNNNNNNNNNNNNNNNNNNNNNNNNNNNNNNNNNNNNNNNNNNNNNNNNNNNNNNNNNNNNNNNNNNNNNNNNNNNNNNNCCGCAACCGCCCCACUCCCGCACCGCGCGUGGCGCUCAGCUGGGCCCCGAGCCGGCCCAGCUAUGCACCUCCAGCAGGCUUUGGCCUCACCCGCGGCCCACCUCCAGCUUCGGCAGCCAGGCCGGCUGCCUUCCUCGGCGCCCUCCAGCCCAAGAGCCCCCCCCCCCCNNNNNNNNNNNNNNNNNNNNNNNNNNNNNNNNNNNNNNNNNNNNNNNNNNNNNNNNNNNNNNNNNNNNNNNNNNNNNNNNNNNNNNNNNNNNNNNNNNNNNNNNNNNNNNNNNNNNNNNNNNNNNNNNNNCUUGGCGCUAUUUACUAAAUUGCGCCUCCAUAUUCGGCCCGUUUGCAUUUAGGAUAUUUCUGUGAUUAAAUAAUUUCAGGAAUUAAUAGAUAUUUAAAACGUUUGUAUCUUUUAAUUCGUAAGUCGGAACGAAGCGAGUAAUAUAUGUAUUUCGCGUAGUUUCUCGUGUAGAACACGUUGGCGCUACUUGCAUAAUUAUUUGAGGUCAUUUAGCGUGUCGUAUGCCUAGUUUAGCGUGCUGUCCUAUUAUGUUUGCACCUCGUAAUAUUUUUUCGCGCGUGUCCGGACUGCCCGUCUACCGUAGAUUAAUGUCCAUGUUUUAGGAAUCAUUUUGCAUGUAUUUUAGAGCGGCCAUUUGUAUUUUUACGUGUAUGGUUUGCCGGUAGUUUAUUUUCCCGUAUAUAGGUGUUUAUCUCGCAUUAAUGUGUGGCAUUAUUUUAUGUUGCAACCCCACAUAUUUUAUAUGUUUUCGGGAUAGAAAAUCCGUGUGAUUUUUAUGUGCAAUUAGUUUUAGCUUUUGAGUAAGUUAGUUCGCGAGAUAUUUUGCCAUGUUGCCCUUUUGUUUGAUUCGUAGGAUUUAAUCCGUUCUUCGUUUGACGGAGUUGUCAACUAGGGAGUUGUUCUUGGGUGUUUAGUCUAGCCCCUCGUAUUUUUGGUUGCAAUAGAAAUGCAUGUUUAGGUGUGAUUUUCUUGCUCUCAAGUUGCUAGAAGUAGUGCUGUUUUAGAGGAGCUGAAAUAUUUCUAAGUCUGGAAUCUGUUCUAUUUUGUUGCUGUCUUGUCCUGCUUGUAUCUUGUGAUCUGUAGCUCUUUUGAGGUUGGUCCAAUGGAGUUAGUUGUAGCCCUUAUGUUUCUCUAGCAUGCUAUAAACUUUCAUGCCAUUUGGAGUCCUGUAGCUAUAGGUUUUGCUGCUGUCAAUAUUGNNNNNNNNNNCUGCACUCUCAUGAGGUGUAAUUUUCACUAAGUCUGAAAUAGUGCGUGAGAUGCCAUUUUGUGUCUUAUUUUCCUAGUGCUCCUUGCUGCCAUGCUAGUUGUUGUUAGUUGUUUGUAGUAGUGCUUCUUGACCUCUUUCGUGCCAUGCCUUUCUUGAGUUUAUCAGAGUUGUGUAGCUCGUAGUUGUGGGGCGUAGAAAAUGCUAUGUGGCUGAUUUUGGCAGAUUGUAGUCAUUUCUUGUUUUGCUCGUAGUUUUUGAACCGUAGCUCCGAUUUGAUCGUGUCCUACAUGAAACUUGCUUAGAGUCUUGUGUAGUUUCAUUUUCUUUUGUUGUUUGUAUGUUUUGAAGUGCUCGUAGCCGUCGUUGCACACAUAUUGCAUUCAUGCCAUCAUAUCUUGCGGUGAUUGUAACUCUUGAUCCAUAGCUCCGUUGGAGAUGAUCUCUAUGUGUAGAUUGCUUGAAAUGACACGUAGAACCACGAGAAACUAUUUGUUUUGCUGUUUAACAACUAAUUAAAUGUGUUAGUUCAGAUCUGGACAGAAUUGUAAAUUAACAUGUGAGGUCGUCUCGGAGGUGCUAUAUGUCAGUUCCGACCUCAUUUAAAAUGCCUAGAUAGGUAGUUUAAUUGCGCUUCACCUCUUGCCACGUUUAAUCACAUUUAAUAUUGCCGAGUAUCUAAUCGGGAUAGAACUAAAUAAAUAAACGUGAAGUUUUGUCAAUAUGCAACUCGUGGCAUAUUGAACUUCACUUAAUGUGUAGUGUUUGAUUGUGUGAAUUGUCAUGACGUGACUUGCAUGUAUCCAGCUGCUCAUGCAUCAUUUGUGUUGUGCAUCGUGUGCUGAAUUCCGUGUGAUGAUUUGUGUUUCCGGUUUGCUUCUUCUCGAUAGAGCUCCGCACGCGUGCCGGAUUGUGAGGACCCGUUCAACUACGUCGGUUCGUCUGCUUCAGGGAGGCAUUCUUCUUCCAAGCGGGAUCUCAGGCAAGAUGAUCAUUUCCCCAGAUACCAUUAAUAUCAUUGCCAUGCUAGUUUUAUCGUUUCUGUCGUUAUGUCUCGUUGCCUACCACAUGUUAAAUUCAGCCUCUCGACAAUGCCAUGAUAACCUUCAACCUGUUCGACCUAGCAAACCACUGAUUGGCUAUGUUACUGCUUGCUUAACCCUGUUGAUAGCGUUGCUAGUUGCAGGUGCAGAUGCCUCCAUGUGAAAACAUGGGUUCCUUGUUAUAUCACCAUAUUAAAUGGUAUUUAAUGUAAUGCACCUAUAUACUUGGUAAAAGGUGGAAGGCUCGGCCUUUCUAGNNNNNNNNNNNNNNNNNNNNNNNNNNNNNNNNNNNNNNNNNNNNNNNNNNNNNNNNNNNNNNNNNNNNNNNNNNNNNNNNNNNNNNNNNNNNNNNNNNNNAAAGCAUUCCUCCGGUGUCAGUGAGUUAUAUGAUCUCAUGGUCAUAGGAAUAAAUACUUGACACGCAGAAAACAAUAGCAACAAAAUGACACGACCAACNNNNNNNNNNCCCACCUCCUCCUUUUUUUUCUUUCUCUUUGAUUUUUAUCUCUAUGGCGCAUAGGGCACUUGUGGGCUGUCCCACCAGCCCACUAAGGGCUGGUGUGCCUCCCUCAAGGCCUAUGGGCUUCCCCGGGGUGGGUUGCCCCCCCCGGUGAACUCCCGGAACCCAUUCGUCAUUCCCGGUACAUUCCCGGUAACUCCGAAAACCUUCCGGUAAUCAAAUGAGGUCAUCCUAUAUAUCAAUCUUCGUUUCCGGACCAUUCCGGAAACCCUUGUGACGUCCGUGAUCUCAUCCGGGACUCCAAACAACAUUCGGUAACCAACCAUAUAACUCAAAUACGCAUAAAACAACGUCGAACCUUAAGUGUGCAGACCCUGCGGGUUCGAGAACUAUAUAGACAUGACCCGAGAGACUCCUCGGUAAAUAUCCAAUAGCGGGACCUGGAUGCCCAUAUUGGAUCCUACAUAUUCUAUGAAGAUCUUAUCGUUUGAAUCUCGGUGCCAAGGAUUCAUAUAAUCCCGUAUGUCAUUCCCUUUGUCCUUCGGUAUGUUACUUGCCCGAGAUUCGAUCGUCAGUAUCCGCAUACCUAUUUCAAUCUCGUUUAUCGGCAAGUCUCUUUACUCAUUCCGUAAUACAAGAUCCCGCAACUUACACUAAGUCACAUUGCUUGCAAGGCUUGUGUGUGAUGUUGUAUUACCGAGUNNNNNNNNNNGAAGACACUGACUAUCAUUGAUCAACUGGCUAGCCAACUAGAGGCUUGCUAGGGACGAUGAUUUGUCUAUGUAUCCACACAUGUAAAUGAGUCUUCAUUCAAUACAAUUAUAGCAUGGAUAAUAAGCGAUUAUCUUGAUACAGGAAUUAUAAUAAUAACUAUAUUUAUCAUUGCCUCUAGGGCAUAAUUCCAACAGAAAAAUCAGGUAUAUUUGAUAUACAUGUUAUUGAUGUGUACUUAACCAGCUCUCGUAGUAGUGCCUGGGUAUUCGAUACCGGUUCUGUUGCUCAUAUUUGCAACUCGAAACAGGAACUGCGGAAUAAGCGAAGGCUGGCAAAGGAUGAAGUGACGAUGCGCGUGGGAAAUGGAUCCAAGGUUGAUGCAAUCGCCGUCGGCACAGUUUCACUUCAGUUACCAUCAGGAUUAGUUAUGAACUUAAAUAAUUGUUAUUUAGUGCGUGCGUUAAGCAUGAACAUUAUAUCUGGAUCUUGUUUAUUGCGAGACGGUUACUCGUUUAAGUCAGAGAAUAAUGGUUUUUCUAUUUUUGUGAGUAAUAUCUUUUAUGGUCAUGCACCCAAUGUGAGAGGAUUGUUCAUAUUGAAUCUUGAUAGUGAUAAUACAAAUAUACAUAACAUUGACACCAAAAGAGUUAGAGUUAACAAUGAUAGCGCCAUGUUUUUAUGGCACUGCCGCUUAGGUCAAAUGGGUGUAAAGUGCAUGAAGAAACUCCAUACUGAUGGACUUUUGGAGUCACUUGACUUUGAUUCACUUGACACGUGUGAACCAUGCCUCAUGGGCAAGAUGACUAAAACUCCGUUCUCCGGAACAAUGGAGCGUGCAAGUGACUUGUUGGAAAUCAUACAUACCGAUGUGUGUGGUCCGAUGAGUGUGGAGGCACGCGGCGGAUAUCGUUAUUUUCUCACUUCACUGACGAUUUGAGUAGAUAUGGUUAUGUCUACUUGAUGAAGCACAAGUCUGAAACAUUUGAAAAGUUCAAACAAUUUCAGAGUGAAGUUGAAAAUCAUCGUAACAAGAAGAUCAAGUUCCUACGGUCUGAUCGUGGGGGUGAAUAUCUCAGUUUCGAGUUUGGUGCUUGAUACGUCUCCAUCGUAUCUACUUUUACAAACUCCUUUCCCUUGUUUUGGACUCUAAUUUGCAUGAUUUGAAUGGAACUAACCCGAACUGACGUUGUUUUCAGCAGAAUUGCCAUGGUGUUGUUUUUGUGCAGAAAUGGAAGUUCUCGGAACGUCCUGAAAAUUUGCGGAGAAUAUUUCUGGAAAAUAUGAGAAAUACCUGCGCAAAGAUCCACCGAAGGGGACGGGCCAGUGGGCCACAAGCCCUGUGGCCGCGGCCACCCCCCCCCCCCCNNNNNNNNNNUGAUCAUCAAGACCCGCCAGGCCGGGAUCUCCCAGACAUCCAAGUCGCCCCAGCCCCUCUUGUCAGGAGCGGCGGACGAGUGGGGGUGCCGUGCUUGGCCCCUGCCCUUCGCAACGAACGAAUGCCCAAGGAUUUUAAAGGACCAAGAAAGGUGCCUAACUACACUCCGGACCUUGAGCCGGCGUCAUGGGUCGAGAGUUAUGAAAUCGCCAUGGACAUGCUCGACGUAAACGAAGCAGUUUGCGCCAGAUACUUCACAAUGAUGCUCAAAGGGACAACGUGUACUUGGUUAAAAAACUUACCCCCAACUCCAUCCAGACCUGGGCUGAAUUGAAAGAGCGCUUCAUCAAAAACUUCCGAGGAAACUGCAAACGUCCAAUGACGAUUGUCGAUCUGCAGCACUGCGUUCAACGCCCCGAUGAGUCGGCCCACCACUGGUCACGGCGGGUCGCGGAAAUCAUUUACUCAUCAGAUGGUAUUACGGCGGCUCAGGCUGUGCUGAUUGUCGAGAAGAAUUGCCACUACGAACCUCUGGUACAGAAGUUGGGGCGACUCAAGCGAAAGGUCCAAGACAUGGGGGAGCUAAUGGAUACCCUCACUAGGUACGCUGAGGCGGACGACACCAAAGAUCCCGGUGAGGACGGUAAAGCUAACUCACCAAGGAAGGGCGAGUCAUCCAAAAAUCAUACCCGGUUCCAGGGACGCAACCGCCACAAUCAGGCAGCGAAUAGCAAGAGAAGGCAGCAGGAAGAAUCUUCAGAUUUAGUCGCCAAUACCAACACCAACAAUGGCAACCAACGCCAGAAGAAAAGCAGGGGAUACAGUGGUAAAAAGCCGCGCAACUAUGAAGAGUUACUCAAGGGCCCCUGCCCGCACCACGCCAUGGCAGACGGACCGGCGACUCAUUCCUUGGAGAACUGUUACGUGAUGCGGGAGUUUCGGGCGGAGGCGAUCAAAAAAGGGAAAAGUGAUGACCCGGACCAACGGCAGGAACAGUUCGGUGCACCCAACCAACGUCAGAACCCCUUCGGCGGUUUUCCUGAACCGGGGGCUCAGGGUGGCUCGCAGCCGAGCAGCGGCCAGUAUCCAGUGCAUCACCAGCGACGGUAUAACCCGCCCGGAGUUUUUCAGCAACCACCCCUACAGGGGGCUUCGCAGGGCCAGGAUGACAACGACGGCUUCUGCAACAACCCCAAACAGUUAAGCAAUGGGCAGUACCACGUUUUCACCACCAAUGCUUGCAGGCGUGAUAAAAAGGUGAGUCACCGAGCGUACAGUGUGUCUGAGCCGGAACUCCCCAGGUACCUCCACUGGUCCGAGCAGACCAUAUCAUGGAGUAGGGAGGAUCAUCCACCAAGAGUUGACAAUCCCGGCGAUUUAGCGUUGGUCGUGGCUCCCCAAGUUGGGGGGUAUACCCUGUCAAAAGUACUAAUGGAUGGUGGCAGCAGCAUCAAUAUUUUGUAUUUUGACACUUUCCAAAGGAUGAACUUGUUAGAAAAAGAUUUGAUGCCUUCAACCACGGUAUUCCACGGAAUCGUCCCAGGCAAAUCGGCGUGCCCCAUAGGCCGAGUCAGACUCACAGUUGCAUUUGGAACAGCAUCUAACUACAGGAGUGAGUCGCUGAUGUUUGAGGUGGUUAAAUUGAAAAGCCCCUACCAUGCGCUGUUUGGGCGGCCGCCUUACGCCCGGUUCAUGGCUCGCCCAUGCUAUGUUUACCUUAAACUCAAGAUGCCUGGUCCUAAAGGACCCAUCACGGUUGACGGUGAUAGAAGGAUUGCAAGGGAAUGUGAAGAAGGGGACGCGGCUUACGCGGAAGUCGCCUGCGCUGCGGAGGAGCUCAAAUAUCAUCGGGCCAAUGUUGAUCCGGCUGAUAUGUCGCCCUUAAAAAAGCCAACGACAGAUGCUGAGCCGCCCCUCAAGUUCAAACCAAUGGAUGACACUAAAACGGUUGAUUUCGUUCCUGGCGACUCAACCAAGCAGUUCAUCAUUGGGACGGGUCUGGAUCCCAAAUAGGAAAGCGCGCUCAUCGAAUUCAUCCGUGAGAAUCGAGACAUCUUCACAUGGAAACCUUCUGACAUGCCUGGUGUGCCGAGAGAAUUCGCUGAGCACCAUCUUAAUGUUGACCCAAAGGCAAAACCUAUCCAUCAGUAUCUUCAUAGGUUUAACGAGGAACGACACAAGGCAAUCGGGGAAGAGGUUGCCCGUCUCUUGGCCGCCGGAUUCAUCGUAGAAGUUUUUCACCCCAAAUGGUUGGCUAACCCGGUCUUGGUGCUCAAAAAGAAUGGUACCUUCCGUAUGUGCAUUGAUACACGGACCUCAACAGAGCUUGUCCAAAAGAUCCUUUCGCUCUUCCCCGCAUCGACCAGAUUAUUGACUCGGUGGCGGGAUACGAACGUUUGUGCUUAUUGGACGCCUACUCUGGAUAUCACCAAAUCAAGAUGGCCGUGGAGGAUCAAGAGAAAACAGCUUUUAUAACCCCCUUUGGGGCUUUUUGCUAUGUGUCCAUGCCAUUUGGACUCAAGAGUGCAGGGGCGACUUAUCAGCGCUGCAUCCAGAAUUGCCUCCGUAGACAAAUCGAACGCAACGUCCACGCCUAUGUCGAUGACAUUGUGAUUAAAACCCGCCAGGGGGAGACGCUAUUGGAAGAUCUCAAGGAAACUUUUGAUAAUUUGCGGGUAUAUCAGAUGAAGCUAAAUCCCACCAAGUGUGUUUUUGGUGUUCCUGCAGGAAAAUUGUUGGGCUUCCUGGUGUCUGAGCGUGGCAUCGAAGCUAACCCGGACAAAAUCGAAGCAGUUACUUCCCUUGGGAAGCCAACAAAUGUUAACCAAGUCCAACGGAUGGCGGGUCGCAUUGCGGCCUUAAGUCGCUUCAUAAGCCGCCUGGGAGAAAAGGCGAUUCCCCUUUAUCAAUUGCUGAAGAAAUCUGACCAUUUUGUUUGGACAGAUGAAGCUGAUGAAGCUUUCGAAGCCUUGAAACGGCAACUGGUCAACCCGCCGGUCUUGGCCGCCCCGACUGAGAAAGAGCCCAUGCUUUUGUAUAUUGCGGCAAACUCCAAAGCAGUAAGUGUGGCGAUGGUCGUUGAAAGGAAGGAGGAAGGAAAGGAAUACCCAGUGCAGCGCCCGGUGUAUUUUAUCAGCGAAGUGCUAACUCUUUCCAAGCAACGGUACCCACAUUGGCAGAAGUUGGUAUAUGGGGUGUUUAUGGCGAGUCGGAAGCUUAAACAUUAUUUCCAAGAACAUCCCAUCACGGUGGUUAGUUCCUGUCACGCCCAAGAUGCGACCCUAUCCUCAAUUUGGCACGAGGGUCUCGUCAGGGAUAGAAGCGCAUCUCGUUGUGUCGCAAGAAUGGAUAUCGUUACAAGUACAAGUACUGAAAAGAAGAUAUAUAUAUAUAUAUAUAGAAUUGGCUUACACUCGCCACAAGCUACAUUAGAGUCACAUCAGUACAUUACAUAAUCAUCAAGAGUAAGAGCAAGGUCCGACUACGGACGAAAACAAACGAGAAAAGAAGAACGACGUCCAUCCUUGCUAUCCCAGGCUGCCGGCCUGGAACCCAUCCUAGAUCGAUGAAGAAGAAGAAGAAGAGGCAACUCCAAAUGAACAAUCAACACGCUCGCGUCAAGUAACCUUUACCUGUACCUGCAACUGGUGUUGUAGUNNNNNNNNNNNNNNNNNNNNNNNNNNNNNNNNNNNNNNNNNNNNNNNNNNNNNNNNNNNNNNNNNNNNNNNNNNNNNNNNNNNNNNNNNNNNNNNNNNNNGGACAGACCCUCUCCUGAGCCUCGUUGCAGCGGUGCUUAUCCUGUGUGCCGUACGCGUUGGCUGAUGACGAUCCAUGUAAACAAGUGUAUUAUUAGGUGCAACAUGGACUUAUAAGUCCCUAUAAACAAACAGGUAGGGACUCGGGACUUAUAAGUCCCUGUAAACAAACAUAAGUUGAGACUUAAAAAAGUCUUAGAACUUAUGAAACAAACAGGGCCUAAGUUAAGCCGAGGCGGCGGCGGCCGCAGGUGGUGGCGACGGCGCCUCGUAAGAUGGCGACGGAACGGGAAACCGGCGAGUCCACCAGGCAGCAGUCUGAAGCUCUUUAUUGGCUCCCUCCGAUCCAGAGUAUGGUUCGAGUUCCUCCACUUUCUAGGAAUAAGAUCAAGCGCAAGGGUCCAGCUGUCUCUUGUGUUAGAAAACCGGCGAGGGAGGACAGUUGUAAGAUAGAGGAGACGGAAGGCAGAUCUGGGAAGCAGGGGCAGUCUCAACUUCUUCAUGGCCAUCAAAUCCGGAAGAUGGAGGUUGAGAUGGACGAUAUUGACAUAGAUAAAUCAGUCCAACAAUUAGCCACGGAGCAGGAGGAGAUGGCCACCGAGGAAAAGAAUUUCUCUGGCCACAUAAGUUUCUGGCAAUCUGUACGGGGAUCCAUGGGGUGCGGCCGCUUUGAAGACACAAGUAAGUUGAAAUUCACGCAUACUUACUCAGUUUUCUUUAGCUAGCCACGUACGUAGUUUUCAAUUCCUUCCUGAGUUCCUGUUUUUUUCUUUUCUUUUGAUUGAUCGACCUUCCUUUUAUAAGUGGCAUGGGGAUUGAUUUGCCCUUUUGCUUAUCUAGCACUAGUACAUGUUAGAUUUCUAACACAUGCUUCACUUUGGUGCUUGCAUGCAGCACUAUUGAGUUCCAUGCACUUCACACACUUGACACCUAUACCUGGAUUAGUGGAUGGUGUGGUCGCAAAUACCUUGCAGAUCUUCUCCAUCAAAAUCGCAGAAAUCAAAGGCGGCUUCAAAUGGCCAUUGUUUGUGUACGGUGUGGUUGCUGCCAGGGACUCGGUCGAUUUUAAUCGCAACCUUCUCUUUUGGUGUGAUAGCACAAUGAGCCAAAUUGUUCGGGAAAAUGUAUGUAUAGUAUCUUUGCCUUUUGAUGAUUUUGUUUUGGAGAUAUUUCUGUUGGCAUAUGACCGUUUGGUCAUCUCUCUUGUUGAUUAGUAGUUAAUGAAGGGGUGAUUGGAUAAUGCUUGCAGGAUCCUUUUUUGCGCUUGAUUGGGCCAUCACGUGCAAUCCUGUUCAAAGAUCCUGUCCAGUUUGAAAUUCAACUGAGAGUUGAACAUGGAGCAAUGCCUCGAGACAGAGCAUUGAUCAGUACGAUGCACACUUUCUCUGCAGGUCUUCCUGGUAUGCAUACCAUUUGCUUUGAGAACGCCUUCUGCAAAAUAGAGUUAUGCAUGGAGCUGGUCCUGGAGUCAAUUCAGGCCACAGUCUGCAGUGUCCGUGUUGUCAAACAAGGGAGGCGGCAGCGUGUUGAGCAUCAUUGCCGAGUAGCUUGCUUGACAACAUCGUACUCCAAGCAUGUUGACGAUGCCCCAUUUGGUGAAGUCGUGCUGCUUGAUCCUCGUAGACAUGCAACGCCACAGGGUUCAGAUGGUUACCUUGAUCUGUCGAGGCGUGUGGUCUCUGUACAACGGGGAGGCCUCCUGGUAGUUGUUGUAGAGGCCUACUCACCAUCCUGUGUUAGGACAGCACAAGGGCACAUCUUCUUGGCUGCCAAAUGUUUUGGCUUCAGUCAAAAGACAUUUAAUGUUGAUGAUGCUGAGCUGGAGAUUACCGUUGCUUGGUCCCUCCUCGUCCCAGACAAGUAUAAACUCUUGAGACCAGUGAUGAUUUGAAACCUCCGAGUGUUUACCUGAAGAUGCUGGCUCACCAGGCAAAGCUUUGACGAUGUGUGUCCGCUCUAUAUUAUCUAAAAUGUCCCAACUGUUCUAUCAUGUAUGGACUAUAACAUGGGUUGUGUGAUUCGGCUGUGACUAAGUUAAUACUCCCUCCGUUCCUAAAUAUAAGUCUUUUAAGAAUUAUUGCUAUUUGGAAUGUAUCUAAUUCUAUUGAGUCUGACUCAUAGUGAUCAUUUCUCAAGAAUGACCAUGGUUCUUGGAUUUUUUUAUUUAAUCCCUUUUUUAUUUCUUCAAUGAUUAAUUGGAACUCCGAUUAAUUAUUUUGGCUGACUGUUUGUACAUAAAUAAUAAGUCAAAACGAAGUAGGAACAAGAAUGAUCUUCGGACAUACGGAAAUCUGUUUCAUGUAGCUUGGCAAGGAAAUUUUGAAUGAGAGAACCCCCCAAUAGAAAAACAUUGGAAAGGAAAAAUACUUCUAACCCAUGAACAGUUUGUGGCAAUGGAUUGGUUUGAUCAAAAUUUUCAUGUUAUUCCCGAAUGCUAAGGAGAAGAAGAGGAUUGAGUCGAAAGAAAAAGCUAUUUUCGAGUUUUAUAUCAACAAUUUAUUUGUGCAACGAUUGGAUCUGUCCAAGCACCUCGUUUAACAUUCAGGGCUUGUUUGGAUACGUUGCUAGAUGGUUUUCAUAGUUGACCUCCAGUGCCUCCGUGAGGAAGGCAUGUUUGGCGAUAGCCGCUGGCUGUGAUCCAGGCGGUGAAAUUGAGUCCGAACUAGAGGCCGACUCCUAGGGAUCCGAAGACUCGGUCGGACGCCGAGUCCAAAGUUAAAGCUUCGGAGUCUUUGGUCUCAUCGGCAGAAUCCGCUGGAAUUAGAUCAUCCCGCGAAUUGUUUGGGAAUUUGAGAUUCCCUAGCCUUGCUUGAUGGUCGGGGGCAAAACCUCCGAUAUGCCCGAGGCGGCCAGUCAAGUCUGCGCGCAGCAUGAUGCUGCCGAACGAAAGGACCUGUCCGGGGACGAGGAUGUCCCCGUUGCUGAUCCUGUCGCAGACGAUUACACGAGUCAUCAAUCUCUUCGGCGAUCUAACAGUGGAACUCUCAAUGAAAUCACCAAUGUCAGUGUGAAAACUGAUAGAUCACGGGUAGGGGGUCUUGAACUGUGGACCUAGGAUCGAUGGGUUGCAGGGAGAAGUGGACACAGUGGUUUUACCCAGGUUCGGGCCCUCCUAUGGAGGUAAUACCCUACGUCCUCCUCGAUUAUAUUGAUGAAGAUGAUUACAGAGUAGAUCUACCUCGAGAUCGUAUAUGCUAAACCCUAGAUGAUUCAGCCUCUUCCUCACAGAUAGGGGCUCCUGGUUUAUAUAGACACCAGGGACCCUAGGGUUUACAAGUUUACCGAGUAUAAUAAGGAAUAGAUGAGCCGACCUAGUCUUCCUAAGCUUGAAGUACACGCCAAUCUUCAGGAUAUUCCUUCCAAAGUAAAGGUCGUUGUAAGGCCCGGUCUUCUACAAUGCGGUCCAAUGGGCCCACCUGGUAUUGACUAACCGGCCGCCCGAGGACCCCAAAAUCCUGGACUCCCUCAACCCCCCUUUUAUCGCACACACAGACAAGGUGACAGUUUGAAACCGCGUCACUUAAAGGGGUUAAAAACUGUUUGCUUAGGACAUUGUUGCACCAGUGCUAGUACAAGUGCAUCGCUCAUACCAGCCGUCGCCGCCUCCCUCUCAUAUAUACGGAAAACUUCUAUGGACGCACAAAGAGAGGAGGAGAUGACCACAUCGCGAUCGCCAUCAGAACACUUGAGAAGAGAUCUAGCAGAGAGAGAACUUCAUUUAGACCCAUUUCGGCUUCCUCCACAUCACCCCCAUUCAUUCAUGUGCACCAUCGCCAUAGAGAGAUUAGUUCCAACUUCUAAUUGUAUUCAUACUUUGUUGAAGAUUGAGAUCAGAUCGAUCGUUCUUCUUAUUGCAGCAAGUAAUCCUCCAUAAGCAUGGGAGGUGUAGGGGAUUAGUGAGAUUCAUUCGUGCCUAUUUGAUAUGUUAUUUGUGAAACUAGUUCUAUGUUUGAUUAUUAAGUUGUCUACAUGUGGUGACCGAAAUGUGUGUUGUCCAGUUUAAGGGUCUAGGCAACAUGAUCAAAAGACUUACAUGUAACACAUAUGAUUCAACGAAUCCAAGCCCACUAGAUGAUGGUGUUGAUAUCUACGAGGAGCGAAGACGGUAUGAGGACAACAUGACUUAACUAGACUUAUUAAAGCGUUGAUUUGGUCCCACAACCUUAAUUGUUGAAAUGGUCAUGCACAUGGCUGCGUCGAUGCAGAAUACUAGAGGAGAACAAUUCCGGUAUGGAUGAUUUCUACUACCAAAGGGUGAACCGCCUACUGAACGUACAAUUAACGAGGUAGAGUUACAUGACAAGGUAACCCGUAUUACCGUCGCACUGGCACAUUUGAUGAAAGCUAUGAUCCGAAUUUCCCCCGCAUAACAUCUCCACUACAGACAUACGAUGAUUUAUUUUCGGCAAUUUAAUUUUUAUGUACUUUACUUUUCGCCCUCGUUACUUUGUUUUAACUCCCUUUCAUUUGUCUUCCAUGACUAAGAUCAUCCUUGCAGAUUUUUCAAAUAGUUAAUUCACACAAGAUUGGUGAAUUUUUUUCUUUAAGAAGUAAAGACCGAUGAUAACUUAUGUGUGAACGUAAGGCCAGCUAUUAACACUCUCCUCCGCUCUUAGUUGGAAUGAUAAACCAUUUAAAAUAUUGACAUGAAGGAGCUACAUAACUAUGUGUGUCUUGCAAGUCACCAGGGUACCAGUUAAUUAGUGAUUUUGUUGGUUUGUUCUAUUAAUUGAUUCGUGGUUUGGAAUUAAGAUGGGUUGGAUUAUAUUUCAAAGCCAAAAAAAUAUAUGCAAAUCAAAGUAGGGGCAACUAACUCACGGGCUUCCCUUGCGGGGUAGUUCCAGCGGACAGCUCGGGAGCACCCAGUGCUGCUAUGAGUCGCGUGUUGUGUUGUUUUUAAGGGUUUAUAGGUUUAUUCAAUUUUUCUUGGUUGUUCCUAGGGAUUUUUUUCCUUUUUCCAAAUUCUUUGUUUUUUUUUUGGUUUACAUCUGACAAGAGUUGGUGAUUAUUGCGCGAAAUCACAUGUGUGAUAUGUGUUUUUUAUGUGAGAAGCACAAUUAUGCUUUACAGCGAAGCACAAUUAUACUUUUGUACCCCCCAAAAAGAGAAGCACAAACUAUGCUUCCCAAAAAAGUGAAGCCCAAUUGUAUCCGUAAGUUUUUUCAUUUUUUCUAGAGUUUCUAUCUUUUGAGUCUGUUUUCUUCUAUGGUUUUUUAGUUUCUGGGUUUUUAUCUAUUUCUUCAUCAAUCACGGUUGUGCUUCUCGCAUGAUAAUUGUGCUUCUACAAAAGUGAAGCAUUUGAUGUGCUUCCAGGUGAAGCACAAGUUGCUACCAGUUGGAAGCACAUAUUUGCUCGAAAAAAAAGUUCAUCAAAUGAACUAGAGAUCUAGGUUCAAAGAUCUUGACGUGAAAAAGCAACAACGAAAAUGGUUCGUGAUUUGGAUGUGUAGUUCAAAACAUAAAAAGCUUUGAAAAAAUGAAACUACAAAAAAAACAUAAUCAAUCCCGCUCGUGCCUUCCGUGCAUAGAAAGAAAUCCCAUCAAAAUUUAUAGAUUGUGACAAGUGUCACACAUGUAGUGCUUUACUUGUCACCAUGAGAGUAAGUAGGAGUGAUCUUUGCAAGAGAUACCCCCUAAUGAGUGAUUUCGCGGUCACAUGGGCUGCUUGGACGCGUUGUCGGUAACUCUUAUUUAUCACUCGUUGCGACGAGUUGCUGGGCAAUCACACAAAAGAAAGUUAGGUCAUCCCAAUUAGUUUUACGAUUUUUGGAGGUUCUAGGUAUAGUUUUUCUGGGUUGUACAAAGGUUCUGAAAGUCUCAUGUCUAUAUUUUUAUUCCUUUUAUAUUCUUUUCUUUAUUAGUUUUUACAUUUUAUUUUCUUCUUAUUAUUUAUAUUUAUAAAAAUGUCCACAGUUUUUUUAAAAUGUUUCUAAAAUUUAAAAAAUAAUUGAACCUUUAUAAGAUGUUUCUCAAAUGUAUUAAAAAUGUUCACAAGUUUCAAAAAGUGUUCACACAUGUUUUUUAAAAGCACGUAGCUUUAAACAUAUUUACAUUUUUUAGAAGUGUUCGUAGAUUCCAAAAAAAAAUUCAGUUUUCUCACAAGUUCACGCAUUAAAAAAACAAAUCACACGCUUUUCCCUAUAAAUGUUCAUGUACCCCUCCGUCUCGGUGUAAAACUUAUUUAGGUUGUGCACCGUGAUCAAGAUGGAGAGGAAAACGAGAUAAAUCAAUGCUAAUUUGCUAAUUAAUACCAUUUCAUGUAAUAAAUUGACCAGUGCUUGUUAUGCUAGUUAGUCCCAAGUCAUUGAAAACAUACGAUCCCACAUUUCUUAUUGGUUGAUUCCUUUAUUCAUGUUGCAAAACAAGAAACGAGGUGAAACUUAAUGCACCGCAUCUAAAUGUUUUGAAAUUAUUUGGUUUUCGUAAGAUGACUUAUACACCGAAACAGAGGGAGUAACCAUUUUAUGUUGAAAACCGAAAAAAAGAAGACAAAGGAGGGGGCAAAACACGAUGACACUACAAGUUGCGGCACAUGCCUAACUAGGCCACCGACCUAAUACAACGCCCAUUGUGUGGCACCUCUACAAUCAUUCCUAUUGGCACGAGAUAGGAGCUCCCCACAUUGCCACUGCCAUCCAACAUCACCCCGGAGGAGGAAGCCAAACCCGUUGGGAAGCAAUUGUAGGCUGGAACUACAAUUUUAUGUUCGCCUCCACCACUUCAGGUGUACUAAUUUUAUGUUCGCCUCCACCACUUCAGGUGCUAUCCACCCACGAUGGUGUACUAAUUGUAUGUAUGUGCUUCGCUAUGGGGAGAACACCGUCGCGACACUGCAGCAUCUGUAUGAUGUCGUUCGACGAGAAGCAUGUGUCUUCCUCUCGAACUUCCAUCCAUCCCAUUAUGUAUCGAAAUUGUGUUACAGAGUGAUAUUGUUAGGUAAAGGCAGAGAUUAAUAUUGGAUAGAUUCUUACAAUCCAAAAGUUAAAUGGAGGACACUUGCUUACUUUGCAAGGUCAUGUGUUCGAGCAAACACGGUGACAAUCCUUAACAAUUCUCACUUUAUAAUAUCCUAUAAGUAUUACAUUCUCUAUUUUCCAUUGUCAUGGAGUAAUAUAUUUAAUUUUGUCAGCCACCGUCAUUGCUGGUACAUCCUUGAGUUAGUUGUAUUUUUUCCCACUAAUCAGGGGUCACGGCCGAUGUAAUUAGGCGCCCUGCUAGGCCCUGGUUUACUGCUAUCGAAUCUUAGAGCCUCUGCAGCUACAACUUGCAAAUUCGAACCCUUAAAGGUUCGUGGACGCAUCAUCAGUGACUAGGUGUGUUCCUUAUUUGUUUGUCUGUAUUUGUAAUUUUUUAUAUGUCCGAUCACUUUCACGUGUUUGAUGGAGAGAUGGAGAAAGAAAGAAAAGAAUGAAUAAGAAAAAAAAUGUGGUCCGGGAUGGGGUCGUGUUCUAUGUGGAUACUGACCGGGCGCGUCCGGACACGUCCUCAUAUCCUCCCUAUAUUUAAGAUGAAUAAAAAGGUUCGUGGACAAUUCAUACAUAUAAGGACGAUAUGAGGAAUCCGGUUGAGUCAUUUUUUUUCCUUCUCUCUCCUGUCCGAUCACUGAAUGAAUGUAUCCGUGAACAUAUGAAGAGUCAUUUGAGGGUCCGGAUAUAGAUGCUGUUAACACCUCACAGCUACGCUUGUAUCCUUUCAGUCCGUACGUGUGAGCUCGUUAUGAACCCCUUGAUAGAUACAUGCAUGGAUAGGUUAAAAAGAGGUGUGAGUAUUUUCACAAGAAAUAGCGAUGCUGAGUUGGUUGCUAUAGUCACGUUUUGGCUGGACAAGAGGUAAUAAGUUCAAUCACCAGGCGUCCUAUUUUUCUCGCGUCAGUUUUUUUUGUCGGUUAGGUGUUGACUAAUGGUCAUAGUGGUAAGACUAUCCAUAGUAAAACUAAACACAGGUAGUAACAUAGAUGUCACAUAAAUAAAAAAGGGAAACACUUCCUAUCAUACAUCUGAUAGGUAUCAUACAUCUGAUAGGGAGAUAUUCGUCAGACCAGUUGAGGAACGUUGAUGGGCUUUUAAUCGCACCCCUGAUUUGCUUCCAAAAUCCAUUCAUUAUUCAGUUUCCAAACGAGCCUGAUUUCUUGCCUUGUCCGUCUCCAUAGAUCCCGCAAAUAAUCUCAGAUGCACCAACUCUCCCGACUCUAGCCUGCCCCCGCUAGGCCGCCACAGCUCCAUCGCCGAGCUGGCCACGCCCCUCGCCGAUCUGGUUCUUCACCGGUGCGUCCUCUGGAACAGUUGUCGCCCACCUGCGCCGUCCAAUUCCUCUCUGUGCUGGUGUACUCUGUGCUGCCCAUGAUGUUCUCUCCUGCAUGGAAAACCCAAAGACGUUCUUAGGUUGCCGCAUGCGUCGAUCCUGUUGUUUCUAGGUCGUAUUACAGGAGAAAUGAUCAGAUGAGACGGGCCUGAUGAUGUUGUUCUAAUUUUCUUGCUGUUGUACUUGUACUACAUGUCCAUCGGGAGCAAGGCUGAUAGAAAACAAGAGAAAAGAAACGAUGAAUUCAAACAUGUAUGCUUCGGAUUGAAAGGUCCUCUACCAGGGUAACAUUCUCUCAUUUGUAUUGAUUAAUAUUUGCAAUUUUGUUUUGCUUCUAAUAUUAAUGUUUCGUUCAGAUAUGCAUCUAGUUAAUCUGUUGUACUGCACCUAAUACCGUGGCGAGUCUUUUUCGCCAUGAUUUUUGUCGAGUGCAUCUAUUUUAUAGUCGAUGUGUUUCUUGCCUCAUACGAUGGCGAGUCUUUUUCGCCAUGAUAUGGUAGUGCCGUACCAACCGCAUUGCCAGCAAUGAUUUGCAGGCGGGAUGAUGGAAGCGGAGAGGAAGCACAUGUCGGAGCCAAGCGCAUCACACCGGUUGAUGGCGCCGAUGAUGGAAGCGACUUGUAGCCUGCAACCGAGCAUCUGACCUGACCUGACAAAUAGGGAUCGCCAUGAGGCCGUGUUCACCUGUGCACCCAUACCAGCAGCUUACACCCUGCCAAUGGCACUGAUAUGGUGCUUCCUCUGGACGACAGCAUGACCCUCUAGGACUGCACGCCCCAGGGUCCUGCACCAACGAUUUUCUUAACACUCCAUGAUCUAAGUUUGGAAGCAAUACUUAUAUAGUUUGGAUGCAAUGGAAAAAUAUUUUUUUUGAAGCAAUACUAAUGGACCUAUGUCAUCCAUGGCAGUUGAUGUGAACCGUGCGUCGCGUCAUUUUGGCCACACGGCACACAUAGUCGUUUAUUCAUUCCAUUAAGUCCUUGUUGUGCAGAAGCAAAAUCUAAUUCUAUUUGGAGCAAAUUUAUCUUAAUUUUUGAAGCAAACUUCAAUAUUUUUUUGAAGCAGUCUGAUGUUACAUUCGGGACAAUUCUAUAGCUGCUUGAAGCAGAUAUAUAUUUUUACUGAUCAAAAUAAUUUGUCGUCGAAGCAAUGUAAUUAACACAAAAAAUAUUUCUGCAUAGGAAGCACAAAUAAGUUGCACCAAGCUGUUGGAAACAAAAGUUUUUUAUUUUAGCAAUGCAUUCCUAUUUCAUCGAAGCACGUGUAAUCGUGAAAGCGAAACCAUCAGAAAUGUGGUAACAAUUUAUGUUUCAUUCGAAGCAAUUCGCUACUCGGCUGAACAAUUUUUAAUGUUUUGGAAACAAUAUAUCAUUAUAAGGCAAAAAAUUAUGUCAAAUUGAAGCAAAUUCUAUUAUGUGUCGGAACAUUAUAUUGCAUCGUUGAAAACAAGUCUUUAAUUUUAAAAAAUCAGAUUGAAGCAAUUUUCAAUCAAGAUGGAAGCAAAGUUUGUCAUGCUAGAUACAAACUAUUAGAUUUCAAACCACCUAUCUAGUUUUCCUUGUCCACUAACAAAAAGAAGAAGAAAAAAGAGCAUGUAACACCAAUUCCACGUACUUCACGGAAGGAGUUAAGAAGCAGUUAAAAAGGAAGCAAAACUCAAUUAGUGGACCAUGCAUGUACACCUACCUACCUAGGCCCACAUUUCCUCAAGCCAUUCUAUUCAUGCAUCGCAUGCAUGAGAAAUCAUUAAUCCGACGGCAGCCAGCUAGGCUGAUGGUUGCAAGUAUCCAGACAUCUGAUGCCUAGUGAUGCCCAAUAAAAAAUAUGAUGUGUUAGUUAAUUAAUAAGAAGAAAGAGAAUUUGAAUAACAUAGCUAGUUACGAAUAUUAUAAGCAAUAUAACACAUAUCAAGACAAGAUAAGUCUAUAAACUAAUAAUGGAAACGCUCAAUAUUAUCAUUUCUAUAUUACUAUUCAUUGUGAAGGUAACUUAGACUAGUAACAUAUGCAUGUUAUUAUUUUAUGUUACUUUUCAUUAUGGAUAGUCCAAUGAGUUCGAUCACCGGCGCUUCCAUUUUCUCGGUGCUAGUUUUUUUUUCUCACGUGGCUCAACAGCCCAUAAGAAAAGGUCCAAUGAAGGACAAAUCUGGUCCAACAAAUAGGUGUUCAAAACCAAUAAAAUCAUCUAAACAAAACAAAAUCAAGAGUAUUACCUUGCUUUAUUAAUAGAUAUAAAUUAUGGAGCAAAUUAAUGAUGGCAUUGUAACGUUACGUGGAACUAGCAUAAUGGUCCGCGCAACUGGGUGCUAGUGAAAAUUCGAGUAAAAGUAAGAUACAUUUUUAUAAGGCCCGUGCUUCUGUGUUUAACAUACAUCCUAUUGUAUUCAAACUCGGUAGAGUGUGAAAACAUAGUAACAUAUGCUUGACAUUUGACAUCUGUCGAUGUUAAAAUCGACGGAUCUCGGGUAGGGGGUCCCGAGCUGUGAAUCUAAUAUCAAUGGUAACAAGGAGAGCAGGGACACGAUGUUUAUCCAGGUUCAGACCCUCUCGAAAAGGUAAAACCCUACAUCAUGAUUUAACUAGAUUUUGAUGAUAGGUAUCAAGUACAAGUUGAUAAUCUACCUCGAGAUCAUUGUGUAAGCUCUAAACCCAAAGAUGAAUACGUUGGUCCUCUACAGACUAAACCCCAGGGUUUAUAUAGAUACCCAGGGGGAGCUAGGUUACAUGAUUAAGUCGGUAAUAGGCAAGUUGAAUAUGGAGGCAUCCUUAGAGUACACACCAAGUCUUUGAAGGUUUUUUUUCUUGACACGGGCAAGUCUCGACGUUCCUGUUGGUCUCCCGAACAUUGCUUGAUGGACCCCCAGUUCGGUCCGUAAGAACUAAACACCUCGAGUUGGCACCCCUAGUCCAGGACACCCUUAACAUCUUACCACUUGAAUCAACUUCUAGAUGUGUUUAUGGUUUACAUAGCCAUUUGUAUGUGAUUAUGCACUGAAUAGGACAAACAAUCAUAUGGGUUGUUCCAUAAUCAUCAUAUAACCCAACGAUGGAAUGGUAAAAUAGCUCGUAUAUUUAUAUCGCUUUCUCUUUAAUGUACCAUUACUAAGAAUCUGAGUGUGCUUGUCUGCUCGAGCUCAUAUGAGCUUGGUAUGAGCAGUAAAAUCCGAAAAAGAAAUUUAAAAAUCUGAUUUCUUUUUGUGAUAAUUUUUGAUAAUUGUUUUGAAUGAUUGCAAAGUUUCAUCAUAGGAUGACAUUUAUGGAAGUUGUGGCAAAAAAAAUCAAUUUGUUUUUUAUGUCUCCCACGUUCCACGAAUGUCAUUCGAUGACGAAAUUUUACAAGCACUUAAAACAUUCAUCAAUGUUUGAUCGAAAAAUAUAUUUUUAAAAUAUGUUUUGAUUUUUUUGGAUUUUAUUAUUCACCGAGCUCAUCAGAUAAUUGACGUCCUACUAUGUAGUACUUUUUCCGUCUAAAUUAUUUAUCUUAGAUUUAUCUAGAUACAGAUGUAUUUAACACUAAAACAUAUCUAAAUAAAUUUAAGACAAGUAAUUUGAGUCGGAGGGAGCGACAUUUUAUUCUUUCUAACAGAGAUAUUCGGACUGUCAUACAACAAAGUACUAUUUUACCAUUCCAUCGUAUUUGUCGCGGCCUGAUUGUAUGUUUGUUGUAUCCAAGCAAAUGAAUCUGAUUCAUGGAGUACUAGAACAUGUGAUCCUCUGUAUGUUUGUUCGAAUAUCUUUGUCGCAGCCUGAUUUUAUAUUCGGACUGUCAUACAACAAAUGAGUCAUACAACAAAUGAAUCUGAUUCCAUCGUAUUUGUCGCGGCCUGAUUAUAUGACAGUCCGAAUAUCUCAUUUGUCGCGGCCUGAUUGUAUGUUUGUUGUCUCCAAGCAAAUGAAUAUGAUUCAUGGAGUACUAGAAGAUGUGAUCCUCUGUUUGUCAUGUUGUAUAGUUUUGCAGGGAAUAUCUUUCGAGUGAUCAUUGUAUUUUAGCUUACUUAGUCAGGGUAGACUUGUAAAUGUUACUGCCUUAAAUGUCCAAAGUUAAUGCAUAUUGUUGUACGUCUGGUCUGGAUUUUCAACACGGGAAUCUGAAAGUUUUCUCAAUGGUCGAACUGGUGAAAGAAUGCAGUGGUCGGUUUCCAUGCCCCUGCCUUCUACCAGAGGCUGGUUGAUACGCAUCGCGGAAGACCGGGCCUGCGCGCGUUCUCACAACGGUGGAGGAGGCUGAAGCGCUAGCGAUUGGCCAGGUACCAAUCGGAGGAGCUAGUUAAUACAGUACCUCGUACUCUGUUCUCCACCCUGCAUGCUCCUUGAAAACAAACAAAAGGAAUAUCUUGGAUCAUAAACCGUUGCAGCAUUGGGUAGCUCUCCAGCUUGCAGACCGGGAGCAGAAACGCACUCACGCACACAUAUUUGCAUCUCCGGAUGCCAUCACAAUCAGACAAGAGAACCAAAGAAACACAAGCAAUCAAAAGAGACAAGAAACAUGAUCGAGCAGACUCUCUGCUCAUCAAAGAUUCAUUUGCUUGGAUACAACAAACAUACAAUCAGGCCGCGACAACACGGAGCAAGAGGAGAAAAAGAGACGCACCUCCAUGAAUCUGUACGAACAACACAAGGGGGCUCGAUCACAGCAUCAAAACCCUCCUCCCUACCUGAGCGAACAACAACGGACACGAACCAAGAAGUGAUGAUUGAGGGAACUCCAUGGGAGACAGACGGCCUCUCCUCCUCCUCCUACGGCACGAGGAAGAAGAACGUCAUCUCGCCUCUGGGAACAAUGCUUCACCACCGAAGAUACUUAUACCGCGAAUAUCUCCAUCCACGUCCCUUCGAGGGGCUCCAAUUUGACCCGCUCUGAAACUCAUCAUCUGGCCGGGUUUCUGAACUUUGAACGACAGUAUCGAUCUCCUGCAGUGACAGGGAUCCUGUGCACUGAACCUGGACGCCUUCAUGUAGCUUUUUUCCUCUGUUGCAGCACUGUGGUGGCACAGGGCGUGCUGCCCCAUCGGUGUCCCUGCUUUUCUUAUUCUCCCUUUAUACCGCCUGACCAUAACAGUCACGCGUAAUGGGACAGGUAGCUAGCUGGCCCAUUGGAUUAGACGGAUUUUGUAAUGGAAAAUGCCGGAUUAGGUCUAUGUGCUCUGCCAUUAGGAUUACCAAAUGUGUCCUAGCAGCAUCAUUGUCUGCGUGAUAGCUGGCCUUUCAUUAAAAUUGAAAUAACACUGAUGAUGAACGUGCUGCGUGAAAGACUAGUUUGUUUAUGUGUGAUGGUGAUCUCACGCUCAGUUCAUAAUCAGUCAUACGAGACCAACUCAGCACUCUCCGGUCCUGUUCCAUCACAACAUGGAUUAACCAGCCACGGCUGCGAAAAGUAGAGUGGAUUAGUAGGCCAUCAAGUUAGUGAACCGACUGUGCUUUUAAACUGUACAUAAACACCGAUUUUUAUAUCCUCUUUUUAUGUAAGUAGAGGUGGCACCCGUGUCAUCCGGCUGCACCGAUCGAAUGCAAGCCAUAAACAGCGUGAAAUCUUCAGCAUGUAUCAGGACGCGGAAAACAUUUUGUCUUCGUCUACCUAAGUUCCCGAUCACUUUAUGGUUCUUCGCCAAAGUUUGCUCACUUUAUCAAAGAUACUGCACUCACAGCACUACAGCAACUAACACGUCCACUCAUGACCUGCACCGCAUUAUUAGCAGAGAUUGCCCAGGAUCCCUGCUCGUGUGCCUGGCCCCAAGCCUGUCCUGCAAGUGGCCCGAGCUUUGGACCAGUUGCAUGGUGAGAUGACGGUGAUUAUGGCGUGAUCACUGUAACUCCCUUCGCAUACGCUGACAGAAAUGUUCGUGGAGAGAAACCGAGCGACGACGACGACGACGACACUGAUCUCUAGCUAGCUGCUGGAGAUAAGGAAUUUGUAGGUUGGGCACGCAUCUUUACUCCAUGAGCCAGUUUUUCUAGAGCUGCAAAUCUAGCUGAGUAGUGCCGCCCAAAAAAAGGACACGUCACAUGAGAUUCCCUUCACUCUAGCUUCUAACCUAGGCUGCAUCACGGCUAGGUGCAUUCCCAGGUUCAUCUAUCCGGCUCCAAGACCUUGCAUGCAUUUGCACACCACAGUCCACAUGACACAAACAAGCUUGCUAGCUACUACUCUGUGUAGAUCUUUAGUCUUUCGCCUAGACAUAUAAAUAGCAGCCGGCUAUGUGCUCAUCAGCAGGGUAGAUUAGACAAGUGAGGUGUGGUCCACGGGAGAUGAGCAGAGUCCUAGCAAGUUUGGUUGGUUGUCAACUGGAGUUCUCCUCAAAUCACUUCAGUAGCUAGCUUAACCAUGUCUCGGUGCAUUGACACUUUUGUAAGUGCGCGCAGUGAGCUCGACAGCUGUGCAUAGUGAAGUGUUUGGGGGAACUCUGGGUGGCGACCAGCAAUAUCAAUACAGGUUUGAGAGUGUUUGUGUUUCAAUUAUAGUGCUAGAUCCAUGUAUGAAAUCCAUAUACAUGAUGAUGGGUACGUGGGAAUUAAUCGAGUUUGGCCACGUCGGGAGCUCCCUUCAAGCACUUCAGGAAGCAUCUCUUUCAGGGCAUUUCUGAAGUGUUUGGGGGAACUCUUGUUGUCGCCAAGCAUUUCGUAAACAUAUGGAGCAUAUACCAUAAGAGAGAUGUACCAAUAGCAAACCAAGUUUGGUAUUACCGAGAGUUCCCUUCAAGCACUUUACGGAGUACCUCUCCAAGGUAUUAUGUGAAGUGUUUGGGGGAACUUUCGGUGUGGCCAAGCAUUUAGCAGAUAUUGCAGGUUAUAUACCACGAAAGAUGGCAAGACAUGUUUAGUAUUACUCGGAGUUCCUUUGAAGCACUCCACGCAGACUCCACGAAGCAUCUUUUUGAGGGCUUAUGUGUAGUGUUUGAGGGAACUCUAGGUGUCACCAGACACUUGCUAGUUACUAGCCACAUGCCAUAAGAAAGAUGCACUAAUAACAAACCACAUUUGGUAUAACCGGGAGGUUACUUCGAGCACCUUAUGAAGCACUCUUUUGAGGUAUUAUGUGAAGGUUGGGGGGGGGGGGGGGGUUCUUCGUUAAACCAACCAUAUAGCCGACAUUACAUGUCAUCAACAAAAAGAGAAGCACCAAUGGCGGAGCCAAUUUGGUAUUACUAGGAAUUCCCUUCAAGCACUUUACAAACAACCAUAACUUCUACUUUUACAUGCAUUUAUUUUCCUGCAAUUAUUUAUUUUGAAAAGAAAAAAAAUACUUCCAACCUUAGAGAUAAACCCAUAACAUGUUGCAACUAGCAAAACUAGUGAGAUUGGGAAUCUCACUACAUUUGUUGGGGACAAGAGUGAAGUUCCUUGUUUGUGGUGCAGUAUUUUUGUCAGAGUUAGGAGUGUUGCCUCUAUGGGUUGAUCCUUGUUUUUUGAACCGAGGGGAAGACUUGCCACUUGCUUCAAGCCCUUGCACUUGGGAUCCCAACAAUUGUUAUCAAGAUUGACUCCUUGGAGCAGCAAACAAAUUUUGUGGCAUCUUUGCCAGGUGGUAACAUUAAGUCUCACAGGCUCCGCAAUACUAUUACUUCAUGUUCCUCGUUAUUUACGUUAUGUAGACAUUUUUAUGUAUUCUGGUUUUUUUGGCAUUAUUUACACAAAAAAUAUAUUUUUACUUCAACAUGUAGUUAAUUUUCUUUUACUUAGCAGCAAUGGAAAGCCUAUCCAAAAAUGCGGUGCCACUUGAGCUAGAAAUUCUUGUCUUUCGGCAAAGUGGAGGUGAAACAUUAAAAGACUCUUUGUAUAUGAUCAAAAAUUUGCAUUAUAGGUCUGAACAAAAAUGCUCAACAAGUGCUCUGCCCAGGGAAGUUUUAUAUUGUAAUGUUUGCCUGUUUUAAAUAUGUACUGGUUACUAUAACAUGAGUUCUGACAUGGUUUCCUUUUGCUUAGUAUAGCUGCAGCUAUUUGGCGUCCGAUUUAUCUUAAGCUGUUGUAAGGAUUGAAAACUUGGCAAUAAAUAUAGCUGUGUCCAUCAUCUAAUGCACAUGCAAGGGUGUUUCUCCUUUCACAAAAAGAAGAAGGAAAAUAGUAACGCUUGCAAAGUAUUUUGGCACAUAGAUCAUUGAAAUGAUCUCACCUAUUUAUAGGAGUAAAUAGUUUGGCAUAAAAACAUGUUCAUAAUAUUAGCUAUUAUUUUUUCAUUACUAGUACAUAUCUGUAAAAACCCAAUGCUCAUAAGUGCAUGUUUGAGAUUUUUGUAUAAAUGGUGUUUUUAUUCACUCAUAACUUAACAUUUAGGAUGGGAAUGGGCUGGAUCGGCCCGCGAGGUCGUUUACCCCACCCAAAAAUUCGUGGCCAAUGGGUCAUGUGGCUCGGCCUCAAAUGAGAUUUGGGUCAACAGAGCUGACACCGGGUGACCCUCUGGGUCAGCCUGGUCGACCCACCAUAGAGUAUUAUAUCUCACAAUAGUUGCAAUCUUUGUUAUGUCGGCGUUGUCGUAUGACCCGAUUUUACGAGGCAGUGUGUCAUAUAAUUUCUGACAAAUGCUCAUGUAUAUGAAAAAAAUAGUCUUGAUAUGUUUCAGCAAGAUGUGCAUUUACAAAAUCACAAGCAAAUGACUUGAUUUUUUAAGUUAACCAUGUAUUAGAAAUCUUAUUAAUUCUUACACUAGUCAAAUUCCAGUAAACCGUGACCAAUUUUAAUAUCUCAUUCGUCCAUAAAGAAAUGUAAAGUAAGAAUUUAGGUAGACCCGAAACACCCAUGGGGCAAACAAAGACACUGACUAUUAUUUAUAUGGGUUGACCCGUGACCUCACAAAUUGGCCCUGGGGCCAUAGGGGCCGGGUCCAAGGCCAGGUCCGGCGGGCCCAUUUCCAUCCUGAUGUAACAUCAAGGGUCGGCAUGUGCAUGAUUAUGAUGACAUCAACGUGCAGACAGAGAGGACCAAAAUCAGGAAGACUAAUUAAGACUAAAAUCAUGAUGACUCGGUAGAGAAAAAAUAAACAAAACCCCAAAGCUAAAUCGAUGAUGGGCAAGUUAUAGACCAUGCUAGGGUUUUUGGCUCCCGUUGGCAGCGGGGCAAUUUGCCACGUCUCAUGUGGCCUUAUGGCCAUGGAUGAGCGGUGGAUCCCGGCCCUUGCUGAUGGAAGGGCUCCGUUUUUAAGUGCUUCUUCAAGUUUUGUUAGUGUUUGUCUUCUGUUCAGGAAGACAAGACGACGACGGCUCCCUAAAGUUGGAAUAAAGUUCUUCCCGCCUAGCCUCCGUCCUGGUGACGCGCCUAACAUCGUCGGAGGACGUGUGGAGGUGUGUCUGCGGCGGAUCUCACGGAUUCGAUCAAUGGUUAUCUUUGGUGGAUCUGCUUGGAUCCGAUCUUUGUUUGUCUUUGUUGAUGUGUCUUCUGGUUGGAUAUUUUUAAUCUAACCUUUUCUUCAUCGACGGUGGUUGUUGUUUUGCUCCGGUGUGGGAGGGGCAAUGUGAGAGUUUCCCGGAAAAUAAAAAGAGACCAUGCUAGGGCCUAUAAUGUCACUUAUUAAUACCUGUGAAAAUGUGAAAGUAGCAGUAACAUUUUUUGGAAGCGCAAUUCAACGUCCAUGUAUACGUUCUUAAUGCUAGCUAGGUCGAUUCAUCAUUCAUUGCCAAUUGCCCUAGGCUAUGCGUCUCAACUAUUACAACGCUCGGAGUCCUUCAAACUCAAAUCAGACCAAAUCGGCGGCUCGUAUAUGUCUGAUUCGAUCUAAUGGCACGUAGCAUCCGUCAUGUCUUGCAGAAGUAGCCGAAGGGCACACUGGGAGUCGAGAACUCCGCCGAGAGAAUCUUUGCCGCGACGACGGCGUUCGCGGCGUUGGUGUAGUGCACUCCGUCCCAGCUGACGAACUUGGAGCCGUCCUCGCACACCCGGUAGCCGGCGCCGAGGCAGCUCACGCUGGCGUUGUAGUUGUAAGGCGGCCCGCCGUAGCCGCAGCACGCCAUGAGAGGCUCCUCAAACCCUGAGACACCAGCGGCCCCGUAAAAAAGACAGAGGAUGCAUGCAGUUGUCUCCAGGUUGAUGGAUAGGAUUGCUGAACGAUCGACUCACCGUAGCCGCUGUGGUUGGCGAUGAGGUCGUGCUUGAUGGACAGGACGUCGGUGUACACGAUGGUGGCGCCUUUGAGCUGCGACGUGAGCUUGUUGCAGACGGUGCAGAGCUGGUCGUUGAACUCGUAGGAAGCGUUGUUGAGCGUUCUGAGGCAGCCGCCGUCGUCUAGAUCGCCCCCUUCGUCGUCGCCCCUGGGCUCGGCGAGCUUCUCGGGCAGGCAGCCCAGCGGGCCGGUGCCAUGGACCCAGAAGUUCUUGGCUCCAUUGUAGUACAGAGUCUGCAUGCCAUGAACAGACAUGAUUAGAUGAAGUGUGGUUUUAGGCUUUACUAGGGUUUUAGCACCAGAGGCAAAAGAAGAAAUUGAGCAAUGGGAUUUGGGAAUUAAUCAGUUUGCAGUACCACAAUGGCAUCCUGUAUCUCAGAUAGUAUGGCCGGGAUCCUCUGAUGGAUAACGUCGUCGUAGGCCAGCCUGCUAGAAAAGGCUCCGGAGAGGUCGUUCUGCCCUAUGUCGACGAGGUACAGCGCGUUCCGGAAACCGUCGGCGUCCACCGGAGCCGUCUCGCCUGCAAAGCAACUAGCACUAGAUCUGUCAGGCAGGCACACACACGACCCUUGAAUUUUGUGCUGACUAGUGCUGAAGUAGUAUGAAUCAAGGAGACUCGAGGACCAUGGCUGAUGAGCUGGAGGGAGCGCUGCUUGAAGUGGAUGAACUGCUGCACCUGGACGUGGAGAGCAAAGGGCCUGUCACGCGGCAUGGUGCCCGAGCCGGCGAUGGCGAAGUUGGCGCCGUUGCUGAAGUCGGAGCCCAGCGCCUCCAUGUACGGGCUCAGGUAGCUCAUGUUCAGGCUCUCACCUGCACGUUCGCCCACGCACGCAGUAAUUAAUUAUCAAGGCACUGCCAAACAGCGUGCUACGAGAAGACCAGAUUUUGCAUGGUGGUGAAUCAGUAAGAAGAAAACCACUGUUACCGUUGCAGACUACCUUGACAAAACUGGUAAGAAAACCUUAUCAUUUUGGUGUGACUCAGUGGCCGAGGCAGGAUCGCUGAAAUCCUAAUGUUGAGGGAGGGGAGGGGGCCUAUAGGAUUUUUUUUCUUUAAACUACUGUUCACCUGGUUUCAACAACAAAAUUCAACUUCUUGAGGAGGGCCUUGCCCUAGCUGGCCACCAACCCCCCACCCUCUUGUCCCCGUCUCCACCCAUGGCGGCUCAACAACACACAUACUCAGUCGGGAGCGACUGAGCGGCAGGAAGACAUGAACCCUAGCCGCUAGCACUAUUGAAUUCAUGCUUGAGCCAGUUGCUUUAAAAAUCCGAACUGAUGAAGAAAAGCGGGUAAUAUAUUUCAACACUGCGCCUCACGUCUAGGCUUAUUUAGUUCUUAGACAUGGCAUUGAUGUAGCCCGCAGAAUUUUUUAUUUUAAUACAAUGUUGGUAGGGUCUUAUUAAACUAAAGACCUCUUGUCUCUAAUAUCAUAUUGAAUUUAUGCAUCAGUCAGUUACUCUAAAAGUCUAAACUGAUAAAGAACGACAGACAAUAUAUUUCAACAAACACGACAACAAAUUGGGCAAUCUAAAGGCAGAUGACGGCGGCGACAUGCCAGCUAUCGUUGUACGCAGGUUCAACGGCAAGGCGCCGAUGAAGUUUUGGGGGGCAGUUAAGCUAACAGCUACAAUGCUACAUGUGUCCACUUAACCUGAAGUUCUCUAUGACCUACGUCAUUGUUGGGCAUUGUUUACCUCUAAGGUGUUGCUUUCGGAGAAUCAUUCUGCUCGUCCAUGUGUUCUUGAGGACAACGGUGUUAUUGUUGCCUGUUUGUUGCAUUGGUUCGUGUCAGUCAUCUUUGUGUUUAUUCACCUUUUGCAAAUCUCUUUGCUGGUGUGUAUUUUUAAUGUUUUGACUAGGUCUUGAUAUCGUGUUGUUCAAAGACCAGAUGUUUUUGUAUGUCUAGAAGUAUUUUAGCAAAACCAUUUUCGAGUGUGUCUAAGAUACAUGCAUCUAGAUGUGACAUAAUUAUUGCACAUCUAAAUGAUUAAAUCAAGUAUAAAAAAAAUAUCUACACGAAUCUUCACGUAAGAUCAAUGAUAUAGGACUUAGAUGUGCAAUAAUUAUCUCAUAUCUAAAAGUGUUUAAGCAAAACCGUUUCCAUAUCUACUCCCUCUGUUCGGAAAUAAAUGUCAUGGUUUUAAUUCAAAUUAGGGACCUGUUCGGAUCCUCUUCGCUCCACAACCGCAGCUUCCGGAGCAGAGGGAGCGACGGCACAAUCGCACGGAAUUGCUCAAACUCGUGUGGAGCGGAGUUGUGAUACUUGAAGAGGUUCCGGACGGGCACUAAGUCUAUCUCUCAAGGUGCUACAGUGCCUAAACGAAAACAAACAAAAAAGACGCGCGAUGACCAAUGCUUUUUAUACCAUCACCUACACAAAACGAGUGCGUGCCCCCAAAGAACUGAUCGAGCAGGAAAUAGACUGGCGUGCCGUCCCGAAGGUGCACAGUUGCUUUCAUGCUACCGCUCCAACACUCUGAUGCGAUCGCGGGGCAGCACUUGACCACCAACCAAUUCACGCGAGUGCUUCUUACAGCAUGCUCAACUUUUUAAGAUAGAAGCACUAGCACCACCACCAACACCAUGCCAUAUGAUAUGAGCCAGGAUUUGGGUGGGAAUCUGUCGUCGCGCACUUGUCGAUUCCUUGGGAUGGGCCGUGCAUGCAUGCGCGCUUGUCAUAUCAGAGAUGCAUAAUUUCAGCCGCCGCCACUUAAUAGUCUGUAGUUGCUACUGCGCACUAAUCAUGCUUUCUAGCCACCAAUUUAUCCGGAAACAAAUCGAGAAGAUCAACUGACAAGAACACGGAAGGUAGAGCAUGACAGCACUACGGCUGCAUGUUGUGGUUGUGGAGAAGAGGAAACCGCGAAAAGGACGGCAUCUUACUGUCGCCCAACUGAGCAAUGACAAAGUCUCAUGAAAGUAUACGCAUAGUAAGAUUUAGGAUUACUAUGGCCAGGCGCAUCUGAGUAAUUUUUUUUUACUAUGAUUUUUGUGCGUCAGGUGGAGCAGUUACUACUUGAGCAGAGUGCACAGCCAACGUGGAGGCGGCGGCAACAAUGGAUUUGCGUGUGCAACUUACAGAGGUAGUCGAUGACGAGGCGGCCGUCGCAGAGCCGUCCGGUGGAGCGGCGGAAAUGGGCGCGGCCCUCCGGGAGCGGGAAAUAGCUCCCGAGCGCCGCCGCGGCGCCGCCCGUGUCCGUGUUGGAGUCGCCGAACGCGAACACCACCGGCCGCCGCGUGCACCCCUCCUCCGCGGCGGCGGCCGGCAGCAGCACCGGCGGCGAGGCGAGCAAUACAGCGACCGCGAGCACGGCCGAAGCCGCGGCGACAAGGGCUCUAGCGCUCGCUGCCAUGCCUCCGCAGACGUCGCCAGCUCCAGCUGCUUGCGACGUGCAGUCGAUGUCUAUAUACGUAUGCCUAUACGAAAGCGUGAGCACGAGAACGGUCCUGGGACGCGCACGUAUUUAUAGCCGUGGUGUUGGUGGGUGCAGGCGUGCAGCACUAGAACCAAAGCCAGAAGACUGCAAAUUGCAGAGCCGGGCACGGGGUGCAACUCUUUGCGCAACAUGCAUGCAUGCAUGCACAAGCACAAUGGAGUGCUCUUGUGGGCGCAUCAACUGAGCAGCCGUUGAUAGGAGCGCCCGUGGCCCAGACUCCUCAACUGCAACUUUUAUUUUUCUGGACAGUACGCCUCAGCGUCAGCUGCAACUUUGACGUACAUAUGGGAUAGAGCACGAUACCAUCGCCUGUAGAGAUGUCCGGCCAGAUAUCAUCGCCCUGUAAGGACAUAUAUCUAACCGAAAAUGUCCUAUAACUUCUCUCAAAUGCUCUUCCAGAUCUUAACUCUUUAAAAAUGAGAAGUUGAGGAAAUGAUCGGACCUAAUCAAAUUAUUAUGGGUGUGUUUGGUAGCAUGUAUGAACUAUGGAUCUAGCCUAAUUGUUUUCCUCUCGUACAUGCUGAGUAUAGAUAUGCUGAAUCCAUGCAUUUGCUGUUGUUUUGCAACGGUGUAUGCGUUGAAACAUGUUGAACUGAGACUUUGUAUGGCAGCUUGCAUGCGCUGAGACAUGCUGAACUGAUACUUUAUUUGGCAGCCUGCAUGUGUUUAGAUAUGCUGAACAAUUUUGAAUUCCGAUAAUUUGUGUUAAUGGUGAACAAAAUUGAAUAAACUUGAACAUAAAUUUAACAUAUUUUAAUUUUUUGAACUUUUAUUGAAAAUCUAAAAAAAAUUGAUAUUCUAAACAUUCUUUGAAAAUUUAAAUGAAAUUUGAAACUCUGAACAUUUUUUGAAAUUUAAACAUAUUUUCAAAUUUUAAACUAAUUUUGAAAUUGUGAAUAUUUUUAAAAAUGUAAAAAAAUCCUUUUUUCUAAAAAGUUUAAUCAUUUUUUUCUUUUAUUUCUAACUAAAAUUUAAUUUUCUUGAAAAUUAUAAAAAUUUGGAAAUUCUGAAUAUUUAUUGGAAAUCAAAAUAAAGUUUGGAAUUUUGUAUAUUUUUGAAUUUUUAAAAAAAUUUGAAAUUCUGUUCUUUUUUGAAAUUUUAAAUAUAUUUUUUGAAAAAAUAAGUACAUUUUAAAUUCUAAACAUUUUAAAACAUUUAAACAAACUUUGAAAAUCUAAAUAUUUUUUGAAAAUUUAACCCAAAAAUGAAAUUAUGAAAAUUUAAAUAUAUUUGGACGUUGUCUUGUGGAUGGAGACGAGGGUUGAAGUGAGCAUGGGUGUCUCCAUGCACCCUUUAUGGGGUGCAUGAGAUGGACAUGGUUGAGGGCCUUUUUUGCAUUAGAUGGGCGUAGCCUAGGUGAAUCCAUGCACCCUAUCAAACAAACAAAAAUGGAUCGGAUGGCAACUAUUACCCUCAUGUAUCCUCCAUACACCCUACCAAACACACCCUAUAUGUUUCCUGGUAUUUUUUAGCAUUCUUUCAUCGUUUGUGAGAUACCCCCUCCUCCAUUCUAAAUUAUUUUUCUUAGAUUGUUUUAAAUACAUAUAUAUAGACACGUUUUAGUGUCAGGUACAUCCAUGUCUAGACAAAUUUAAGACAAGUAAUUUAGGACGAAGGUAUUUCAUUUUAAACAAAUGCACGGUAUUCUGUCAAACAAUUACAUUGUUUAAAUGCAUCAUAUGCAACAAUUUAACUAUGAACACACAUAUGGUUCACCCAAUGGAAUAAGUCAAAUUAAAGCAUGCAUAUACUUAAUCCAAAAGCCAUCAGAUUGAUCAAGUAUAUCCAAAAAAACACCACAUAGCAUGUCUCAUGCCGUGGACCAAGUCCUACCGUGCAACACAAAUGAGUAGUCGUGGUCCUAAAGUCGUGUUGCAUGUAUAACUCUUGGAUGAUAAGCACAUACUAUCUCAUUUACAACCCAUUAAAUGUUGCAAUUUUGACUUCAUUAACACAACUAGACCAUCAGUUGCAUUGCUCUUGUAUCACACCACACCGGUGAGUAGAGCCUUGACUCUUUAGUUGUUUAUCUUGAUUAACAUAUGUUGUUGGUGCACAUAUGUGAGCCUAGUUGUUUUUGGUUUUAUGCUUGACUAAUUAAACGAUAGUUUUAUUCUGCAUUUGUUCAAUCUUAAACCGUAAUUAUUUUAAAGGGCCUAUUCAGCCCCCCCCCCCCUUAGGCCACAUCCACAUCCUUUCACAAUCGAUGAUCGAAGAAAUUCGGAGGCAGCUAUCAGAUAAGGCAAGUCAAACCUACAAAAUCUUUUUUACUUUUAAUAGUGAUUACGACUCACACCACCACACACACUCACACAACGUUCACACCUUGGACGACUCACUAUCAACGAAGACAUCACCUCUCACUAAAAAAAUAUUUCACAUUAAUAAGAGGCCAAAAUGUAAAAUAUGAGAUUUGGUCACUAGUGUCUCGAUACCACCUAUCUAUUAACCAUCCAAUCACUAGUUGGCUUCAUGUAACGGAAGAAAAUGAAGCAACACAGACUAGGAACUCAUUGUAUAUAGGUGUGUCGUAUAAAAAAUGGUAUCCUUUUAUACAAGCAAGAAGAUAGUGUAAAAAAUUAUAAUGAUGUGGGUUACCAUCUUCACAAAGUGAAAAGAAGGAAAUAAUAUAGAGGCAUAAAAUAAGAACAUAAAUAGUAAUUGACGAACAUUUUCUAAGAGGGGGUAGCAAACGAGCGUAUUUUCCUCGCAACUUUAGUUACGGCGCGAUAUUAUGUUGGAAAUAUGCCUUAGAGGAAACAAUAAAUUGGUUAUUAUCAUAUUUUCCUAUUCAUGAUAAACAUUUAUUAUCCAUGCUAGAAUUGUAUUGACCGAAAACUUAGAUACAUGUGUGGAUAAAUAACAAUACAGUGUCCCUAGUGAGCCUCUACUAGACUAGCUCGUUCAUCAAACAUGGUUAAGGUUUCCUAACCAUAGACAUGAGUUUUCAUUUGAUAACGGGACCACGUCAUUAGGAGAAUGAUGUGACGAACAAGGCCCAACUGUACGCAUAACAUUUUAUCGUAUCACUUAGUUUCUUGCUACUGCUUCCUUGGUGUCAAGUAUAUGUUCGCGAGACCAUGAGAUCAUGCAACUCCCUGACACCGGAGGAAUGCCUUGUGCGCUAUCAAACAUCACUUCCUAGCUGGGUGAUCAUAUAGGUGCUCUAUGAGUAUCUUCGAGGGUGUCUGUUGUGUUGGUGUGGAUCGAGACUGAGAUUUAUCACUCCAUACGACAGAGAGGUAUCUAUGUGCCCUCUCGGUAAUACAUCAUCACAAGAAGCUUGCAAGCAAUUUGACUAAGGGGUAUGUCACAAGAUCUUGUAUUACGGAACAAGUAACGAGACUUGUCGGUACCGAGAUUGAACUAGGUAUGGAGAUACCGAUUAUUGAAUUCCGGGAAAGUAACAUACCGAUGGACAAAGGGAACUAAAUACGGGAUUGACUGGAUCCUUGACAUCGUGGUUUGACCAAUAAUGGUAUUCGUGGAAUAUAUAGGUACUAAUAUGGGCACCCAGGUUCCGCUAUUGGUUAUUGACCAGAGAGGUGUCUCGAUCAUGUCUACAAGAUUCUCAAACCCGUAGCAUUUGCACGCUUAAUGUUUCAUGACGCUAUAGACUAGUAUUGGAAUAUUUACGUUGGUAAAAUAAUUUUAUUUGGAGUCCUGGAUGAGAUCUCCAACGUCACGAGGAGCUCCUGGAUGGCCCGGAGGUAAAGAUUUAUAUAUGGGAAGUCAUAUUUUGGCUACCGGAAAAUUUUCAAGUUUUGCCAAUAUUGUACCGGAAAGCUUCCGGAAGGUUUUAGAGGGUUCCAAAGGAGUCCGGAAGGGUCCCUACAGCCCCUAGCGUGUACAUGGGCUGUAGGUGGGCACCCUGGCCUUAUUGAGCCAGGGGCACAUGACCCACAAGACCCAUGCACCUAGAGGGAAGGGAAACUCUAAGGGGAAGGGCCCUCCACUUGGCUUGGAGGGCACUCCUCCUCCCUAGGGCCGCUGCCACCUCCUUGGAGGACAGGAAAAGGGGGGUUGCGCCCCUCCCCCUUGAUACUAUAUAUAGAUUAGGGGUGGGGAGGGCGGUCUUGCACCAAUUCCUUCUCCCUCCCUUGGGCAGCCCCUAUUCCAUCUUCCCAAGUUCUUCCUUGUUCGCGGUUCUGGAGGCGCUUGGCGAAGCCCUGCUCGCAUUGCUUCGCCACCAUCUAUAACAUGUUGUCGUGUUGGUUGAGAUCCCAUCUACUUCUCCGCCCUCACUUGCUAGAUCAAAGAGACGGAGACGUCAUUGAGCCGCACGUGUGCUGAACGCGGAGUUGCCGUCCGUUCGGCGAUGGAUCGUGAUAGGAUCAUGAAGGGUACGAUUACAUCAACCACGUAAUAUAGGCCUACGCUUAACAGUCUACGAGGGUAUGUAGACAAACUCUCCUCUCUUGUUGCUAUGCAUCUCCAUAGAUAGAUAUUGGGUGUUCGUAGGAAUUUUUUUGUUUUCCAUGCUUCGUUCCGCCGCAGUGGCAUCAUGAGCUAGGUCUAUGUGUAGAUGAUAUGCACGAGUAGAACACAAAGAAGUUGUGGGCAUUGAUGUUCAGAUUGCUUACCUCCCAUAUCUUAUUUUGAUUCGACAGUAUUGUGGGAUGAAGCGGCUCACACCAACCUUACUUGUCCUCGCACAAGAGACCGGUUCCACCGAAAAAUAUGCAAGUUGUAUUGCACAAAGGUGGCUAGCGAGUGUCUAUCUCUCCCACUCUUGUUGAAUUGGAUUUGGCAAAGGCGGUCCUUGUAGAAGGUUAAAAGGCAACUUUAUUAUCACCAUUUUGGCUUUGCAUAGGUAAGAAUGGUUUUUCUAGUUGCCCAAAGCAGCGUCUAACUUGUUUUUGCUGAGUAUGUUAUGAUGUGAUGUGGUCAAGGUGUGAUUAUAUAUAUAUGUGAUGUAUGAAAUGAUUAUGUUUUGUAAUAAUUAUCACGACUUGCAUGUCAAUGAUAACGAGAACUGGCAGGAGCCAUAGGGUUUUCUUUAAUUUAUUUUAUGUGAUUGUUUUCCUUUAUUGCUAUGCGUUAGCAAUAGUUGUAGAAGCAAUAGUUGGCGAGACAACCACGCGACAACACGAUGAUGGAGAUCAUGGUGUCAUGCCGGUGACGAUGGAGAUCAUGCUAGUGCUUUGGAGAUGGAAAUCAAAAGCACAAGAUGAUGAUGGCCAUAUCAUGUCACUUAUUUAUUCGCAUGUGAUGUUUAUCUUUUAUGCAUCUUAUUUUUUGGAUGACUGUAGCAUUAUAAGAUGGUCCCUUCACUUAAUUUAAAGAACAAAUGUGUUUUUCCUAAGUAUGCGUCGUUGUGAAAGUUCUUCAUUUUGAAGCACCACAUGAUGAUCGGGGUGAUAGACUCUUCGUUCACAUACAACGGUGCACUCCAGAUUUGCACAUGCAGAAUACUUGGGUUGAACUUGAUGAGCCUAGCAUGUACAGACAUGGCCUCAGAAGAGAGGAUACCGAAAGGUCAAACAUGAGUCAUAUAGAAGGUAUGAUCAACAUGGAGAUGAUCGCCAUUGAAACAACCUCAUCUCAGGUGAUGAUUGGACUUGGGUUGGUGAAUUUGGAUCAUGUAACACUUAGAAAACCCAAGGGAUGUUGAUUGAAGUGGAAGUUCAUUAGUAAUUUUAUUAACUAAACUUAUUAUCAUGAAAUUAGUAAAAAUGCCUUUGCAAAUUAGGUUGUAGCAAUGUCUCGUGUUGUAGCUCCCCUGUAUUUUGAUACGUUCCUAUAGAAAACUAAGUUGAAAGAUGAUGGUAGGAAUUAUGCGGACUGGAUCCGUGAUUUGAGGAUUGUUCUCAUUGCUGCACACAAGGCUUAUGUCCUUGAUGGACCGAUGAUACGUCCCAAACGUAUCUAUAAUUUCUGCUUGUUCCAUGACCUUUUGGAUGACAUUGUUAUAUGUUUUGCUACACUUUUAUAUCAUUUUACACAUAUUUGGACUAACCUACUAACUUAGUGCACCCAGUGUCAGUUUCUGUCUGCUGAUGUCUAUUUUGCAGGGGCUUUUACCCAAUUUUCUGAAGCCUGGAAAAUUCCGGGAAAAAUAUAUAAAAAAUCAGCGAAACAGAAGCUUCCGGAUCACCGAAGAUGGGCCAGAAGGGGCCAGGGGCUGCCGAGGCGACCUGCUGGCGCGGCCUAUGGCCGCGCCAGGAGGCCGCCUGGGUGGCCCCCACCUCCUCCAGUGCCCUCCUUUGGCCUAUAUUUAGAGUCCCAAGAGGAAACACUUACACAACUUCCAGAAUCGCGAAUUUCUCCAUCGUUUCGCCGCCGCAGCGCUUCCGAGAUCGGGAGCGUGAGGAGACCUCUUCCCGGCACCGUGUCGAAGGGAGGAUUGACCUCCGGGAGCUUUUCCACCGCCAUGGAUGCUUCUCGGAUGUGUCGUGAGUAGUCCUCCUUGGACCAUGGGUCCAUGACCAGUAGCCAUGUGAUGCAUUCUGUCCAGUCUUGUGCUUCAAUGGUUAGUCCUUGUGAGCUGCCCUACAUGAUCAAGGCAUCUAUGUAAUUCUCUUGCGAUUGCUAUGCUCGGUUUGUUGGGAUCCGAUGGAUUAUGAGAUUAUGUUCAGAUUGUUAUGAGUUAUAUAUUUGAUUAUCCUUUUAUAUUAUGUUCCUUAGUGAUUCAUGCAUGUUCUCCGUUGCUAUUUAUUGCUUUGGCCGAGUAAUAGAUUGUAACUCGAAGAGGGAGCGUUGUGCAUGAUUGUGGGUUCAUGCCCCUCGAUGUCUAGCUUGAGUGACAUGAAGAUGAGACUAGGGGAUGUGUUGUUGCCACCAGGGAGAAAACAACGGUGCUUGUGACCACGGUUGCAAGGAUUGUUUACCUUACACAUAGUUCAUUAAUGCAGUUGUCCGUUGCUUUGAGUUUACACUUUGGGUGGGGCUCGCAACUUAAUACCGGAGAGAUGUUCUGGAUAGAUAUAUCAAGGUGGAUGAUUAGUAAGUAGAUGUUGAUGAAUAAACGGUCUACUUGUCUUGGCGUACUGCCCAUUACUAUUGAACCUCUAACUAUUAACUAGCAUAAUUAGCAUUGCGGUGCGUUCAUAAUUCUAUCAAUUGCCCAACUAUGAUUUGUUUACCCAAGCAUAGUUGUUUAUCGUAUUUUGGGAGAGAGACAUCACUAGUGAACAUCAUAUGAAUCUGGUCCAUAUCACCAUCAUUGUUUACACCUCCAUCAUUUGCCGCUUUCAUUUACUUUUUCGUUGCAAUCACUAUCACCUUUCCCGCUUGUGUUUUGAUCCUUUGCAAACUACAAGGACGGAGAGAUUGACAACCUCUCUGUACUCAUUGAGAGCAAAGUUAUUUGUUGUGUGCGUAGGUUCACGUCUUCUGCUGACCAGGACAGGAGACACCUACUUUUUGAUCCUAGGAGUCCUACUGGUUCGAUAAACCUUAGAGUUCCCGUGUGAGGGAAAACUUGCUGUUGACUACAUCUCAACCUUCCACUUGGGGUAACCAACGGGGUGCGAGAAGUAUAUACAUCAUCUCGUCAUCAACCGCUUAGUGUGCUACCUCCUCAAACAUCGUGUGUGGAUGUUGUGAAUGUCUGGGAGACACGGUCUCAUGACUACUUGAUAGUUCCGUGUGUCGUGCUUUAAAACUUAGAAUCGAGGCUCCAAAGAUGUUUUGAACGCCCACUAGUGGAGAAAUGGCUAGCCACAACUCUUGUUCGUGGCGCGCUGAUACGUCUAAAACGUAUCGAUAAUUUAUGAAGUAUUCAUGCCAUGUUUGCCUAUGUUUACAAUAAUUUUAUAUGAUUUAUUUAGAACUAACCUGGACUCGCACUGUUUUUGUCCAAAAAAUGAAACUUCUCGAAAUCACCCGAAACUUUUUUUUAUUUUUUUCUAGAGAAAAUAAGCAAUAUUAGAGUGAAGAACCACCGGAGGGGAGCCACCUGUGGGCCACAAGACAAAAGGGCGCCCCCCAGGCCUUGCCCUGAUGGCUUGUAUGGCCCACGUGGCUCCGUUUGGCGUGAUUCCAAUGCUAAAAAAUCCUAUAUAUACUAGAAACCCCAGAAAUAAAGAUAGAACUUCCACUCCACCGUCGAAACUCUUUGUAUCAACGAAAAACCCAUGUGGAACCAUUCCAGUACCCGUCGGAGAGGGGAAAUCAUCUCCAGGGCCAUCUUCAUCAUCCUGGCGGAGGCCAUGACGAGGAGGGAGUAGUUCACCCUCGGGGCAGAGGGCAUGCACCAGUAGCUAUGUGUUCAAUCUCUCUCUCUCUCUCUCUCUCGUGUUCUUGAGAUGACACGAUCUUGAUGUAUCACGGGCCUUGUUAAUCUAUUUGGAUCAUAUGAUGUUAUUCCAUUGCUACCUUGCUGUGAUGAAUUGAAUCUUUCCCUUUAAGACCUUGUUCUGUUGGAUUGAAUAUUUUGGUUUGAGAACACUUGAUGUAUGUCUUGCAUGCAGAUACCCAUAGUGACAUUGGUGUAUUCAAAUGAUUCACUUGAUAUAUGUUGUGGCAUCAACUUGGAAAUUUUGGUGACCUUGGGGAUCUAUGCAUAGGGGUUGAUUGCACAUUCUCAUACUAUGUUCUCCGAUAGAAAUCUUGGGGUACUCCUUGAAGUUCUUUGUGUUGGAUUGAAUAUGAUAGAUCUAAAAUUAUUUGAUGCAUGUCACUUAAUUUACCCAUGAAUACUUGAGGUGACAUUUAUCUAGGUGACAUUAGUGUUGUUUGCUAUGUAUCAUGGGUCUUAUUAUAGUACAAACUCGAGGGUUGUUUCUGACACUUAUAGGAAUAGCUCAAAAGAUUGACCAGAACGAGUAACUUUGAGGUGGUUCUACUACCUACGCCAAUUUCAACGCAUUAUUAUCUGCUAGAUAGAAACUUUGGAGUGAUUCUUUGUUGUGCGUUGAGGUAUGAUCGUAUCAUUCUAUUAUGUUAGCACUGUUGAGAGAUUGCACUAGUGAAAGUAUGAACCCUAGGCCUUAUUACCAAGCAUUUAUACAACAUUUUGCUCGUUGUUUUCCACUUUCUACCUUGUUGUUUUUAUAUUUUAAGAUUACAAUAACCUAUAUAUACUAUCCAUGCUACACUUGCAUCACCAUCUCUUCGCGAACUAGUGCACCUAUACAAUUUUCCAUUGUAUUGGUUGUGUUGGGGACAAAAGAGAUUUCAUGUAUUUGAUUAUAGGGUUGUUUGAGAGAGACCACCUUCAUCCUAAGCCUUCCACAGAUUGAUAAACCUUAGGCCAUCCACUUGAGGGAAAUUUGUUGUUGUCCUACAAAAUUCUGCACUUGAAGGCCCAACAACGUAUACAAGAAUAAAGUUGCAUAGUAGACAUCAAGCUAUUUUUUGGUGUCGUUGCCAGGGAGGUGAGUGCUUGAAGGUAUAUCUUUAUAUAUUGCAAUUAAAUCAUUUAGUUUCUUGCUUUUCACUAGUUUGGUUUUAUAAAAUAAAACUACAAAAAUGGAAUUUAGGUUGCCUCAUUUGCUUCGUCCCUAUAAUGUCUUUCGUGAAAAUGAUGGUUUGGAAAAUUAUGCUCAAUUGCUAGAGGAAGAAUUUAUGAAAAUGUUCAAUGUGAAAUCCUUGAAUGAUGAACAUGAUAUCAAUAUUGUUGUUAUGAAUUCACUGAAUAUCCAUGAUGCUAAUGAUACGCAAAGCCACAAGCUUGGGGAUGCUAUGUUUGAUGAAGAUGUUAUUUUUAGUCCCCCAAGUUUGAUGAGCAAAUUUAUUAUGAUGAAACCAUGCCUACUAUAUAUGAUGAUUAUUGUGAUGACAUUUAUGCUAUAAAUAAUAAGGAUAACUAUGAAACUUAUCAUCAUGAUUUUCAUUUUUACAUGGAUUAUAUCAGUCAAGUAUCUCAUGAUAGUUAUUUUGUGGAGUUUGCUCCCAAUACUACGAAUUAUAAUAUUUUUGCUUGUGUGGGUAGUAAUAAAAAUUAUAUGAUUGUGCAUAAUGAAAAGAAUGCUUUAUGUGAUAGUUAUAUUGUUUAAUUCCUUCAUGAUGCUAUUGAAAAAUAUUAUGAGGGAGUAACAUAUGCUUGUAGGAAUUGCAAUAAUAUCAAGUUUUCGCCCUAUGUGUUCAAAGUGUUGAAGUCAUACUUGUUUUGCCUUCCUAUGCAAGUUGAUUAUUGCUACGAUAAAUUGUUUUCUUGCAAAAUCCUAUGCAUAGGGAGUGGUUUAUACUUAAAUGUUCUUGUCAUGUGAUUCAUGAUGCUCUCUUGCAUGCCUCAGUUACUACUUUUUAUACGAGCAUCAUUGCAAUCAUCAUGCCUAGCUAAAAGGCAUUAAAGAAAAGCGCUAGUUGGGAGAUAACCCAACACUUUUACUUGAUGUUAUUAUGUGUUCACAUGAUUAAGCUCAUGUGGUAAUCAUGGUUCAUAGCUUUUCUUUCAAUAAAGUGCCAAGUAAAACCUUUGGGAUAGUGUGGAUACUUGUUUGUUUGAUUCUAUGCAAAAACAGAAACUUUUAGGUCCAAUAUAUGAAUUAUGUGAUUUUACUCAAGAGUCCAAAAUUCUGAAAUUUUAAAUUUCCAUGCAAAUUAUCUGCGUUUUCCUAAUGUUUGAGAAUUCUUAGAGUCGGGGAAGUAUGGCGUCCAUUCAGAUCUUCACAGACUAUUCUGUUUUUAACAGAUUCUAUUUUGCAUGUAUAGUUUGCUUAUUUUAAUGUUUCCAUAGGUUAUAUUUUGUGAUUUAAAUUAUGGAAUGAUAGAAUACAGUAGGUAUUAUGUGAGAACAAUUAUUAAUCUUGUAUUGACAGUACCUAAGUGAAUGAUCUAUCUUUAUUACACUAACCCAUCUUGUGAAGUUCCGUUGAAUUUUGCAUGAUUGGAGUUUUCAAGUUUUGGGUGAGAUACCGAUAUGAGGUUAAUAAGGAGGAGCAAUAACCUAAGCUUGGGUGUGUCCAAGGCACCCCCAAGGUAAUAAUCCAAGGAUUAUUCAAGCGUCUAAGCUUGGUGAUGCCAUGGAAGGCAUCCCCUCUUUCGUCUCCAACAUUAUCUGUAUAUCUUACUUGCAGCUAUAUUUUAUUCAUCACAUAAUAUGUGUUUUUCUUGGAGUGUCAUUUUAUUUUUAUUUUUCUCUGUUAUAUGUUAUUUAUAAUCUAGUUUUUCAACAAAAAAUUCCAAGAAUGCCCUUUAGAAUGCUUGAAUUGCAUGUGUGAUGUGUGUUGUACAAAAACACAAACUUUUGUUGUAGUAUUUGAAUUAUCAGAUUUUAGUGGAACAUAGAAAGUUUCUGAAACUUCUACACAAUACUUUCAUAUAAAUUUUGUAUGACGUCCUAAAUUUUCAUAAUUUUUGUAGUUACAUAAGUACAUGGUUUUAAUAGAUUCCUAGAGGUUGUUCUGUUUGGACAGAUUGGUGUCCUAGUUUUGUUAUCUACUUAUCCUAGAGUUUCCAUGGAUUAUAUUGGUAGAUAUAAAUUGUGGAAAUGAUAGUAUAUAGUACCUAAUGUUUGAAAAUUAUUAUUCAACUUGUCCUCUAAGUACAUGAAGUGUUGAUUUACUUUUAUGUGUACUAACCUAUAUCACGAGUUCCUUUCAAGUUUUGUGUGAAUAAAGUUUUUGAGACUUAGGUGAAACCGGGAUAUGAGAUGACUGAAUGGGAUAUAAAAUAUCAAUCUUGGGGAUGUCCAAGGCCCCACAAUUAAAUAUUACAAGAAGUCUCAAGCAUCCUAGCUUGGGGAUGCUACGCAUCCCACCUCUCUUCAUCAAAAACUAUCGGUUAGCCUAUGUUGAUCCUAAGCUCUUGUUUGUACACAUGAUAUGUGCUAUUCUUGGAGUGCAUUUAUAUUUAGUUUUAUGUUUGAAUAAAUACUAAGAUAUGAAAAUAUUUAUUGAGAUAGAGUCCUCAUAUAGCUACUUAAUUGUUUGACUACUCAUUGAUCUUCACUUAUAUCUUUUGAGACUAGUUUGAUUGUUUGCUCUUGUGCUUCACUUGUAUCCUAAGAGUAAAUUAUGAAUGAAUGAAAUAUCAUAAAUAUGAAAUUAUAAAUGUGCUUUAUGUCUUGUAUUAGUUUCACAUUUGGUUUAUAAAGUAAAAUCUAUUGAAGUUUGAUAAUCACUGUAUUGGUCAUAUGAGCAAUUCAUGAAUGAUUAGUAUAAGAAAGAAAAUUUUCACAUACAAAUAUAUUAUCUUGGACAUGUUUUACGAUUGUGAAUACCCAUGAAUUAUUUCCAAACUUGAUCAAAUAGUUGAAUUUGGAAAAGGAAGACAACAUAAUGGUUAUGUUCGGGUAUAUUUGCAUAGAAGUUAUAUUGUUUUGGAUCCUCCAACAUGUGGUGCUUGUUUAGAACCUUUUGCUAGCCAAAACUUCGUACUAAGUAGAGAUACUACAUGUGCAUCCAAAUCCUUGGACCAAGUUUCUUCCAUGGGAGUCCACCAUACCGACCUAUAUAUGGUAUUUAACUGACAUUCCAAGUAAAUUUGCAUGUGCCACCUCUAAACAUUCAAAUAAUCAUCUGUUUUGUGUGCUCGUACCGCUCAUGGAGCGACGGGGAGGUCAUUAUCUUCCAUGCUAAGAGAGUUAUUCUUGAGAUGAGUGUUUAUUCACUUGUCAUUGCAUGAGAGAGGCCGGUAAAAAGGAUGCCCAGUCCUGCAUAAUACAAAAAUAAAUAAACAAGAACUCCCCCUAGAAAGUUGAUUGUUUGGAGGGCAUCCCUCGAUACGGCUAGCCAUAGAAUGUGACCGAAUGGUUGAGGGGGAGUAAAAUUUCAGUUCUGUUGGGGAACCGCCGAUAAUGUGAUUAGCAUGGAAGAUAUUGAAAACUCUGUUGUGACAUUCACAUGAAAUGCACACCACCCAAACUUACAUAUUCAUAUCUAUUUGAAAAAUGAGUGCUUGCACCUCUACAAAUCCCUACUUCCCUCUAUGAAGGGACAAUUUGUUUACUUUCAUGUUACUUACUUUUCAUGUUGAGUCAACCUCUUAUGCCAACCUCGGUAUAUUAGUUGGCAAGCACCAUGUGAUGGGAAAAGAUCCAGGCAUAUAUAUCCACUCAAAUAUAUUUGAUCAUGGUUCAUUAUUGUUGACAAUUAUCUUUAUGUAAAUAUAUAUGUUGGGUGGUGAAACAUUAAGACCCUAUAUCUGUCUGUGUUCGAUGGAUGUUAUUGGUUCUAAAAAUAUGCUUUGAGUAGUAGCAAUCGUAGAAGACUAUAUGAUAAUUGAGUAUGUGGAGCUCUUACUUAGACAAGAUGAUGCAUUGAAAUUGUUUGCUGGCUAAGAACAUAUGAUGUUGAGUUUCAAGAGAAUGCAUUGUUUGAACCAUGACAUGUGAAUUGAUUGUUACUCUACCAUGAUGAGUUUUAUGAGAAAAAAAGUUGCUGUUAUGAUGCUAGAAAAGUGAAUGAAAUUAUCAUUGAUCAAACUUAUAUACUAUGCUAGCAUUCACACUUCAUAAAAUAUUUCUUUUAUCAUUUACCUAUUCGAUAAGGAGCAGGAAUUAAGCUUGGGGAUGCUGAUACGUAUCCGACGUAUCGAUAGUUUAUGAAGUAUUCAUGCCAUGUUUGCCUAUGUUUGCAAUAUUUUUAUAUGGUUUUGAUGCACUUUAUAUGAUUUAUUUAGAACUAACCCGGACUCACGUUGUUUUCAGCAGAAUUACCAUGGUCUUGUUUUUGUGGAGAAAAUGGAAGUUCUCGGAAUCGCCCGAAACUUUUUUAUAUUUUUUAUGGAGGAAAUAAGCAAUAUUGGAGCGAAGAACCACUGGAGGGGGGCACCUGUGGGACACAAGCCAAUAGGGCGCAUCCCCCCCCCCCCACUUAGGUCGCGCCCUGAUGGCUUGUGGGGCCCACGUGGCUUCGUUUGGUGUGAUUCCAAUGCUGAAAAUCAUAUAUAUACCAUAAACCCCAGAAAUAAAGAGAGAACUUCGGCUCCUCCGUCGCAACUCUCUGUAUCAAUGAAAAACCCAUCUGGAGCCUUUCCAGUACCCUGCCGGAGAGGGGAAAUCAUCUCCAAAGGGCAUCUUCAUCAUCCCGACGGAUGUCGUGACGAGGAAGGAGUAGUUCACCCUCGGGGCUGAGGGUAUGUACCAAUAGUAUAUGUUCAAUCUCGCUCUCUCAGGUUGUUCAGAUGACACAAUCUUGAUGUAUCACGGGCCUUGUUAAUCUAGUUGGAUCAUAUGAUGUUAUUCUCUUGCUACAUUGUUGUGAUGAAUUGAAUCUUUCCCUUUAAGAUCUCAUUAGUUGGAUUGGAUAUUUUGGUUUGAUAACACUUGAUGUAUGUCUUGCAUGCAGAUACCCGUAGUAACAUUGGGUAUUCAAGUGAUUCACUUGAUAUAUGUUAUGGCAUCAACUUGCGGAUUCCGAUGACCUUGGAGAUCUACGCAUAGGGGUUGAUUGCACGUUUCCAUACUAUGUUCUCCGAUAGAAAUCUUGGGGAGCUCCUUGAAGUUCUUUCUGAAGGAUUGAAUAUGAUAGAUCUGAUUUUUUUUAUGCAUUUCGCAUAAUUUACCCAGGGAUAUUUGAGGUGACUUUGGAGUAUCUAGGUGACAUUAGGGUUGAUUGAUAUGUAUCAUGGGUGUUAUUCUAGUAAUAAGAACUCUAGGGUUGUUUGUGACACUUAUAGGAAUAGCUCAAAAGAUUGAUCAGAAAGAAUAACUUUGAGGUGGUUCUACUACCUACACCAAUUUCAUCUUAUUGUUCUCUGCUAGAUAGGAACUUUGGAGUGAUUCUUUGUUGCACGUUGAGGGAUGAUCAUAUGAUUCUGUUAUGUUAGCGUUGUUGAGAGAUUGCACUAGUGAAAGUAUGAACCCUAGGCCUUAUUACCAAGCAUUUAUACAAUGUUUUGCUCGCUGUUUUGUACUUGGUACAUUGUUGUUUCUAUAUUUUCAUAUUACAAAAACCCAUAUCUACUAUACAUACUACACUUGGAUCACCAUCUCUUCAUCGAACUAGUGCACAUGUACAAUGUUUCAUUGUAUUGGUUGUGUUGGGGACACAAGAGAUUUCUUCUGUUUGAUUGUAGGGUUGUUUGAGAGUGACCAUCUUCAUCCUACGCCUACCAUAUAUUGAUAAACCUUAGGUCAUCCACUUGAGGGAAAUUUGUUGCUCUCCUACAAAACUUUGCAGUUGGAGGCCCAACAACGUCUACAAGAAUAAAGUUGCAUAGUAGACAUCACGCCCCAUUUCUCAACAACACCGCCACUAAUAUUUUCAAAUAGUGCUCGCGUUGCACAUUAGCCACGGCGUUGCACAUUAGGCCCAUUAGGCCCACGCCAGCACUAAUAUAUCUAAUCUCCGUUGCACGCCCUACUCUUCACACUCUCGAGGCACAACCCCCUCGUCCUCCUCUGGAUCCUCGCCGCUGCCCUGACCGAAACGUCGCCCCACCCGCGCGCCCCGCUCGAUGCCGCCCGUCGCCGCCCUGCCCAACGCCGCGCACGAUGCCACCUAACGCUGCCCCGCCUGACACCUCCCGUUGCCACCCCGUCCGACGCCUCCCGCCGCCGCCCGGCCCAACGCCUCACGCCAUCUAUGGCCGUGCGGAGACCCUCAUCAUCGUCGAGCACCUUCGCGUCCCCUUGACUGGUAACUCCGCUUCUUUUUGUUGUACAAACUUAGGUCAUGUUUGAUAGCAAAUUAUUUUCUAAGUACUUUAGGAAUACUGCAGUUUUAAACUGAGUAGCCAAGAAAUGUGAUUUGACUCAACGAAACAUACCAAAGUUAUGUUGGUUCCUGGUUCACUACACAAUUAAAAAUCAGCAUGGCAAGCUAUACGAAGAAGUAGCGACUCCGUUCUUUUUCGUUGUAGAAACUUAGUUCUUUUUUCUUGUAGAAAAUUAGUUCUUUUUUCUUGAAACUUAGUUCUUUUUCUUGAAACUUAGUUCUUUUUUGUUGUAGAAAAACUUAGUUCUUUUUUGUUGUAGAAACUUAGUUCUUUUUUGUUGUAGUAACUUAGUUCUUUUUUGUUGUAGAAACUUAGUUUUUGUUGUUGUAGAAACUUAGAUAUUUUUUUGUAGAAACUUAGUUCUUUUUUGUUGUACAAACUUAGUUCUUUUUUGUUGCAGAAACUUAGUUCUUUUUUGUUGUAGAAACUUAGUUCUCUUUUGUUGUAGAAACUUAGUUCUUGUUUGUAUAAAAUUAGUUCUUUUUUUUGUAGAAACUUAGUUCUUUUUUGUUGUAGAAACUAAGUUCUUUUUUGUUGUAGAAACUUAGUUCUUUUUUGUUGUAGAAAAUUAGUUCUUUUGUAGCUUUUAUUACAAGUUUUAAUUUUUAUGUGUACAUAAUUCGAAACAGCACAUAUGGACAAUUCAGCAAGCAACAAGGAAUCGGUGGGCGAUGUGGAGAAGUGGAAUCAAUGCACAUUAGAGGGGUUAGAGUGGAGCAUCAAGAAACUCAAAGAAUCCAAUGCCGUGGUGAAGAAGGAAACAGAUAGUUUGCUCACACAGAGUGCUAAUGCCUUCACUAAGUCAAAUAAACUUAGGAAACUGAGGGAUCGGUUGACGGAUGUGAUAGCCUAGCUUAUUAGGGAUGAUAGACUACUCAUAUCAAUAAGGAAUUCCUUCUUUUCUGGGAGCCCAUUCGAACAGAACUCCCAGGUUAAGCAUGCUUGGCUUGGAGUAGUUCUAGGAUGGGUGACUGUCGUGGUUUUGUCACGGCAGAUGUCCUCGUGAAAGGACUUAGUAUUGGAGCCAUCGCACUUUGGUGGCGACUCAAAGGGGUUGAAUGGGAGUGAGGCGGCGAUUUACCCAGGUUCGGCCCCUCGUGAGGAGGUAAAAGCCUACGUCCUGCUUUGUGUUGUAUUGAUGGAGUUUCGAUUACAAGGAGGGCGUAACUCGCCAGACCUAGUACUCGAUGAUUUUUAACCAUUUUUGGACGAAUACCACUGAUGCCUUGAAACACCGCUCCCUUAAGUAGCCAAAGUUUCAUAAGUCGCCCUGGCAACCUGACUCGGGCCUUCGUUGGCGGGUCAAAAAAUUUCCUCAGCCAGCGGGCAAAUUAUUUGGCGAGUCAAAUGAAAUUGUUUCACCUCUUUCAGUAGAUGUUUUGGCGUGUCAAUUCACCCGUAAUUUUAUCCCUUUGUAGCAUGGGCGCCGUUUUCAAAAGUGACUGGCUCCCCACCAAGGUUAAUGAUGCCAUACUAGAGGAUUAUGUGAAAACGGGAAAUUUGGACCCUCGGGAUGUUAUCGGUUGGCGCACCGGGUUAGGAGAAGAAAUCCCCAAUCCCAAAGAAGGGGAAAUAGUUGUUUUCGUUGAACACCUUGAGCGGGGUUUUAAGCCGCCUGGAUCGAAGUUCCUCAGAGACGCCAUGGCUUUUAUGAAUGUCCGCCUCCAAGAUCUAGGGCCCAACUCGAUAAGCAACCUAUGCCAGUUCCAGGUGUUUUGUGAGGCUUACUUGCGGAUGGAACCCUCAGUUCCCUUAUCCUGGUACUUCUUCCACUUAAAUCGCCAAACAGAAUUUCACAAUGGCCCCAGCCUGGAGCUUGGUGGUGUAAAUGUUCAGCGCCGCAGGGAUAGCCCAUUUCCGUCACUCGCCAUGCCAAGCCACCCCAAAGGCUGGGGCGAGUCUUGGUUCUAUUGUCAAGAGACCUCGCCUGAGGGCGAAAACAAACUUCUGGGUUAUAGGGAAGAUCGCCUUCCAACGAAUAUCAAACUCCCAGACAAGCUCACCGAAGAGGAGGAGUUAGAUUGUAUCCCAGUAUUGUCCGAGUUAAGAUCUUUGACAAACAACGGCCUUACUGGAGUUGACUUGAUCCGCUGUUGGGUCGAAUGGCGCAUCCUCCCUUUAAGUCGCCGGGACGGGUUAAUGUGUGAAUUCGACGACACCCUAGAUCAUCCUCAGUGCUACUUCCACACGGCUCUGACGGAAAGUGACAUUGUCGCCAUCAUCAAGAAGCUGACUGGCGAGCCCGCGGGAAAAUGUGGCCAAAUAGGUCUCAAACCUUUCUGCAAGAUUAACCCGGCACCUAAGGUAAACAACUUUAACCCGCCUUUUGUCUUUUACUUCUUAUGUCUCAUUCGAACUAUGACCUCUUAUAAAAUAUGCCAUUUCAGAAAGGUGAUAAAUUUUGGUCCAAGACGCCAAAAAAGUCAGCCAUGAAGCAAGCUAGGCCGCCUCCAAAGAAGAAAUCCAAGGGCAAGGGCAAAGCUGCUGUGACCGAACCAUGUGAGGCCGAUGAAUCCCAAGUCAGCGAUGCACCUUCGGAGGUAAAAAAACCUAUCCUCUUUUAACUCGCCAUCCAUUACCGAUAACUUUGUAUUUACACCUUUGCAUCUCUUGAGUAGAAUGAAGACAAUGAAAGCCAGGAGGAUUCCGUAGAGGUAAUUUCUGUUUCCUCCGAUUCAUCUCCUUCUCCACCUAAGCCGGCCAGGCGAAUUUGUGGGAAAGUUCCCCUCUCACACCCAAAUGCUUGUUUGGAUCCAAAUUUUCUUCUGCAGAAAGCACAACACACUUCAAAUCAGAAAACCCGAAGUCAUUCUCGCGAUCUGGUGUUCGGUUUACCAACAAGGAACAAGAAAAGGCCAAAUGAGGUAUCCUUUAACAACACUUCUUCAGGUCUUUUCGGAUCGCAUUUGUAACUUGCUUAUAUCUUCGAAGUACAACUUUUGCAGAGUUCUCCUCCUACAUCUGGCGACUCAGUAAUGUCGGCACUUCCGCCGAGGAUCCGUGUCCCUGGGUAAGUCUUUGAUAAUAUUUACUUUUAGUCUGAUGGUGAUAAAUUUUCAGUCCUUUAAACGCACCCCUUCUCCUUUCAGGGCACACGCGAAGAAAAGAAAAACUGGCGGGUCAACUCCCAUCACAAUUUCAGAGCCUAUCGAAAAGUCGGCGCCGAUCCAAGACAACCCGGACCAAGACAAACCUGAAGAUCAAGUGGAUCUCCCUAGCUCUCCCAAGGAAACCAUGGAUGCACCAAACCCGCCAAGUCCAUUGACAACAGCAGAAGACCUGGACGUUGUAAUUAUCACUGGUACUAGCUUCUCUAAACCGGCCAGAGCGGUUUUAUCGAAGCAUGUAUCAUCAUCAGCUCAAACUAUUCCUGAGCAUGAACUCUCCAAGGCUAAGCUCUCUCAAUAUGAACAUCUGGAAUUCAAAGAACUUUGCUCUGGCUUUGCAAGUCGCCUGGAGGCGAGUUAUGAGAUGGAGAAGAGCCUGCUUCGGAUGCUGAAAAACAAACAUGAAGUACGUUUUGUUGUACACUAUAUUAUCCCCAUUAACCCCCAAGGGCCGGGUCAUCAGUAAAAAGAUGAGCCGGGUGUUGAUGACUUGAAAAACUUUCGACCAGUAACCCCCAAGGGUCGGGUCAUCAGUAAAAAGAUGAGCCGGGUCUUGAUGAUUUGAAAAACUUUCGACCUGUAACCCCCAAGGGUCGGGUCAUCAGUAAAAAGAUGAGCCGGGUCUUGAUGACUUGCAAAACUUUCGACCUGUAACCUACCAAGGGCCAGGUCAUCAGUAAAAAGAUGAGCCGGGUCUUGAUGACUUGAAAAACUUUCGACCAGUAACCCCCAAGGGUCGGGUCAUCAGUAAAAAGAUGAGCCGGGUCUUGAUGCUAUAUAAUUUUGUCUGAAAAAAUUAUACAUUAGCCCCCAAGUGUCAGGGAUGUUGCUUGCAAUAAUUCUGAGACUUGCCCCUUAACUAUAUGCUUCAACAGGAAUCUCUUAUCGAAACUGAAUCAACACUUGGCGACUUGAAGAAAAGCUUAUCUGAUCAGCAGGAUGCCCGGGCCAAAUCAGAGGAGAAAUAUCAACUGGUCUUAGCUGAGAUGGAAAAGCUAAAAGCCGACUUAAAAAGGGCUCAAGCUGACCAAGAUGUUUUAACAAAGCGAGCAGAAAAGGCUGAAGCCAAGUUGGAUACUGUGCAACAGGAGAUGUCCGUCUUAAAGCGACAUAUCUCAAACAUGGCGCAAGCCAUCUUUGGUAAAAACCAAACCUUGACCUUUGUAAACAAAUAACUUUUAUCUAAGUCGCUGAUUAUCAUUACCUCCUAUACAGGUCCGAGAGCCACCAACCUUCAGGAUGAUUGCGUCCUGACACUGAAGGCGAUUUACACGCUGACGGAGCAGCUAUAUACCGGGAGUGUACUGAGUGUGAAAGCGGUGAUGGGUGCCAAGGAACCUAUAACAUCAAUAAAGAAGAUGCUUGGCUGCUUAUCCACUCUUCCUCCCCAAAUUGGCGAGUUAACUCGGUCAGCCGCCCGAAAAGGGGCGCUGUCUACACUGAGUCGGUGCUUAGCAUAUGCUCCAGAAAUAAACCCAGAAGAAGUAGCGUCGGGCUUUCCUCAACUCAAGGAUGAUGGAUCAGAAUUCGCCGAAAAGGACUAUCAGCGUGUUGUCAAGGACUCCCGUUUGGCGGUGACUCAGCUUGCUGCAAGCCUGGACUUAUCGAAAUACCAAGCCGCCUAUGACAACAAGAACAAGAAGGUUAACCCGCCAACCUUUGUGACGACCAGCUUAACUCCGCGUCGACCCAAGAAUCCUUUUGACUUGGACGCGGAUCUCUCAUCAGUCCUGACCGAUGAGGAUGAAUUUGCUGCAUUAUCCAAGUGUAACUGGGUACUGGGCGACUUGCAAAUUGAGGUCGGCCAAAGCUCGCAGCAGGCUGAUCCAAGGGCAUCAGCAGAAUAAAACUUCAUCGAUUUGGCCAUGAGAGCCAUGUAAUAGGUCUCUUUAGGAAUCAAAACUGCUUCUGCGACACCUUCAAAAAUCCUUAUGUCGCCCUUAAGGCGUUUUGAAAUGCUUGAUCCGUCGUUUGAGGCUUUUUAUCAUAAUACUUUACCCGCCAUUGAAGCCUUUCUAUGAUGCUUAAUCUGCCAUGGCUAGAGUGAUUUUGAUCAUCAACCUGCUCUAAGCUUGAAAACAUAUAUCAAACCAUCUUAGUGAGGCGAGUCAAAAAAAGACUGAUAUUUUGAGGCGAGUCAGAAGAAGUCUGAAAAAUCUUGUGGCAGUGCCAGGGAGGUAAAAAAUAGCAACUUCGUCGGCUCAUAAGGUCGCGACAGGAUAGGGCGAGUCAAACAAGCUCAAGCGCCACCCAAAAUAAUAAUUUCGUCGGCUCAUAAGGUCGCGACAGGAUAGGGCGAGUCAGACAAGCUCAAGCGCCACCCAAGAUAAUAAUUUCGUCGGCUCAUAAGGUCGUGACAGGAUAGGGUGAGUCAAAACAAGCUCAAGCGCCACCCAAGGGAGACUUUUGUAUCAAAAGCCCAAGCAUUUAGACCGGCCGAUCAGGCACAAGUCAAGCUUCAGUGAAGUUGGUUCAGUGAACCAAUGGUCUCUCUACUUUCCAUGUGAGGCGUUUGCCGGUACCAGACAUGUUUUAACCAAAGCAAGUUCAGGAUCCAUUAGAGGAAUAACUCGCCAAGAGUUCAUGGGUCCAUAUGGCGAUUCGGCAAACACCCAGUCCAGUAUAACCAUUUGUAAUGCAGUAACUUUUCGUAGGCCAAAAGAGUAAUAAAAUUGAUCUCAAUGAGAGGAAGCCCCCAAGUCGGGAGGCGUUUAAUUUUAUUUCUUUAUAAGAAAUGAAAAACUUACAAAAUGUAGAGCUUAAGAACUCAAGUGUAAUAAGGCCGCAAGUGGGCAAUAUUCCAGGGGCGAGUCGACUCAGCCUCCGUGGUUUGCCGGUUAGGCCGGAGAUCCACCAGAUAGUAAGACCCGUUGUGAAGAUUUUUGCUGACGACGAAUGGUCCUUCCCAUGGUGGUGAUAACUUAUGCAUGCCAGCGCGAUCUUGUAUCAGCUGAAGCACUAAGUCGCCUUCCUGAAAGGUUCGGCUCUUGACCCGGCGGCUGUGAUAACGUCGUAAGUCCUGCUGAUAAAUGACCGAUCGGGCUGCAGCGAAAUCACGCACCUCCUCUAAGGCGUCCAAAGAAUCCUGACGCGCCAACUCAUUGUCCUGUUCCACAUAAGCGGCGACUCUAGGCGAGUCAUGCCUUAUGUCAGUGGGAAGAACAGCUUCUGCUCCAUAGACCAGAAAGAAAGGGGUAAAACCCGUGGAUCGGUUCGGGGUUGUCCGGAUGCUCCAUAGCACUGAAGGCAACUCCUCAACCCAACAUCCCGGGGUUCUUUCCAAGGGAACCAUGAGUCGGGGCUUGAUUCCCCGUAAAACUUCCUGGUUCGCCCGCUCCGCCUGUCCAUUAGAUUGUAGGUGAGCAACCGCAGAAACAUCAAGCCGGAUAUGCUCUCGACGGCAAAACUCCUGCAUCGCCCCUUGAGAUAUAUUAGUGCCAUUGCCAGUAAUGAUACUGUGCGUAUAUCCAAACCGUAAAAUCAACUUUUUCAAGAAUUUGACCGCCGUCUCCGCAUCGCAAGCUCCAACAGGCUCUGCCUCAACCCACAUGGUGAAUUUAUCAAUCGCCACCAACAAAUGGGUUUUCUUGUUGGAUGACAUUUUAAAGGGGACAACCAUGUCCAACCCCCAGACCGCGAAAGGCCAAGUGAUGGGAAUCAUCCUUAGUUCUUGAGCCGGCACAUGAGCCUGUCGCCCAUAAUGCUGGCAUCCAUCGCAUCGACGAACUAUCUCCUCUGCAUCUGCAUGAGCCGUCAACCAAAAGAAACCAUGACAGAACGCCUUUGAAACCAAAGAACGUAACCCGGCGUGAUGCCCACAAUCUCUGGAAUGAAUGUCAUUUAGAAUUAUGCACCCUUCUUCGGAGGAAACACAUCGUUGAAAAACCCCGGAGGUACUUCGCUUAUAUAAUUCGCCAUUGAUGAUCACCAUGGAUUUGCUUCGCCGAAUGAUUUGGCGGGCCAAAACUUCAUCUGUUGGUAACUCGCCUCGGGCGAGAUAGGCCAGAUAGGGAAGAACCCAAUCCGGCGUAAUGUGGAGAGCCGCCACGAACUGAGACUCAGGAUCUGGUAUCGCCAACUCCUCCUCUGAUGGAAAACUCACGGAGGGAUUAUGCAAAGUAUCCAGAAAAACAUUGGGGGGAACCGGCUUUCGCUGGGAACCGAGGUGCGAAAGGGCAUCAGCCGCCUCGUUAAGGCGCCGGUCAAUGUGAUCAACCUGAUAGCCAUGGAAAUGACACGCCACAUCGGACACAGCCCUCCUGUAAGCCGCCAUCACGGGGUCUCGAGAAUCCCAAGUGCCUGAAACUUGCUGAGCCACCAGAUCAGAGUCACCAAAACAUCUGACCCGCGUAAGGUUCAUCUCCUUGGCGAGUCGCAGGCCGUGAAGUAAAGCUUCGUAUUCUGCAGCAUUGUUGGUGCAUGGAAACAUGAGUCGGAGGACAUAACAGAAUUUGUCUCCUUGAGGGGAUACCAGUACCACACCAGCCCCCGAGCCUUCCAACUGUCUGGAUCCGUCAAAAUAAAUAGUCCAGGAUGUAAGAUCAGCCUGUCUUACGGGCCCUGUAACUCGGUCCAAUCAUUGACGAAAUCAACCAAGGCUUGAGAUUUGAUGGCCGUGCGAGGGAUGUAUCGUACAUGAUGCUACCCAAGUUUAGUCGCCCACUUGGCAAUCCGCCCCGUUGCCUCCCGAUUCUGGAUGAUGUCCCUGAGGGGGGCGGAACCGUGACAGCCCGAUGCUGACGUUCCAGAAGAUUCCCCUUUUCUUUCCGUUUUCCUCGUGUGCGUAUUUUCUUUUGUCGCAUCAUCAUCGCAUCAUGUGCAUCAUCUGCAUUGCAUUGGCAUCUUCAUGCCGCCAGUUUUCAAAACUUGCAUCCGAUGUUAGUUGUCGUUUCUCGUCGUUGUCCGUUCUAAGCCCGACCGCACGCGCACGCGCCCGCGGCAUCGUCAAACCUUGUUUUUAAAAGUGUGCGUUAAACUUUCUCUGAUUGGGUUGAGAUUUGACGUGCGGUGUUAUUUUAAUAUAGGUAGGCCGCCUGUCGAAUUUCAUCACGAUAGGAGUUCGUCUGGUACCCGAACGGUCGUCCGUAGCGGCACCGUCUUCGGUCUACCGUCGGACGUUUGUCGGUGUUUUAAAAUUCGUUGCCGCGCCACCCGUUCUCCCUCUCGUCUCCGGUAAACCACCCUACACGGCCAAGUACCCGUUCCCGCGUGCGGAAUCGUUCGAAUCCGACCCCGCGGUUGGAUACGGAACGAAAUUCCGGCUACCCUAGCCCCCCAUAUGUCUAUAAGUAGACCCCCCGUGCCUAUUUUUAGACACCAGCCCCCUGCCUCGGGAUCCGUGCCCGAAACCCUAGCCCCACUCGCUCUCUUCUUCAGCCCCCCUCUCUCCCUCAGCCGCCGCCGAGGCCCGCUCGGGCCCGAGGCAGGCCCGGCAAGCCCAUCUGGCCGGCCGCCGCCNNNNNNNNNNNNNNNNNNNNNNNNNNNNNNNNNNNNNNNNNNNNNNNNNNNNNNNNNNNNNNNNNNNNNNNNNNNNNNNNNNNNNNNNNNNNNNNNNNNNACUGAAAAGUUCCCAGUGAAAUUCAUGGGCUCCGAAUAGAGCUGAAAUUCUCCUUAUUAGGGCCUGUUCGGCUAUGCACCAGCUCCGUGGAAUUACAGGAUCUGUGAAGCACCUGGUCUGGAGCAGAGCGGUCCCAAACAAGCCUUUAGUCGAAGCUCUGUGGUUGUGUUUGGAAUUUGGGAACUCUCUCUGUUCUCUACGAGAUGGAGCCAGCUGUCGUGAUUACCUUUGCGAGGUUCUGUAUGGAAUCCCAGUUUUUGUAACACGCCGAGCAAAACGGCAGAAACUGGGCCGUCGCGCCGGGAAAAGGAGAAGCCGCGACACGACCGCCCGCCGCGCCGCCACCGCUGCUCGCGUGCUCCUUCCCCUCCUCCCUCCACCCCCACCCCGACGCGACACAGCAGAUGGCCAAGUCUGGGUACACGCGCCCGCCGCCCAUGGCCGAGGACACCGCCGCGGUUCCCGCCCCCAGCGCCGUCCUGUACGUGGCCAACUGCGGGCCGGCGGUGGGGCUGGCCCACGACGACGUCGCCGCGGCCUUCGGCGCCUUCGGGGAGGUCGAGGCGGUCAGCGCCGCCGACGACAGCGNNNNNNNNNNNNNNNNNNNNNNNNNNNNNNNNNNNNNNNNNNNNNNNNNNNNNNNNNNNNNNNNNNNNNNNNNNNNNNNNNNNNNNNNNNNNNNNNNNNNUUGCUUCCAUGUGAAAGCAUGGGUUCCUUGUUAUAUCACCAUAUUAAAUGCUAUUUAAUUUAAUGCACCUAUAUACUUGGUAAAAGGUGGAAGGCUCGGCCUUUCUAGCCUGGUGUUUUGUUCCACCUUUGCCCCCUUAGUUUUCGGCUACCGGUGUUAUGUUCCAUAAAUGAGCGCUCCUAACACGAUCGUGGUUGUUAUGGGGACACCCUUGAUAAUUCGUUUUAGAUUAAGACUGGUCUGGCAAGGCCCAACUUUGGUACUACAUUUGCUAGRUWRYYRUAYMCUACAGUCGUCGACCCUGGUGAUAGGAAAAGGUUAGAUCCUGAAAUUCUUGCCAACCAAGAUCACAUCUGGCUUGAUUUUGACAAAAAUGUCAAAACAUCAAAUUUAGCCACCUAGAGCGUUGUAGCCAUCAUGUGCCCCGAUACCCAGAUAACUUCCAACAUGUUUGAAAAAUUUAGUGGUAUUCUUAGCUUCCCUUAGCAAGUCAUCUGGUGGUUGUCCCCUAUAAAUGAUUUAUUCAAAGGAGCCAAAAAAAAAACAAGNNNNNNNNNNNNNNNNNNNNNNNNNNNNNNNNNNNNNNNNNNNNNNNNNNNNNNNNNNNNNNNNNNNNNNNNNNNNNNNNNNNNNNNNNNNNNNNNNNNNUAAGAAAUUGGCAACGGUGAGUUUUCCUAAGAAAUAGCAAAUCUUUGGCUGGGUUGGCAGCCACUAAGCAACCAGAAUGCCUACCAACCAUGUCCCGAAUUCUCACCAGCAUCGCACCAGUUAUGACCAAUACUUGCCUAGAAAACAACCUAGCAGCAGCCAAUAAGCAAAACAAAAACACCUGUAACUGCAAAUGGUUUUAGCAAGAUUCCUUUUUGGUGUAGCCUGGGAUGUAAGCAUAGAAGGGUUUGUUGGUUAGUGGUUACUUCGGUCCCUUUUAUCCAGAAAAUAAAAAUCCAUUGUUUAGUUAACUCUCUACAGACUGAGCUCCCCUGAGAUAUCAAUUAACUGCCUUGUCAUGCAAAUGCGAUGGAACUAGCAGAGUCUUGCAAGCUCAAUUGCUCGGACUAUUCAAAAAAGGCUAAUAACCUCUGUCUUUAGGCAAUAACCUUUUGGGGUUGAAGAGUGGAUAUAACAAUUAACAAGAAACAACAUCCUCGUUAGCCUACAUUACUUGUCGACAUAAAAGCUCUGAAGUCUGAACUGCCAUUGCAGACGAUGGCCAGAUCCCACAUUUGCAACAUGAGGACUGCAGCACAAUCUAAAUCAAGAUUGUAAUAAGCAACGCGAUAAGCCCCCCUACUAUGACGAUUCUCACAUUCUCCCCAGAAUACCCACCUUAAGGCAACCCAGUCCAAGAAGCGACACAAUCGAGACAGUCCCUNNNNNNNNNNNNNNNNNNNNNNNNNNNNNNNNNNNNNNNNNNNNNNNNNNNNNNNNNNNNNNNNNNNNNNNNNNNNNNNNNNNNNNNNNNNNNNNNNNNNGGGGUGGCGCGACCUAGGUAGGAGGAGGCGAGCUGGCGUCGAGGAUGGAGGGAUGAUUCCCUUGGGAAAUUUCUUCCCCGCUCCGCCCGUGUUCCUCCGCCUCGCCUCGCCUCGGCCUCGGCUAUUUUCCUUGGCUUUUCCCUUUUCUCUUUCUUUUUUCGUUUUCGUUGCGUUCGCCCCUGUUUUCCUUUCCGUGUGGAGAAAGGGUACUGCGGCGGGCGGGCGAUGCUGA